rnacentral:lncRNA from 1 species
UUUAUGGCUGCAGCAGCCACAGCAUGUCAAGCUUUAUGGCUAAGGAGUUUACUAAAAGAGUUGAUUGGCUUGAAAGAAGAAAGUGUCAGGAUGUAUGUAGACAACAAAUCUGCCAUAGCCCUUAUGCAAAAUCCAGUCUUUCACGGAAGGAGCAAGCAUAUUGAUACUAAAUUCCAUUUCAUACGCGGAUGUAUUGAAAGGAAUCAAAUUGAAGUGAAGCACAUUAGUGGUGAAGAACAGAGAGCAAACCCCUUGACAAAAGCCCUGCCUAGACUCAAGUUUAUAGAGAUGAGGCAUCUCUUGGGAGUUGUGAAGCUUGAAGACAAAAAUCAGAAUUAAAGGGGAGCCUGUGGGAUAAGUAAUUCUAACUUGGUCUUUUGUUGACCUUGUCUAAAGGAAUAAGUUGUGUAGCUGCCACCAUUUUAGGAGGACACGUUUUUACAGUUUUUUAGCUUAGCAGUUUUUCCCUUUUGCUUAUUAUUUAAAGCCUUGUAAGUCUCUUGUUUUUGAUAAAGAAAUUGAAUAAGAAGAAAAGCUGAAAUCUUUCCCUGCAACUCUGUUUUUCCUUAUUUGGGCAUACUCUUUUGAUCAGUAACAGGCCCUGCACCAACAAAAACUGACAUCCUCAUUAUACUGACCACUUGUUUUUAAUAUUUCAACCCACAAAAGACCACACCAUUUGGCAUUUCCCUUCCCUGAUGUCCUAAUUUGCUACAUAAAAGCACACUUCUAAAAAAAUAAAAAAUAAAAGAAUCAAUCAAAUAACAAUAAUCUUUUGUAACGAAUUACUAGGCGUACUCUGUUACAUAAUCCUAAAACACUACAGAAUAUAAAGUAGGUCUCAGUUAUGCCAUGUCAUCCAACAAUUUCAAGUUAUCCUACACGAAUGAAAUUGCAUUAAUCAUGUCAUAAAGAAGCAUUAGUUUUGCCAUGAUGUGAUUAAGUACAAUAAAGAAAUCAUUAUCAUGAACUUAAUUCCGAAAAAACAAAAAAAAUUGAGUUUCUUACUCUUUGAUAAAAUCCAGCUGAGCGACCAACCAUAGUAUGCCAAUAUGAUCUGGUUGGACCUUUCAUAAAUGUGUGCCAAAGGAAGAUAAGAUACAUAUAAUUGAAAUAAGCAUGGACAAUAAAUAUUACAACAAAAUAAUGUUGAAACAAUUGGCAAAUACUUAAUUUCAGGACUUCCACUAGAAAAAAAACAUUUACAAUUGGGCUUCCAUGGGAAACUAUAGUCCCCUAACUAGUAAAAUAAUUAAAAUUAUAACGCUAUAACUUAAAAUAUAAUGCUAUGAUUGAUUAAAGUUUCAAAAUGCAAAGCAAUUUCACUGCUUCAUUAGGUAAAAAAUUUAGCAUAUAAUGUCAUCAUAAUAAGCAGCAAAAAAAAAUGAAAGUACGAUGCUAUAAAUGGGUGGAUUAUUAAAAGUAUAAUUUCACAAUAAGAAGACACUUGGAAGUACAAUGGUAUGUAUAAUGGGGUAGAAGUUUCAAAGCAUUAAGAAAAAAGAUGAAAGGCUAUAAUUGGGUAGACAUGUAAAAGUAUCUAUAAUGGCCUACUAAAGAAAAUAGCUAUCUGUGCUAAAAAGAGAUAAGUUCCACUUAGGAAAAGAAAAAAAAUUCUAUUUUGGUAGACUUUAACAGAAAAAAAAAAAAAAAGCACAGGUAAAUUAAGAGAUAGAAACCUCUGUUGUCCACUUGUAUAACAAAUUGUAGCAACAAUCAUCAUCUGGUUUUGGUGGACGAAAAGAAAAGAAAAAGGUGAUGGAUUGGUUGUUACUUCCUUCAACUUCUCUUCAAGAACAACAUUGUACACUUGUUCUACCACUUCCAUAACAAUAAAAUCAGUAACUAUGGUGUGGAAUGUAGAGCAAAACAUUAAGAUGAAAUCUAGAGUUGAUAAAAAAAACAACCAUGAAACAACAAAAAUGUAUGUUGAUUUAGGCAAUUGUCUCUAAAUUUGAAAAAUUGAACAAACUAAUAUCAAAAUCCUAACCUUCAUGAGUGUUCUCCAAAAUAAGGACCAAAUAUGAAAAAAUCAGCUACACUCACUGAACAAAAAUCUUAUAUUACUCUAAAAGGAUUAAUAAUCAUUCUAUAUUAUUACGGAAUCAUUGAUAUUAGAUAACAAAAGUUAUGUAUUAAGUAGUUAUAGUAAAACAAAAUUACCUAUUAAAGUAGUAAGAUAUGAUCUGGUAACAAAGAUUGCAAUACCUGAUAGCAUUUCUUGUACAGAUCAGAGAUGAAAUCCAUACUUUAUUGGCGUAAAGGAAAAAAGUUACUGAAUAGGAAAGCAUUGUAACAGAUAAAUUUAUACCUCAACAUUUAAUUGUCGAACAUCUCAUGCUCAAUUUGAACUUAUGGAGCCUGUAGGAAUGAAGUGUAUAAUUAGUUUCUUGUCUACAAGCUAUGCAUCUAUUAGAUGGACCUCUUCUUUGUAACCUUAUAUUCAAAAGACUGAUUUCAAUUAUAAAUUAAGCAAAUAACAAUGCACUUUCUUACCUUGGCAUCAUAUAUGGUCAUUUAGCUUUUUUUUGACUGCUCCAUUUAUCCUACCAAAUAACCACAAAUUAGUAAUUGAAAUACAUAAAUUAAGAUUCGUUUACGAUCUUCAGAAAUUCAUAUCAUGAUUCAACUUGAUAAACAAACCAACAAACAACAAUAUGUUAAACCUAACACAAUUAGUAAAAUGCAAAUCAAUGAAAGAAAAACAAGAAAAAGCAUUAUUAGGUGCUGAAUUCUUUCAUGAUCUUCAUAAAAAGGCUGACAGAAUCAAACUUGCAAUUUUGUCUCUAAAUCUAAUUGCAAUUUCCUUCACCAUUGUAUUUGUAUCUUUCAAGUUUUACAUUAAAGAUUAGUUUAUUAUAUCUUACCCAUGAAUAUAAUCUUUAAGCACCCUCCAGGUAUGAAGCCAAACCAUGCAUCCUUCUUCUUCAUCAAUUACACAAAAUCUUAGAAAUGUUAACUAUAAAAUUGCAAUUUUGAAUUUGUGUCCCAUUGACAUCAGUCUAAUGCAUGCCAAAAGCAGAAGAGAAGAGAAUAAGGAUUAUUAUAUUUAUACAUAACAUACGUUUGCACUUCAUCUUUGUAGUACACACACAAAUGACACCAACAGGGUAUGAUGGUUGAUCAUCGGAUGUAUAUUUCAUCUUAGGAACAUCCACAUCUGAAACAGGAACAUCAUUCAUUAAUAUUGGUUUAAAUACAAGAAAUACUAAAGUAGUUUCAUUUUUCCUAUUAUAGAAUUGUGCUUGAAAAAAUCUACCCAGUUAUAGCAAUGUCAUAAAGAUACAAAGCAAUUUCCAUUGUAUGAUUGGAUAGAUUUUUCAAAGUAUUAAAAAGAAAAAUUAAAAUUACAACGCUAUAAAUUCAUGGAAUUUUCAUAAUGCAAUGCUGCCCUUAUAAGGAAAAGUGUACAUUACAAUGUUGUAACAUAAAGAAAUGGAAGUACAAUGCUAUAAUGAACAAACUCUAGAAAACUCGCCUCAGAUCAUCCUACUUUCAGUGAUUGCUUAUUAUAUAUACAAUCCUACUUUCAUUUCAUCUUAUUACAACAUUCUACUUUCAAAUCUACCAAGUUUUAGCAAAUCCAUACAAAUAGCUUAAUUAGGUAAACUUUUUUUAGAGCAUAAUGUACUAUUAAGAAAAGAAUAAUCAAAAUAUGAUGCUAUAAACAGGGUCAUAGACUCAAUCAUGAGUUUUAUUUAAAUGCCAAUUUCCUGGAGAUAAUACACAAGCAUGAGUUUUAGGAACAUAGGGGUAUUUCUGGAAACACAAAAAACAGGGUCAUAGACAGAAAGCCAUAAACACCCAACACCCUUAUUUGAGAUUCAAUGGAAAGCUAAAUAAGAACAUAAAAAGCAUCAAGUGUUUUAUAGUUUUAAGGGUAAAAACUUACAUGUUGACACUUUGAUUCUCAGGGGACCUUCUUUUCCUUUUCUCCACCAUAACAUAAGUUCUUUAUUUGGUUUCUAAAACCUUUUCUUGUUGCAGAGUAAUGAAUGGAAUUUGACAAACAAGUUGAAAUUAAGAAAAACAAUCAAUCUCAGAUUAAUGUAUGGAAGUGGUUCAGAAAAUAUUUUUGAAAUGAAUAGAAUUUCUCAAAUGAAUUGGUAUUUGUCAUGUGUAUGAUUGAUGCAAAAGACAUAAAACAUGAGAAUAUAUAACUGGAAUGCAGAAGCAAUUAGACUACCUGUGCAUUAUUAUUAGCCUCUUCUGUUAAUGAAACCAGAUAACAUAACAGGGCUUCUCUCCAAUGUCUUGAGCUGCACAUACCAUAACCUUUUUAUUUUUCAAAGAGACUAUUAAACAAUGAAAAGAGAGCACUUACAUUUGUUAAAUAAUUCUUUAGCUGGAUUUUGUGCUUAAUUCCAUCCUACAUAUAUGCAACAAAAUUAUUGCAUUGGCUUUGAUUGAUGACUAGAAGCCACAAUUUCCAACAUAUGUUUCAUUACCACAUCAAACCUGCCAAGAAAAACAUACCAACUGUGUCAGAAUCAUUGAUAUUAAUAUAAUUUACUAAAGUAUUAUAUGAUCCAAUAACAAAAAUUGCCACCAAAAAGAAAGAGAUGAAAUCCAUACUUUUUUCAAAUAAUCGGUUCGAAUGAAAUAAAGAUAACCAUAAGAUGCUUGUUCAAGCAUAUCACAGCUGAAUGAAGAGGUUCCUACAAAAAAACAGGAAAUUUUUAAACAAUAUUCGCAUAUAUAAUGAUUUUAUACACCAAAUAGACUUGAUUAUCACCCCAUCAGAUAUAUAAAAGUAAACAUCAGCAUCGUUAAGAAGAAGAAGCAGGGGUAAAUGAUUCAUGUUAAAAAGAUCCACAAACUUGUUGAUACUUAGGAUCCAUGGCAGUUGAAGAAACAACAAAAAGGCCUGCACAUUCAUUUGGCUAUUAAACAAGUUACUUAAUAGGAAAGGAAAGCAUUAUAACAUGUGAUGAAUGUUGUGAACAUCUAUAAACAGAUUUGGUUGUGGAAGUGGAACAUCUCAUGUAUUUUAAUUUAAUUGGAAAGGAAACAUAACUUAAUUAAACAGAAACACACAACUUUUAGUUAGAACCAAAGUACACUUCUAUUUCUAAUUGAGUUAGAAACACAAACAAUAAAUUAUCUUUCCCUAAUUGAAUUUCUAAUAAUUCAAUAAGUUGUUUAAUAUUUUAAUUUGGUUUGUGAUUAUUUACUUCUCUCUACAUAAUUUAAUCCGGCAACAUUUUUACCCUCAAAACAAAGCAAAACAACUCUUUAGGUUAAUUAAGACAUUACAUCAAACAACAAAGAAAUACUUUUUUUGGGUUUCAAAAAUAUUCAAAUUUUAGCGACAUCACCACUUGCUUGACCAGUCAUCUUCGUUUGAUGGAUGCUUUCAUGCUUUGGAUUCAAUUUGAUAACAAAAAUUCAAAAAACCAACAAAGAAAAAAAUAGAUGGAGGAGAAAGAGAAAGAAACCCAGAGCGAAAAAAGAUCUGUGUUUUUUUCUUGAUCGAUGAUGACCUUGAACCAAACUGACCGAUGAAUCCAGUAACGAAGAAAAGAGACCUGAAGAAUAUUGGCCUAUUGAAAAUACCUAACAAAAACAAAUAUAAAAUCAAUGAUACAAAAAAAAGGAAUCAAGAACGUUACCUAAGAGACGAAGAGGGAAACGCAGAGGAUUAUUGAACGCGGGAAAAUGAAAAAAUGAGGAAGCGGUGGUGUCGCUAGAAGAAAAAGAGGAGAAGGUUGUGCCUCCAAAUAAAACCCUCUUCUUCUUCUUCUUCUUCUUCAAAGAAACAUGUCUCCGGUGGUGUUUGGAGAACAGUCGGAUGAGUGAAGAAGGUAUAUAUUAAGCGCCAAUACAUCGACCCAACCCUUUCGACUUCCGAAUUCCAACGGUUCUUUUUUAUAAAACCUUUCCAAAAUUACGAUACUAACAAACAAAACUUUUCCAUUUAUCUUAAGCCACAUAACCCCUCCCCUAACUUUUGACUCUUACCAUUUUAAACUAUAAAUUUAUCCUUUAUUGCAAAAUUGGUACCUUACUUUCUCAUUUUACAUUUUAACACAAUUUUUUUUUAUCUAAUUUGGUCCAAACUUUUUUUAGAAAAAUAUCCAAAUAUCUUUUACAACUUUCUUUAUAUAUAUAUAUUUCUUAAAACUUAGCUUUUUUUAGUUAUUUUGUUACAACAAUUAAAUCAUUUUUAUAAAACUAGUUAUUUUACUAAAAAAAUGAUUUGUGUUGUAUGUAUGUUUCUAAAAUUCCUUUAUUAUUAUAAAUUAUAUUUUGUUAAUUCGUUUCUUGUAUUUACAAAAAAAAUAUUAUUUUUACAAAUUCUUAAUAUUUUUUUAUCAAAUCGUUUUAUAAAGUAGUUUUUUUUAAAGUUAUCUUUUACAAAGAUUUAGAUCUUCUCUGAUGCAUGUAUUUUAAGAUUUUUCCUGUAUUUACAAAUAUAUUUUUUCAAAAAUCCACUUCUAUUUUUUUGCAUAUUCAUUUUUAUGCAAUUGUAGUUAUAAAAAUAUGUUAAAAAGUUCUAUCUUUUUAACAUAUUUGUUUAUAAAUAAAUAAAUAAAUAAAUAAACUAAAAGUGCACCAUAAGCAAUGCACUUUCAUGAUAUAACUUAAUGUGUAUAGUAAAUUACAAUUAUGUCUUGUUUGUUGCACAUGUUAAAUUUUCUACAACGUAUAUUAUACAUCAUGCAAUUUCCUUUGUUUUACAAUUUUUGACCAAUUUCUUUUCAAAUUUUUGCAAACCCGGGUUAUUUCCAGUGGCAUCAUCAGAAGGGUUCCGAGUGGACUUGGGAGCCGGAGUCUGAGAUGCGUGAGCAGUACCCUAGUUAUUUCCAGAAGAUGACUUCGAGGGCGAAGUCUGAUUCUAGUGAGGGAGAAUUGUAACAUCCCUAUAUCAGGUGUACCUUAUCAACCCUUGUUCUUUUGGUAAUUGUCAAGUUUGGUCCUUUAUUAAAGAAAAGGUGGUAAGUGAGUACGCGGGGCGUACGCGUGUGUACGCUCAGUGUGCUCAUGUGCGUGUUUUUGACGCGGAAGCCACCUAGUACGUUGCGCGUACCAAAGGGUACCCUGGUCGUACUAGGCCUAGAGUGAAAACCCUAAUUAAGGGUGUGUCUAUAUUUAAAGGACAUGAUGGCCUCAUUUUUGGCCACCACUCCCAUACCUCAACCCUCUCAAACCCUAAUUUCUCGUCCCUUGAGCUUGUGUGUCCAUUUGUGAGCUAUUAAGUGCUCUUGUGGUUUCUUUGGAGUGAAGAAGGAACUUUGAAGAGGAAGGAGUGGGGGUCCAGGCUUUGGAUUUGAGCUUAUAUGUGUUGGAGCUUCAGUUAGAGGUAUAAAGCUCAAAGCUUUCUCAUCCUUUUGAUUUGUGCUUUAUGUGGUCCAUUUUAGGGUUUUUGGUCCCAAAGCUUGAAGCUUUAUGAGUUGUUGAAACUCCAGAGCCUAAUAUUUGUCCCUUAGAGUGUUUUAAUGGAGUGGUUUCAUAAAAAUGGAGUCUUGGACGUCAAAACCACCCCAUGCAUAAGAUAUGAGCAUUCUUGAGAAUAGAAAAGCGAGAGUUUUGGUGUUUGUGACUUUUUCAGCCAUGCAAAGGCUUAAAGUCACAGACUUUAUGGAGUGUGACCCUUUAUGGAGUCCAAAUCUAAGAUUUGAGCUAAGGUCAUAACGAAUUAAGACCAAAUGAGUAGGAAGAGAAAAUACGGGGUGUACGUUGAGCGUAAUCCCAAUACACGCAGCGUAUGGUUGAGAAUCCUCGAUGCAUGCAUGGCGAAGGAGUACGCCCAACGUAGAGGGCUUGUACGCGCGGCGUAUGCGCUACCGUUGACUUUUAGGGUUUGGUCAAUUUAUGGACUAUUACGACCAUGGAAGGGUAAAAUGGUCUUUUAUCCUUUUGUGAGUUUGUAGAAGGGUUUAGUCUAGCUUCUUUGAGAGUCGUUAUUAAUUAGAGAUAAUUAUCGUAUGUGUUAGGCGGAGGAUAAACCGGUGAUUUGAAUUCGAGGUUAUCCGAUUUCUUACGAGGUGAGUCUUCUCACUAUACUUACCUAGAGUGGUAACUUUGUGUAUGACUGAAGGGUCUUAUGUGUUUAUAUUGAGUAUUGUGAUAUCCUGCAUUAUGUCUUUGUGAUUUAUGUUGUGUAUUAUUCUGAGCUAACUGAGUUAGGACUGGAGGGUCCACCCGAGUUGUAGGACCGGAGGGUUCCGUUGAGACACAUUUACCAUAGGGUCUUAUUUGAGUAUAGCCAUGAGAGGCUAAUUGUUCUGAUGCCAUGCAACCCAAAUGGACCAUAUGCCAAAUCGGGUCAAUUACAUACCAAUUAUAGUUAUGGACUUAGACACUAAUCCAACAUCAACAUAUCUUCAAGUUUAGUAUGUGCUAUGUUCCUUUGGUCUUUGGGUAUGUUUACCCUCAAUAAAGGUGGUGUGGAAUUUUUGUUCAUAGUCGGCUCAGGUUUUGGUAGCAUUCAGGAUCACCUUGGAAGUCUUCAUGAGAUGGUUGUGCAUUGGUGGAAUCUAUUCAGUCUCAACCAAGGUAUGGGGUCUUGUUCCAAUCAUUCAUGGGGAUAUCUUCUUUUAGUGAUUGAGUUUUGUCGUUUGAUAGAACUUCGGUAUUUCUCUCCUUUUUUGGAUAAUGUUAUGGGGUAAUUCAUUAUAUGUAUUUCCUAGAGGGGUGUAUGCUACUGGACAAAAUAGAAUUGGAGCACUUGGUUCGAAUUAUAUGCAUGGUUCUUUUGAGGUUAUGGCCUUUGAAUUGGAUCAAGAAUAUGUCCAUUUAUCCUAUUAUCGGGUCGUGUGUGGCCAUGAUUUCGUCAUAUUUUGCGUUGAUAGCAGCGUGUUUUGUGAAAGGAAUUGUGUGUGGUUAGACCAUGGCGGGAUAAACGUGUUGUAAGACUGUGGGGUGUGUAACAUCCCGAGUUCAGGAGUGCAAGUUCAGGGUUCAAAGUGAAAUUGUGAAUGGUCAACUCGACGAGUUCAUGGGUGGACUCGGCGAGUAGGGUUGCAAUUCUGGUCGCGUGUUAAGUGGCCAACUCGGCGAGUUGGUGCUGUAUGGAGAAAGCCCUAAUCUCGGGAGUUGUGCCCUAUAUAAAGAACAUAACACCUCUUCCCCAGCCUCUCUACCUUCCCUUUGAGUUCCAGAAACCCUAGAUUCGCGUGAUCGAGCUUUCCUUGGUAAGAGAUUAGAGCCUUGGAGGAAGGAAUCUUGGAAGGAAAUUGAAGAGCAAGAAGAUUGGAGCAAGGGGCUUUGCAUGGAUUUGGUUCAUUCUUCAGUUGGACCUUUCUCUUGAGGUAAUAAUCUAUUGCUUAAGCUCCUUAAUCCUUUGUUGCUUGAAUUUUUGGGGCAUUUCUAGAGUUAUUUCGGGUUUGGGGGUUGGAUCUGAGGUUGCUACCUCAGAUCUGGACUUGAGAUGGUCCAGAAGAUCAUAAAGUCCCUGUUCUUGAGUUGUGGGUGAAGCUUUCUUGUCCCAAACCCUAGCCUAAGAGUGUGUAUGGCUUAGAUCUCUUUGGAUUCACGUAAAGUUUGCCACUUUAUGUGAUGGGUGGCUUGUAGGAGANNNNNNNNNNNNNNNNNNNNNNNNNNNNNNNNNNNNNNNNNNNNNNNNNNNNNNNNNNNNNNNNNNNNNNNNNNNNNNNNNNNNNNNNNNNNNNNNNNNNNNNNNNNNNNNNNNNNNNNNNNNNNNNNNNNNNNNNNNNNNNNNNNNNNNNNNNNNNNNNNNNNNNNNNNNNNNNNNNNNNNNNNNNNNNNNNNNNNNNNNNNNNNNNNNNNNNNNNNNNNNNNNNNNNNNNNNNNNNNNNNNNNNNNNNNNNNNNNNNNNNNNNNNNNNNNNNNNNNNNNNNNNNNNNNNNNNNNNNNNNNNNNNNNNNNNNNNNNNNNNNNNNNNNNNNNNNNNNNNNNNNNNNNNNNNNNNNNNNNNNNNNNNNNNNNNNNNNNNNNNNNNNNNNNNNNNNNNNNNNNNNNNNNNNNNNNNNNNNNNNNNNNNNNNNNNNNNNNNNNNNNNNNNNNNNNNNNNNNNNNNNNNNNNNNNNNNNNNNNNNNNNNNNNNNNNNNNNNNNNNNNNNNNNNNNNNNNNNNNNNNNNNNNNNNNNNNNNNNNNNNNNNNNNNNNNNNNNNNNNNNNNNNNNNNNNNNNNNNNNNNNNNNNNNNNNNNNNNNNNNNNNNNNNNNNNNNNNNNNNNNNNNCGAGUUGAGUCGCGGAUUGGGAGUUCUGAGUAUAGGGACUCGACGAGUCAGCGGGUUGACUCGGCGAGUAGAGUCAGACAGGAAGGUUAACUUUGUCUGAGGACUUUGACUUUGACCAAUGGUUGACCGGUUGACUUCCAGGGGUAUUUUGGUAAUUAUUGGUAUUUAUUGAGUUAAGCCUUUUGGUAUUGAUCAGUGGUGGAGUUCGUGUCGGAAGUUAGAGCAGCAUGAUCUUAUCUGUUUAGUCAGCAGUUGCGAGGUGAGUUAUCCUCACUAUAUCGACAGGGUCUACGGCACCAAGGCCGACCCUUUAUCGGAUUGUAAUCCGGGUAUCAUUGUUAUGUUAUUGCUUUGCUAUUUUGCAUCCUGGUAGUUAGGAUGGUAUAUGUUAGAGACCUGGUUAAGGUCGGUGUCCUGGUAUNUAUAUAGGAUGAUGCUAUGCUAGUGACCGGUUAGGUCGGUAUCCUGGUUAGGAUGAUGUUAUGCUAUGUGAUAUGUUAGAUCAGUUUGAUUGGAUGUGAUUUGUUAUAUGAUUGAAUGUUUAUGUGCACAUGGUUGUUGGACUGGGGUUGGGUUGAGGCGGGACCUGCUUUGUGCUGUAGGCCAACACACCCAGGGCGGACUGGUUAUCCCGAAGGCCCAACGAGCGUUCCGGAUAGGUUGUAGGCCCUAAAAGGGCGGACCAGACGUGCCGAGGCUCGGAGAGUGGACCAGGCCGNAAUAAAUAAAUAAAUAAACUAAAAGUGCACCAUAAGCAAUGCACUUUCAUGAUAUAACUUAAUGUGUAUAGUAAAUUACAAUUAUGUCUUGUUUGUUGCACAUGUUAAAUUUUCUACAACGUAUAUUAUACAUCAUGCAAUUUCCUUUGUUUUACAAUUUUUGACCAAUUUCUUUUCAAAUUUUUGCAAACCCGGGUUAUUUCCAGUGGCAUCAUCAGAAGGGUUCCGAGUGGACUUGGGAGCCGGAGUCUGAGAUGCGUGAGCAGUACCCUAGUUAUUUCCAGAAGAUGACUUCGAGGGCGAAGUCUGAUUCUAGUGAGGGAGAAUUGUAACAUCCCUAUAUCAGGUGUACCUCAUCAACCCUUGUUCUUUUGGUAAUUGUCAAGUUUGGUCCUUUAUUAAAGAAAAGGUGGUAAGUGAGUACACGGGGCGUACGCGUGUGUACGCUCAGUGUGCUCAUGUGCGUGUUUUUGACGCGGAAGCCACCUAGUACGUUGGGCGUACCAAAGGGUACCCUGGUCGUACUAGGCCUAGAGUGAAAACCCUAAUUAAGGGUGUGUCUAUAUUUAAAGGACAUGAUGGCCUCAUUUUUGGCCACCACUCCCAUACCUCAACCCUCUCAAACCCUAAUUUCUCGUCCCUUGAGCUUGUGUGUCCAUUUGUGAGCUAUUAAGUGCUCUUGUGGUUUCUUUGGAGUGAAGAAGGAACUUUGAAGAGGAAGGAGUGGGGGUCCAGGCUUUGGAUUUGAGCUUAUAUGUGUUGGAGCUUCAGUUAGAGGUAUAAAGCUCAAAGCUUUCUCAUCCUUUUGAUUUGUGCUUUAUGUGGUCCAUUUUAGGGUUUUUGGUCCCAAAGCUUGAAGCUUUAUGAGUUGUUGAAACUCCAGAGCCUAAUAUUUGUCCCUUAGAGUGUUUUAAUGGAGUGGUUUCAUAAAAAUGGAGUCUUGGACGUCAAAACCACCCCAUGCAUAAGAUAUGAGCAUUCUUGAGAAUAGAAAAGCGAGAGUUUUGGUGUUUGUGACUUUUUCAGCCAUGCAAAGGCUUAAAGUCACAGACUUUAUGGAGUGUGACCCUUUAUGGAGUCCAGAUCUAAGAUUUGAGCUAAGGUCAUAACGAAUUAAGACCAAAUGAGUAGGAAGAGAAAAUACGGGGUGUACGUUGAGCGUAAUCCCAAUACACGCAGCGUAUGGUUGAGAAUCCUCGAUGCAUGCAUGGCGAAGGAGUACGCCCAACGUAGAGGGCUUGUACGCGCGGCGUAUGCGCUACCGUUGACUUUUAGGGUUUGGUCAAUUUAUGGACUAUUACGACCAUGGAAGGGUAAAAUGGUCUUUUAUCCUUUUGUGAGUUUGUAGAAGGGUUUAGUCUAGCUUCUUUGAGAGUCGUUAUUAAUUAGAGAUAAUUAUCGUAUGUGUUAGGCGGAGGAUAAACCGGUGAUUUGAAUUCGAGGUUAUCCGAUUUCUUACGAGGUGAGUCUUCUCACUAUACUUACCUAGAGUGGUAACUUUGUGUAUGACUGAAGGGUCUUAUGUGUUUAUAUUGAGUAUUGUGAUAUCCUGCAUUAUGUCUUUGUGAUUUAUGUUGUGUAUUAUUCUGAGCUAACUGAGUUAGGACUGGAGGGUCCACCCGAGUUGUAGGACCGGAGGGUUCCGUUGAGACACAUUUACCAUAGGGUCUUAUUUGAGUAUAGCCAUGAGAGGCUAAUUGUUCUGAUGCCAUGCAACCCAAAUGGACCAUAUGCCAAAUCGGGUCAAUUACAUACCAAUUAUAGUUAUGGACUUAGACACUAAUCCAACAUCAACAUAUCUUCAAGUUUAGUAUGUGCUAUGUUCCUUUGGUUUUGGGUAUGNCAAUAAAGGUGGUGUGGAAUUUUUGUUCAUAGUCGGCUCAGGUUUUGGUAGCAUUCAGGAUCACCUUGGAAGUCUUCAUGAGAUGGUUGUGCAUUGGUGGAAUCUAUUCAGUUUCAACCAAAGUAUGGGGUCUUGUUCCAAUCAUUCAUGGGGAUAUCUUCUUUUAGUGAUUGAGUUUUGUCGUUUGAUAGAACUUCGGUAUUUCUCUCCUUUUUUGGAUAAUGUUAUGGGGUAAUUCAUUAUAUGUAUUUCCUAGAGGGGUGUAUGCUACUGGACAAAAUAGAAUUGGAGCACUUGGUUCGAAUUAUAUGCAUGGUUCUUUUGAGGUUAUGGCCUUUGAAUUGGAUCAAGAAUAUGUCCGUUUAUCCUAUUAUCGGGUCGUGUGUGGCCAUGAUUUCAUCAUAUUUUGCGUUGAUAGCAGCGUGUUUUGUGAAAGGAAUUGUGUGUGGUUAGACCAUGGGCAGUGACCAUGGCGGGAUAAACGUGUUGUAAGACUGUGGGGUGUAUAACAUCCCGAGUUAGGAGUACAAGUUCAGGGUUCAAAGUGAAAUUGUGAAUGGUCAACUCGACGAGUUCAUGGGUGGACUCGGCGAGUAGGGUCGCGAUUCUGGUCGCGUGUUAAGUGGCCAACUCGGCGAGUGAGUGCUGUAUGGAGAAAGCCCUAAUCUCGGGAGUUGUGCCCUAUAUAAAGAGCAUAACACCUCUUCCCCAACCUCUCUACCUUCCCUUUGAGUUCCUAAAACCCUAGAUUCGUGUGAUCGAGCUUUCCUUGGUAAGAGAUUAGAGCCUUGGAGGAAGGAAUCUUGGAAGGAAAUUGAAGAGCAAGAAGAUUGGAGCAAGGGGCUUUGCAAGGAUUUGGUUCGUUCUUCAGGUGGACCUUUCUCUUGAGGUAAUAAUCUAUUGCUUAAGCUCCUUAAUCCUUUGUUGCUUGAAUUUUUGGGGCAUUUCUAGAGUUAUUUCGGGUUUGGGGGUUGGAUCUGAGGUUGCUACCUCAGAUCUGGACUUGAGAUGGUCCAGAAGAUCAUAAAGUCCCUGUUCUUGAGUUGUGGGUGAAGCUUUCUUGUCCCAAACCUAGCCUAAGAGUGGGUAUGGCUUAGAUCUCUUUGGAUUCACGUAAAGUUUGCCACUUUACAUGAUGGGUGGCUUGUAGGAGAGUAGAUCUAUGGAUUGGAGCCCCUGCAUGGCUUGGAAAGCCACUGUAUGGAUUAAGAACUAGAGAUACUCGUCGAGUCACGUGGGUGAACUCGGCGAGUUGGAUGAAGAUGGGCAGGAACUCGACGAGUUGGAAGAACAACUCGGCGAGUAGGUUGAAUGUUUCCUUGGACUCAGCGAGUCUGUUCUUGGACUCGGCGAGUUUGGUCGUGGAGUCCUAACCUUUUUGGGUUGAGCUGUGAAUCGGUGAGUCGAGGGACGACUCGAUGAGUUGAGUGGGAAAGGACUUAGAGUUUGUUGGACUCGACGAGUCUUGGGGCGACUCGGCGAGUUGAGUCGCGAAUUGGGAGUUCUGAGUAUAGGGACUCGACGAGUCAGCGGGUUGACUCNNNNNNNNNNNNNNNNNNNNNNNNNNNNNNNNNNNNNNNNNNNNNNNNNNNNNNNNNNNNNNNNNNNNNNNNNNNNNNNNNNNNNNNNNNNNNNNNNNNNNNNNNNNNNNNNNNNNNNNNNNNNNNNNNNNNNNNNNNNNNNNNNNNNNNNNNNNNNNNNNNNNNNNNNNNNNNNNNNNNNNNNNNNNNNNNNNNNNNNNNNNNNNNNNNNNNNNNNNNNNNNNNNNNNNNNNNNNNNNNNNNNNNNNNNNNNNNNNNNNNNNNNNNNNNNNNNNNNNNNNNNNNNNNNNNNNNNNNNNNNNNNNNNNNNNNNNNNNNNNNNNNNNNNNNNNNNNNNNNNNNNNNNNNNNNNNNNNNNNNNNNNNNNNNNNNNNNNNNNNNNNNNNNNNNNNNNNNNNNNNNNNNNNNNNNNNNNNNNNNNNNNNNNNNNNNNNNNNNNNNNNNNNNNNNNNNNNNNNNNNNNNNNNNNNNNNNNNNNNNNNNNNNNNNNNNNNNNNNNNNNNNNNNNNNNNNNNNNNNNNNNNNNNNNNNNNNNNNNNNNNNNNNNNNNNNNNNNNNNNNNNNNNNNNNNNNNNNNNNNNNNNNNNNNNNNNNNNNNNNNNNNNNNNNNNNNNNNNNNNNNNNNNNNNNNNNNNNNNNNNNNNNNNNNNNNNNNNNNNNNNNNNNNNNNNNNNNNNNNNNNNNNNNNNNNNNNNNNNNNNNNNNNNNNNNNNNNNNNNNNNNNNNNNNNNNNNNNNNNNNNNNNNNNNNNNNNNNNNUGUGGAUAGACUCGGAGGGUGGACCAGGUGGACUGUAGGCCGGUGAGGCGGACCAGUCACACAGUAGACCCGAAGUGCAUGGUUGUUCUGUAUCGAUUCUAUGAUAUGGUUAUGUUUUUAUGGCAUUGGUAUUUGGGGGUAUCUCACUAAGCUUUUGGGCUUACAGUUGNGUUUAAAUGUAUCAGGUACUUCAGGAGACUGUGGCACGGCAAAUGCAUGAUCGUACCGCUCCUCGAGUUUUUAUGUGAUUACGAUGUGGUUUUUGGGAAAUACUCUGAUAAUAAAUGUAUUGAAAACCUUUUUGUAAUAACUUUAUGAAAUUGGGUUGUUUUUGAAAAGUUUAAAUUGGUUGGAAUUUUUAGAGUGUUACAAGGUGGCCAUAGCAUUCACUGGAUUAACGGAUAGUAUGGAAGCGUUGUAAGUCUGCAAUGGGAACGUAGCAUUCACCAGAUUGAGGUAGACCAUCGUUGGGGUUGUCGUAAGUAUAAAGCAGGAUCAGCUCGUGCCUUGGGCAAGGCGGACAGUGGGGUCGGAGAGCAUAUCUUUGUUAUGGGAAUAGGACCAUUAGGGUCCGAGACGGGUUGGGCUUGUGUAGCUUUCGUUGGGUGAGACCCGUGGGUAAUGCCCGUAUGAUUAUGGAAAUGCAAGUGAGACCUGGUAGAGAUCGAUUAAGUCGAUGAAUUGGAUUAUGGUUUUAGUAGGAUGAUUAUGUGGCUAGGGAGUGGCAUAGAGUGGUGCACAUGCUAUAAUAGCCUUAUCUGUUGGACUCUCAUGAACCUGGUGGCUAGACCAGGUGCGAGACUGGCAGUCUCAGCGGUGGUUUAGGGAUUUUAUAUCCCGCUUUAGGGAAUGGUUGUCGUGAAUCAUAAGAGUUCGGGUGAAACGCAAGUGUAAAUCCUUGGAUCUCAGGUUAUGGGUUAUGUACCGAGUUGGCUAUUGGUUGAGAUUCACAUCGGGAAUCGUUAGUGUAUAAGUGCAAAAUAUGUAUCUCAACAAGUUAUGGAUUUAGGAAUCUGUAUGUCGGGUUAUCAAUUGGAAGGUUCAGGGUUAAAAGGAUGUUUCAGUUAUGAUGGUAGGAGGAUACCCUUAUGAUUGUGUUUCAGAAUGAUUCUACCUGUGCGGAGGUCAGGCGAGUUAUAAGGCUUCGAAAUGUCUCCACUCAUGGCUCCAUCAAUCCUUCUGUUACAUCCGAUCAUAACAUCCUGACAACUUGUCGCCAUCGAAUCAGAUACGUAAAGUGAACACUACCAAAAUAUUGUAGUCUUACCUCAUGUCCGAUCUCUAGCGACCUAAGUAGUUAAUAUCGGCGAUUUCCAGGUGAUUUCCAGGUGGGAUAUCGGUUAUCGGUACUUUUCAAAAUAGCGGUGUCAAAUAUCGGUCCAAAUUAUCGGACUGCAAAUAUCGGUGAUAUUUAUCGAUAUUUAACCGAUAUUUACCGAUAUUUCCAGGCGAUUUCCAGAUGGGAUAUCGGUUAAGUAAUUUUACGUGCUAUUUUUUAGUGUUAAGUCAUGGUCUUAAGUCUUAUGGACUUAACUUAACUGAACCUGUUAUUAUGUUAAGUACUUAAUUGUUAGUCUUAGGUCAUAGACUCAUGUUUUAAGUAUUAACCGAUCUUAUUGUUAUGUUAAUUGUUACAUACUUAAGUGUUAACUUACUAGUUUCUAUAGGUUUGAUCAUGUUGAUGUGUUAAAUACAUAAUUCUUAAAUGAUGAUGAUGAUGAUACUAGAGUUGAUGUUGAUGAUCUAGAUAAAAUAAUUGGAUGCCUUGGUUUAUGUGGACUUGGAGGAAGAUUCCAUGGCUUACGUAAGAUUAUGUUUCGAACAUUGACAAUUUUGAAUUUUGAAUUUUUAUAUUACUUUUAUAUAUGUUUUAUGUUUAUAUAUAUUAAUUAAGCAUGAUAUAAAAAACACCGAUAUCCCACCGCGAUAACCUAUAUCCCAAAUAUCGUCCCUUGACCGAUAUUUGAUUUUGGACCGCUAUAACUGCCUAGCUAGCGACCUACCGUUUCCUGAUUCCAAUCAUGUUGUGGUCUACCCUCUAUCUUGCGAACUUGAUUACCCUGACCUAAUCAUCUGAAAGAAUCUGUGAAUGCUACGAAUCAUUCCGCAGUCUCACAACACUUCCCACACCAUCAGCCCACUAGUGAAUGCUACAACUACCCCCGCAGUCUUACAACACUUCCCACACUAUCUGAUCGCUUGUGAAUGCUACGGCUACCCCUGCAGUCUUACAACACUUUCGCUUUAACACAACCGCAGCCCGAUGCCUUACCCUCAAUCUAUCAAUCCAAUUACCCUCAGAGUCUAACACACACACCACCGAACACCCGAAUUGAAUUCAAUUCAUGACUGGAACCCCAAACUGAUUCCCCAAAUUCUGCUAUCAAGUACCAAGAAGACGUAUUUCUCAUGCUGGGGAGUUUUACCGAACCCCCAACUCACACAACCCUCAAACCAAACAGCCACUUAGACCGCCUUCCUCCCUAGCGGAAAUGCGAAACUUAUCCCAAUUCCAAAACCGCUCCUGCUUCUGAAUCCCGAGAUAAUUCUCCCCCACUUAGAUCCGACUAAGUCUUCACAAUACAUGAAAGUGGGAGAAUUCCCAAUCGUUCUCACUUUCCAACGAUCGAUCCGAUGAUAACCAACUCUUUCCAACUAGUGCUCCAUUACCAUCCAAUCCCAAAUGAUCACACGCUUCUAACAACUAGAUGAACACUUCUUGAAUCUCAGUGAAACCGACAAUCCCUAAUGCUUGAAUGAUCCCACACUCAAAUCUUGAAGGCCAAAAGAUAGAUGCUCCAACUAAUACCUCAACAAUGAGUUACUUCCCUUGGCGCUUUCAUCUACCAAUCAAUAACGGUUAUGAAAAAUCACUGAAUCCUAAAAAUGUUGAAUAAUCAUCCUGUAGGACCCUGUCCGCAGACCUCCCACAUCAUACCCAUCUUCCCAUAGUGCUCCAAACAAACCUCCCGCUCUCGGGCUCUAGAAAUCAUGUCAUUCAGGGUCUCUCACCCUGACUCACUCACUAGCUCAGUCGUCCACAGCUGAACUACGGUAGCUGAAGUAACCUCUACCCUAAACCGGGCUACCAACUACUCCCAAGACAUAGUCUCUAAUCCCAAAAGCGCAAUAGAUCGCACAAUCAAUCCUUACCGCCCGAUACAAGAGAUCCAAGGCAAAUCGGAUCUUAGAUCCUAUGGGUAAGGACGGUAAUCACGUACACCUCACAAGAUACUCAUGCCACAUCGACCCACCCGAGCUCACCAGCGCUGAAAUACUGUCGCCAACCCCUGCGACCAACUGACCCUGAGCUGGAAUACAACCUAAUCCUGGGUCACAAGCUUGCUCACUCCUUCGAGCUAUAAAAAAAGGUACAAUACUUGCCCUAGAAAACGACAUUCCAAUCCAUCAAUUAACCAUUCUACUUCCAGCUACAAAGCUCCAUUUGAUCAUAAUCAUCACUCCCUUCCGGAAUCCCCGCGACUCGAAUCCCGGCCUCGAACAAAACCCCUAAAGCCUCAAAUCCAAAAACUCCCGCACCACCCUCUUCCGCUCAUCCCGCGGAAUGUAACGAGUACGGAGCAUCUCCCUGAUCUCAAGUAACUGCAGCUCUCUGAUCAUCAGAAUAUAUUCUAAGUCAUCAUCUGACUCUAGGAAGAAUCCCUGUUUAAACAAGAAGAAUAUUGUUCAUAUGAAGAUUAAGGGUAAGAAGGCUCUUGAAAAAGAAACUAUGGCUAAACAAAGCCCUAAGUUCCUUGAGAAAUCAUAUAAGAAAGUGUCACAAAAAGUAGGUAGUUUAGCUACUAGGAAUCACAAUUCAUUCAUGCCAGUUAAAAUAUUUAAGAGCCCAUCUAUUCUUGUUAGCUCGGAUAUUCCUACUUCCACAAAGAAACAUUCUGCAAAUAUGUUAAUAUUGAGUCAUCACCAAAAAAUAGUAACUAUCUUCGAAAAGUGUCAUCUCCAGUAUUUACUGCCACCUCGAAUGGAAAAAAAUUUAAGCAAAAACAAUCUCCAAAUGUGCCUACAAGAGAUAUGAAUAAGGGAAAAGAUACUCAUAACUUUUAUGUUUGGAACCCCUUAAAAGGUCCAAAUAUGAAAUAUGAAUGGAAGGCUAAAGAGAAUGGAAAUUUAACCGAACAAUCUGUCAUUCUGCAUACUCAAAAUCAUAAAUGAUCUGGUACAAUUUCAUGCCAUUCUGUAAUCAAGAUCAUGAAUUUAGAGUUCAGACCACUAAACCUUUCAAUUUGAUUUCUUACAGCUUUGUUUCUAUGCCAUGAUUAUGUUGCUUAACAUUGUUUCUUUUCCCGUGAAAUCUAUAGACGAAUUUGGUUUCUAAUGAAAUUGCCACUCUUCUAAUGAUAAGAACAUUGUUAUGGACCCUUUGAAUAUAGAGCAAAAUUUUGUACAUCAUGAUGUUCCCCAUUAACUUUACUUAAAACGAGCACAUACAAUGUUAUCAAUCUUUUGAGUGAAAUGACAGAAAAUGUCUAUUAAUCGAGUUAACUACAACAUUUUACAUUUUUUUUCUUAUUCGAAAUCUUGUGUUGACUAAUCUUAAAAGUUCAUACUUUGUUAGGCCAAGCAAUGUCAUAAAUUUUUCACCGGAUGUAUGUUGAGGUGGCUCCUUUAUCGUUGGUAAACACCUGGCCGCAACAAGAUUUUUACCGUCGGGUUUCUACCGGUGGCAAACGUGAGGCAAAUGAUGGUAUUUGUCUUUCUCUCUCUACCCACUUUUUUUUUACCCAUGGUUAAUCCUUGUAGUUUCUCAAAGUUUGCUGCCAUUAAUUACACAUUGAUGUUUGACUUUAACUGCUACAAUAUAGAAUGUUGUUGCUUUUUCUAAAGUUGUCAAAGUUUGUUGUCAUUUAUGGAGGUUUAGUGUUUGGAUGCCUCCUGCUCUUAAUUCAUAUAGAUAUCUCAACAUUCAUUGGCUUCUGAAACAUAGUAGACCUAUUCAAGACUCAAACCCUAUACUGAAGUAAAGGAGCAAAGCACAAAAGUUUGUGGGCUAAAUUUUGACCUUCAGUGUCAAAUUUAACUUUGAAAUCCUUUAAAAAUACUACAAGAACUAAUCAAACAGGAAUGUGAGAGAUAUUAUAGACACAAUUCAAACAAGUUAAGAACCUCAAGUUUCGCUGAUAAAGAUUCAAUUUCAUAAACUAUCAUCUUAGCCAUCUCUUCAUCUAUGUCAACAUUUUUUUUGACAAAACUGACAAAAACAAGGUAACCACUUGUCAAACAGAUUCAAGGAAACCAUAAACAGCUACAACCUAGUAGUUCAAAGCAUGUAUGUGAAUCUUGUUGUUCAUGAUUAACAACAAUUGCAAUAAAUAGCAAACUACUUACAUUUAUUUGUUUACCAUAGCAUCCUACAUACAAGUCAUGAUUAUUAAACUUUCAACAAGCCAUUAACAUAAACCAUCAAUAAUGAUUAACAUUCUCAACAAACAUCUCUUUUUCUCUAGUCCUCUUGUUCCAAGUUCAUUGUAUGGAUGCUGCAAGAUCACUCCCACUACAUACACUAACAAAACUAACCCAUGAAUGUACAUAUGAACAUAACUUUUCAUGCAAAUCAAUUGUAAAAACCAAAAGUAAACGAGUUUUUGUACCAUAAUUCAAGAUGUUAAAUGUUUUUAGAAGCAAUGAAGUAUGUAAAACCCAUGGAAGUGUUGUGUAAGCUAAAAAUCAAUGGAAAAAUAGGUACUUUUAAAAUUUGAACUUUUCUAAAAGGGAAAUAAUGUAACUUUCAUGAAAAGUGUUGUAGUAUUUAAACAUCUUAUACUUUUUUUUGCUUGUUGAGCAACUCAUCAAGUUCAGGGAGAGCAAGGAACAAGAAUGAAAGAAAACAAAGAGUCAAUUUUGAUGAGUUGAUAGGAUGCUCGAUAUAUUGUAUUUCUUCAUCUACUCAAUCUCCUUCAUCUUAACCAAACCAAAGUCGAUCAAAACCCAAAAACUAAAUACUCUGCAACAUGAAAUUGCAAUAAAUAUAAUAUGUGGGUCAGGGUGAUAAAAGUUGGAGGGCAAAAUAGACAUUUACCUAUCAAAAUGGUCAUUUUCAUAAAUUUAACAUGAAAAUGAAAGAGAUGAAGAAGACAUUGGCAAGAUGGUCAUUUUCAUAAAUUUAACAUCUAGGUGACGACCUAGGUACCAAGAGCGUUAUGAAACCAUAAAAUAAGAACCAAAAUUGCAAUGUCUAAGUAUGUUAAAUUUUCAUAGGGCAUUGUUAACCAAAAAAAAAAAUUCAAAAGUACAACGUUCAUAUAUUUUGAAUAUAAAAUGCUAUAAAUGUUAGCCAAAAUGAAACAAGUUCAGAUUUUCAAAAUACAAGUCUUACUAGGUUAGUUUUUGAAAAUGCAAUUUCUUAAUAGAAAAACAGUUGAAAGUACAAUACAAUGUUGGAUUUAGAAAAUACAAUAACUUGAAGGAAAAAUAGUUGUCAAAAAAAUUGAACUAUAAUGCUGUAAUUGGCAACCAAGUUCAAACAAGUUUGAUGUUUUAACGGGAAAAUGUCUUGAUAGGUUAGAUUUUUAAAAUGAAAUGUCGUAAUAAGAAAAAGUAAAAAGUAAAAAGUCUUCACAGGUUAAUAUGAAAUUUAUAAAACUAUAAUGGGCAACCAAAAACAAACAUGUUUAGUUUUUUCAAGUAUAGUGACUUGAUAGGAAAAUAAUAAAAUUACAAUGUCUUAAAAGGUUUUAUUAUCAAAGUAUAAUGCUUUAAUAGAAGGCUUUAUAUCUUCGCAUCUAAAUAGCAUUCAAUUACAAUAUAAAAACUCAUGAGGAAAUAUGGAAAGGAUUUUAUAUUCUUUCUCAUAAAAUUGCAACUUGUGUCCUAUUGACAUCAGUCUCAAUCUAAAUUCUAAUGCAUUCCAAAAUCAAAAGAGACGAGAGAAAGGAUUAUUAUACGUUUAGACUACAUACUGUUGAUAAAUAACCUGAAGGUGAAAUCCAUAAAUGAAGCGUGUUUUUCAUUUCUGCCAAUAUUUUAAGUUACUCUGUAUCGUAUGCAAUUAUGAAAUUCAAAUAUUUAUAUUCAAUGCUUUUUACAUCAUAACAAAAAUGAUAAUUAAGGAGUGAAAAAACCUCUCUGAUGAUCCAUCGUGGACCAAAAAAAAAAAACAUCCACAAACAUGUUGAUACCUAGGAUCUGCAUGUCAAUUGAAGAAACAACAAAAAGGCCUGCACAUUCAUUAUAAUCAAAGACUUACAUGUAACUAACAGGAUGAUCAAAGGCUUCAUGUGUGCAAGUUCAAGUUCUUAAUUGGAAAAACCCUAAACCCUAAACUAAAAGUUCAAGUUCUUUAUUGGAUAAAUACACAUACACAUAUGGUUUGAAAAGGAUACACACCAUGUUGAUACAAAAUCAGGUUGAUAAGUUGCAUGGGAAAGUAAAUAAAUACUGUUAAACUCUUACAACUGUGUGCAACUUUCAUGCAGUAUAAGUGUAUAACUAGGUGAAAAACUUACAGUUGAGAUGGGUAUAGUUUCUAUAGGUGAAAAGCUCCUUUGUCACCUACUUAAAAGAAAAAUAAACAUUUCUCAGAAAAACCUAGUAACAUUACAUUGCUAAAUUGGCUAGUAAACAAGUCACUUAACCACACACCUAAUAGAACGUGAAUAAGCCUUAAUGAUUGAAAAAUACAAUAAAUUUAUCAUACCCAACAUAUCAUAUACUCUGUUACAUAAUCGUGGAGCAUAUUAGGUCUCAAAUCCACCAUCAUCUCAUCCACCAAUUUCAAGUUGUUCUACAUGAAUGAAAAUGCAUUGCCUAUUAAGUUAAAAAGAAACAGCAGUUUUGUAUGCAUGAUGUGAUUAGGUACAAUAAGGAAAUCAUUAUCAUGAACUUAAUUCAGACAGAAGAUGAAAUUUGAUAAAAUCCAACUAAGCCACCAUAGUACACCAAUAUCAUCUGGUUGGACCUUUCAUAUAUGUGUGAAUUUGAUGGAUACAACUUAAUUUCAAGACUUCCACCAGCAACAUUUGCAGUCAGGUUUCUAUCCCCUAACCAUGUAGGAAAAGGAAUAAGUUCCACUUAAGGUAAGAAAAGAUUAAACUUUGGUAGACUUGAAAAGAGAAGGAAAAAAAUACACAUUUGGUAUCCACUUGUAUACCAUAUUGUAGCAACAUCAUCUUGUUUUGGUGAGCUAAAAGAAAAGGGUAAUGGUUGUUACUUCCCUAAAAAGCACCAAUUCAUAUAGCAAAUAAAUCAGUAAUCAAAGAAUGGGUAGAAAUCAUGAAAGAUUAAAAACUCAAAUCAAAGAAACUCAUGUUAUUGGAGAUAGAUGCUUAAGUCUGUUAUUACGAUAACAAGAUAGACUUAGCAAAAAGUUCUAAAAUGUGAUUCAACAAAAGGAUUUGAAGUUACCUGAAUAAUAAGCUUAGAAAAUGAUACAACCUUUAACCCCAGUUGUUGAUGAGUUCUUGAAGGUUGUAGCUUCAUUUCAAUAAAGAAUCUUAUCAGUGCAACCAAUAAGAAAUGAACCAAAUGAUCAACUAUCAAAACAACAGAAGUUAUCAAUUAAGUGAGUUCAUAACAAAUCAAGAACAAAUGAAGAACAUGAUAGAUAUAGUGAUUCGAGAUGCAAUGGUCUCACAAAAGAAGAAGAAACUUCUAAAAUAUUUUGCCUGCCUUUCUAACAAACGCCCUCCCAUAAAAUAUAACCUAAAAUGACAGAGGAUCUGCCUUAAUUCCCAAAAUGCCCCUGCUGUCCCACUAACUUUGUAGUGCCCUCGUGGUUGUCUGUGGUUCCCUCUCCCAUUGGAACCUUUUGUCUCUGAUAGGUAAAUUGCAAGGGUGAAUGCACAAUAGUUUUCAGUGACAAAAAGAUGAGCAACUGAAAUGUCAACGUGAUUAAUUAGCAACUAAUAAAAAAUUUAACCAUUGUGCAACCAAUAAGAAAUGAAGCAAAUGAUUAACCAUCAUACCACUAUCAAAAUAUGUCAAGGUGUCAUAUUCAAUCAAUGUAAUGUUUGAUGAUGACUAGCUGUAAAAGUAAACAUUCCAUUUUCAUGUCUUCAAUUUCUUUGGAAGAUCGACAUUCAACAAAAUCAGUAACUAUGGUGUGAAAUGUAGAGCAAAUAAAAGAGGGUUUACAUUAAGCACGUGUAUAUGAAUAUGAAAUCUAGAGUUGAUAAAAAAAAAACAACAAAAACAUACAUUGACUUAGACAUUUGUCUCUCGAUUUGAUGGUUGAACAAACUAAUAUAUCAUAUCCUAACCUUCGUGAGUGUCAUUCAAAACAUAAUCCUCACGAUUAACCCCAUGUGUGAAAUACUCAUGUAUUAUUUGACAAUCUUCCCCUAUUGAACUGAUUUCAAUAAGAGUUUUUACAAACCUCAAAUAGGGACCAAAAUUGAAAAAACCAGCUACAAAUAUUACUCUACAAAGAUUGAUAAUGUAAUUAUUAUUACAGAAUCAUUGAUAUUCGAUAGUGAAAAUUAUCUAUCAAGUACUGAUAGCAAAACAAAAUUACCUAUUAAAGUAUUAAGAUAUGAUCCAGUAACAAAAAUUGCAAUAUAGACCAGCAGAAAGAAUGAGAUGAAAUCCAUACUUUCUUAACUAAAUUCUCAUACAAAAUAUUUUUAUUCACAAAAGAGAAUUGAUUAUAACCUCAUCAGAGAUGUGAAGGUAAACACCAACACCCUCUUUAUAUAUAUUGACCACUUGUUUUUAACAUUUCAGCCCACCAAAGACUACAUCAUGUGGCAUUUCCCUUCCCUGAUGUCCCAUUUUCGCUGAAUAAAAUCACACAUUUUAAAUAAAUAAAAGACUUGACUAAAUAACAAAUAUCUUUUCUAAAGAAUUACCAGGCAUACUAAAUAAGUGCUGAAGGCAUUUUCCAUGAAUUAUUCAACAUCUUUUUUUAUUGAUUCUACAUGAAGCAUGUUAAUCCCAUCAUUUCCUGAAGAUAGAUAAUACACAAGCAUGAGUUUGGAACAAAGGGGUAUUUCUGGAAAUACACAAAUAGGGUCAUAGACUUGUAUCUUUUGUAAUCAGUGGAUAGAAGGCGGUAAUUUGAUAAAGCAAAGUUCAUAAUUUCGUAACAAUUGGAAAAUGGAUCAAGAAUAUUUUACAAAACGACCAACAAAAAUGGAUGCAAAAGACAUAAAACAUGAGAAUAUAUAACUGGAAUGCAGAAGCAAUUAGACUACCUGUGCAUUAUUAUUAGCCUCUUCUGUUAAUGAAACCAGAUAACAUAACAGGGCUUCUCUCCAAUGUCUUGAGCUGCACAUACCAUAACCUUUUUAUUUUUCAAAGAGACUAUUAAACAAGGAAAAGAGAGCACUUACAUUGGUUAAAUAAAUCUUUAGCUGGAUUUUGUACUUAAUUCCAUCCUACAUAUAUGCAACAAAAUUAUUGCAUUGGCUUUGAUUGAUGACUAGAAGCCACAAUUUCCAACAUAUGUUUCAUUACCACAUCAAACCUUCCAAGAAAAGCAUACCACCUGUGUCAGAAUCAUUGAUAUAGAGAUUCAAGCUAAACUACAGCAAACAUAAGUCCAAAUGUUUUUUGUAGCAAUAACAAUCAAUAUGCCAAAUUCAUCCUAGUGUAUAUUAUUCGGAAAGGAAACCUAACUUAGUUAAACAGAAACACACAACUUUAUAUGCAACUUUUAGUUAGAACCAAAGUACACUUCUAUUUCUGAUUGAGUUAGAAACACAAACAUUAAUUUAUCUUUCGCUGAUCAAAUCUCUAAUAGCUCAAUAAGUUGUUCAAUAAUUUAAUUUGGUCUGUGAUUAUUUCAAAGUGAAGUCAGUAGAGCAAGCUUCAACCAAAAUUUUCAUAUGUAGGAAGCCAAAUAUUUUCAAUAUGACAAAAAUUCGAAAAAUCAAAAUCCAAAAUUUACAAAACAUGGAAGAAUCUGAACAAAACCUUAGAAAUAGGGCAAAGCAUAACAGAAAUGACCAUAACCAAAGCUACCAGUCCAUUUUUUCCGCAUAAAACACAGAUAAAUGAAAAGAUUGCUAUUACAACAAUACUGUAAUAAAAAGAAAUGAAACUAGGGUGAUAUAAGACACAAAUAAAUGAAAGUAAGUUCCAUGACAUCAGGAGACAAGGGUGAUGCACCUGAAAACCAUAAAAGCAAGUUAGUCUUUUUAUUUUGUUAAAUACUAAUCUGUCCCACAUAGCAUAGGAGAUGCACUCUUGCCUGAAAGAUAUAAUAUAUUCUUUAAAGUUGGGAAAGCUAAAAGGCUCCCUUGUGCUGAUUUUUUUUUAUAAAUAGUUACCUUUAAAUAAUGCUUGCCUCUUUGCAUUAAAUGCAACAUUAAACAAUCUUUCUCUAUGACCACCAUAUGACUAGUCAUCUGAAUUCAUAACACUUCGAUAACCACAAACCUAAUUGAGCAUCAAUAAGCCAUACAAAUUAAAAAAUACAAUAAAUUUAUCAUACCCAUCAUAUCAUAUACUCUGUUACAUAAUCGUGGAACAUAAUAGGUCUCACUCAAUUCCACCAUCAUCUCAUCCAACAAUUUCAAGUUGUUCUACAAGAAUGAAAAUACAUUGCCCAUUAAGUCAAAAAGAAACAAAAGUUUUGUCAUGAUGUGAUUAAGUACAAUAAGGAAAUCAUUAUCAUGAACUUAAUUCAAACAGAAGAUGAAAUUUGAAAAAAUCCAACUAAGCCACCAAUAUCAUCUGGUUGGACCUAAUUCGCUAAAUAAAAGCACAUUUUUAAAAUAACAAAAAAAAAAUAAAAGAAUCAACCAAAUUACUAGGCGUACUCUGUUACAUAAUCCUGAAACACUACAGAAUAUAUAGUAGGUCUCAAUUAUUCCAUGUCAUCCAACAAUUUCUAGUUAUCCUACACGAAUGAAAAUACAGUAAUCAAGUCAUAAAGAAACAACAGUUUUGCCAUGAUGUGAUUAAGUACAAUAAAAAAAACAUUAUCAUGAACACUACAGAAUAAAAAGCACCGAUUCAUAUAGCAAAUAAAUCAGUAAUCAAAUAGCAGAAAUGAUAAUUUGAUUAAGAUUCAAGCUAACCUUUCAUAUGACCCCAAAAAUCAAAUUUCAAUCUCUAAAAUCCUGCAGCAAGAAAAUUACAAACAUAAGUCCAAAUAUUUUUGUAGCAAAGACAAUCAAAAAACUGUUUCAAAUAUGCAAAUGCAUCCAAGUGUAUUUUAAAAUAAUUGGAAAGGAAACAUAACUUAAUUAAACAGAAACAUACAACUUUAUGCACAACUCUUCGUUAGAACCACAACACACUUCUGAGUUAAAAAUACAAACAAAUACAUUAUCUUUACCUAAGUGAAACUCUAAUAACCCAAUAAGUUAUUUAGUAUUUUAUUUUGGCCUGUGAUUAUUUACUUCUCUCUACAUAAUUUAAUCCAGUAACAUUUUUACCCUCAAAACAAUUAACACCAUGUGUGAAACAUAUCAACUACUCAUGUCUUAUUUGAAAAUGUUUUCCUAUUAAAUUAAUUUCAUUCAGAGUUUUUGCAAACCUCGAAUAAGUACCAAAAUUGAAAAAAAAAAUACAGCUAGAUCAAAAAUCUAAUAGUACUCUAAAAAGAUUGAUAAAUCAUUCAUAUAUAUUGUUAGUUAAUCAUUGUUACAGAAUCAUUGACAUUCGAUAAUGAAAAGUAUCUAUUAAGUAAAACAAAAUUAUCUAUUAAGGUAUUAAGAUAUGAUCAGGCAACAAAAAAUGUAAUAUAUGAUCACAUUUCUUGUACAGAUCAGCAGAGAGAAUAAGACGAAAUCCAUAUUUUCUUAACAUAAUUGAAAAGAAAAGGGUGAUGGAUUGGUUGUUACUUCCUUCAACUUCUCUUCAAGAACAACAUUGUACACUUGUUCUACCACUUCCAUAACAAUAAAAUCAGUAACUAUGGUGUGGAAUGUAGAGCAAAACAUUAAGAUGAAAUCUAGAGUUGAUAAAAAAACAACCAUGAAACAACAAAAAUGUACGUUGAUUUAGGCAAUUGUCUCUAAAUUUGAAAAUUUGAACAAACUAAUAUCAAAAUUCUAACCUUCAUGAGUGUUCUCCAAAAUAAGUACCAAAUAUGAAAAAAUCAGCUACACUCAGGGACCAAAAAUCUUAUAUUACUCUAAAAGGAUUAAUAAUCAUUCUAUAUUAUUACGGAAUCAUUGAUAUUAGAUAACAAAAGUUAUGUAUUAAGUAGUAAUAGUAAAACAAAACUACCUACUAAAGUAGUAAGAUAUGAUCUGGUAACAAAGAUUGCAAUACCUGAUAGCAUUUCUUGUACAGAUCAGAGAUGAAAUCCGUACUUUCUUGGCUAAAAAGAAACAAGUUACUGAAUAGGAAAGCAUUGUAACAGAUAAAUUUAUACCUCAACAUUUAAUUGUCGAACAUUUCAUGCUCAAAUUGAACUUAUGGAGCCUGUAGGGUUGAAGUGUAUAAUUAGUUUCUUGUCUACAAGCUAUGCAUCUAUUAGAUGGACCUCUUCUUUGUAACCUUAUAUUCAAAAGACUGAUUUCAAUUAUAAAUUAAGCAAUAACAAUGCACUUUCUUACCUUGGCAUCAUAUAUGGUCAUUUAGUUUUUUUUUUUUUUUUGACUGCUCCAUUUAUCCUACCAAAUAACCACAUAUUAGUAAUUGAAAUACAUAAAUUAAGAUUCGCUUACAAUCUUCAGAAAUUCAUAUAACAAUCAUUACAUGAUUUAACUUCAUAAACAAACCAACAAAAAACAACAAUGUGUUAAACCUAACACAAUUAGUAAAACACAAAUCAAUGAAAGAGAAACAAGAAAGAGCAUUAUUAGGUGCUGGAUUCUUUCAUGAUCACAUACCCACAGAAAGAGAUUUGACUAGAACAUCAUGAUAUUCAUAAAAAGGCUGACAGAAUCAAACUUGCAAUUUUGUCUCUAAAUCUAAUUGCAACUUCCUUCACCAUUGUAUUUGUAUCUUUCAAGUUUUACUUUAAAGAUUAGUUUAUUACAUGUGGCUUCAUGUAUGAAGCCAAACCAUGCAUCCUUCUUCUUCAUCAAUUACACAAAAUCUUAGAAAUGUUAAUUAUAAAAUUGCAAUUUUGAAUUUAUGUCCCAUUGACAUCAGUCUAAUGCAUGCCAAAAGCAGAAGAGAAGAGAGUAAGGAUUAUUAUAUUUAUACAUAACAUUCGUUUGCACUUCAUCUUUGUAGUAGCCUUGGAACACACACAAAUUACACCAACAGGGUAUGAUGGUUGAUCAUCGGACGUAUAUUUCAUCUCAGGAACAUCCACAUCUGAAACAGGAACAUCAUUCAUCAAUAUUGGUUUAAAUGCAAGAAAUACUAAACUAGCUUCAUUUUUCCUAUUAUAGAAUUGUGCUUGAAAAAAUCUACCCAGUUAUAGCAAUGUCAUAAAGUAAGUUAAUCCCAUCAUUUCUUAGAGAUAAUACACAAGCAUGACUGCAUGAGUUUUAGGAACAUAGGGGUAUUUCUGAAAAUACACAAACAGGGUCAUAGGCUCAUAUCUUUUGUAAUCAGUGGAUAGAAGGCGGUAAUUUGAUAAAGCAAGUUCUCAUAAUCUCGUAACAGAAAGGCAUAACCACCCAACACCCUUACUUGAGAUUCAAUGCAAAGCUAAAUAAGAACAUAAAAAGCAACAAGUGUUUUAUAGUUUUAAGGGUAAAAACAUACAUGUUCACACUUUGAUUCUCAGGGGAUCUUCUUUUCCUUUUCUCCACCAUAACAUAAGCUCUUUAUUUGGUUUCUAAAACCUUUUCUUGUUGCAGAGUAAUGAAUGGAUUUUUUCAAACAAGUUGAAAUUAAGAAUAACAAUCAGUCUCAGAGUAAUGUAGGGAAGUGGUUCACAAAUUACUUUUGAAAUGAAUGGAAUUUGUCAAAUGAAUUGGUAUUUGUCAUGUGUAUGAUUGACAGGAAAUGGAAAGGAUUUCCAUUCUAUUCUUUUGUUGUUUUGUGUUUAUUGUGUAAAUCUAUCAAAAGAAUUGAAGUGCAAUAUGUUAAGUAAAUGACUGAAACACCCUUUAGUGGUUUUUUUAUAAAAUAACAGAAUUGCUAUAUACCAAAGAAGAUUUUAUUUAUGAUAGUAAACACUAACUAUAUACACAUCAAACAUACAUACUCUAAUUUCAUAAACAUUAAACAAAAAAAUAUGACACUAAUGGUGAAACAAUUAGAUCGAAAAAGGAUUAAAAAUACUUUACAAAAUGACCAAAAAAAUGGAUGCAAAAGACAUAAAACAUGAGAAUAACUGGAAUGCAGAUGCAAUGACACUACCUGUGCAUUAUUAUUAGCCUCUUCUGUUAAUGAAACCAGAUAACAUAACAGGGCUUGUCUCCAAUGUCUUGAGCUGCACAUACCAUAACCUUUUUAUUUUUCAAAAAAGAACCAAAAUUAAAAAAAUCAGCUACACUCAUGGACAAAAAUUUUAAAAAAUACUUAAAAAAGAUAGAUAAAUCAUUUAUAUACUGUAUUUAAUUAUUGUUACAAAAUCAUUGAUACACAAUGAAAAUUAUCAAUUAAAAUAUUAAUAUAUGAUCAAGUAACAAAAAUUGCCACCAGAAAAAAGAGAUGAAAUCCAAACCUUUUUAAGAUGAUUGGUUUGGUUGAAAGAAAAUGUAACAAUAAGAUGCUUGUUCAAGCAUAUCACAGCUGAAUGCAGAGGUUCCUGCAAAAAAAAGACUUUCUUUAUUAACAAUAUUCUCAUAUAUAAUAUUUUUAAUCACAAAAGAGAUUUGAUUAUUACCUCAUCAGUUCUACAAAGGUAAAAAGCGACAUCCUUUUUAUUUUUCAAAGAUAUUAUUAAACAAUGAAAAGAGAGCACUUACAGUAUUCUCAUAUAUAAUGAUUUUAUUCACCAAAGAGACUUGAUUAUCACCCCCAUCAAAUAUAUAAAAGUAAACAUCAGCAUCAUUAAGAAGAAGAAGCAGGGUAAAUGAUUCAUGUUAAAAAGAUCCACAAACUUGUUGAUACUUAGGAUCCAUGUCAGUUGAAGAAACAACAAAAAAAGCCUGCACAUUCAUUUGGCUAUUAAACAAGUUACUUAAUAGGAAAGGAAAACAUUAUAACAUGUGACGAAUGUUGUGAACAUCUAUAAACAGAUUUGGUUGUGGAAGUGGAACAUCUCAUGUAUUUUAAUUUAAUUGGAAAGGAAACAUAACUUAAUGAAAUAGAAACACACAACUUUAUAUGAAACUUUUAGUUAGAACCAAAGUACACUUAUAUUUCUAAUUGAGUUACAAACACAAAUAAAUUAUCUUUUCCCUAAUUGAAUUUCUAAUAACUCAAUAAGUUUUCUAAUAUUUUAAUUUGGUUUGUGAUUAUUUACUUCUCUCCACAUAAUUUAAUCCAGCAACAUUUUUACCCUCAAAACAAAGCAAAACAACUCUUUAGGUUAAUUAAGACAUUUCAUCAAACACCUAAACUGCACAGAUAAACAAUACUUUUUUGGGUUUCAAAACUAUUUAAAUUUUACCGACAUCACCACUUGCUUGAGCAAAUCAUCUUCGUUUGAUGGAUGCUUUGGUUUCGAUUUGGCGACCUGAUUCAAAAAACCAUCGAAUCAAAAGAUAAAUGGAGGAGAAAGAGAAAAAACCCAGAGAGGUCGUAGUGUUAAUAAAGGCUGCAAUUAAGUAAAAUUAUGUCAUUAAUAUACCUUUUGUACAGUGUUUGAUCCUUUUAGCGAUGAUGAAACAUGCUUAGAAGAAAAAAAUUAGUUUCAUGACGUAAAAAGUUGCCAUACACUUAGCCUAAAACACGUAUUGAAAACAUACAAGUAAACACAAUACCUAGAAAUCAGAGGAAAAAGAUCUAUACUCUUUUUCUUGAUCGAUGAUGAUGGUAAACCAAACUGACUGAUGAAUCCAUUAAUGAACGAAGAGCGACCUGAAUAAUCUUCUUAACCAAUUGAAAAUACCUAACAAAAACAAAAUCAAAAUCAAUAAUACACACACACAAAAAAAAAUCAAGAGCUUUAACUAACAGACGAAGAGGGAAACACAGAGGAUUGUUGAACGCCGGAUAAUGAAAGAAAGAGAAAAGGGUGGUGUCGCUAGAAGAAAAAGAGAAGAAGGUGGUGCCUCCAAAUAAAAGCCUCUUCUUCUUCUUUUUCUUCUUCACUGAAACAUGUCUCCGGUGGUGUUUGGAGAGUAGCGUGAUGACUAUGAGCGACUGAAGAAGGUAUAAAUUAGGCGCCAAUACACCGACACAACCCUUUGGACUUCCUAAUUCCAACGGGUCUUUUAUAAAUCAUUUCCAAAAUUAAAACCUUUCCAAAAGUUCCAUGAGUAACAAAGAAAACCUUUCCACUUAUCUUAAGGGGUAAAUUACAUCAUUCGUCCCUGGUGCAUAUGCCAGAAAGCGUAUUUAGUCCUUAUUUUCGAAAAUUAACUCGGACCGUCCCUCGUUUGUUUAAAACUUGCACAUUUCAUCCCUCUGGACAUAAAAUGGCAUUUUUGCCCUUAUUUACUUAUUUUUGAUUUAUUUAUUAAUUAUUAAUUAUUAUGCCAUUAAAAUUAUUAUUUAUUAAAUAUGUGGGCCAUUUGUAUUCAGCCAUUAGAAAAUUACUUCCGACUACCAUCACCACUUCCGAUCACCACCACCACUAACCUUCGGCGAGCGCCACCGCUACCUCUGUUACUCGAGAAAACACAUGUAAUCCAUGUUCUAAUCCAAAAAAAUGCUACCCCAAAAAUUCGUUCAAGACAUCAAAGCUACUUAAAAAAUCAAAUCCAUAAACCCAUUCACGACAUCAAAUUCAUAAAUCAAUACUUACAUAAACGAAUACUCAUACAUACAUAGACAAAAACUACAAAUCUGGUUUAUAUCUUCGUAUGAAUUUGAAGAAGAAACCCCCAUAUGAAAAAAAAAUUCUGAUGCACAUUCGAUUUCUUAUGAUUUGAAGCCUAAUCAAUAAGAUAUUAGUUCGAUAUCUACUGAACAGUCAUAUAUGAGGUGUAAUUGUGGGGAGAAAAUGAAGGAGAAGGAGAUGGGGGUUUGGUCGGAAAAACCCAAGGCACCAACAAGAUCUAGGGUUUGACCGCCGCAAGUCGGGUCCCAGAAAUCGUUGAUAUUCAUGGUCGCCAGAUGAUUUGGUGGAUCGAUCAGGGGAAGUCAACAGUGGUCGCGAUGUCUCCUUUAGUUAAUGUCCGAGCUGCAAAGAGGAUUGCUCUUAUUCUUUUUCCGAUGAGAUAGUUGUAGAUCUGAAAAUAACGAUGGUCGAUUUCAAGAAAUUGGGUAGUUGAGUCUGUUGGUGGUUGAUUCCACAUUUCCGACAUGAAUCGAGGAAGGUAAGUGAGGAGGUGGUUAGUGGCGAUUGUCAAGCAGGUUCUGGCGGUGGUUGUAUCUCUGGUCGCUGGAUUUUGAGUUUAAGGUGAGGUGAGGGCGAUAUGAAGAGUGUGAAUGGAGAAUUAAUGUAUUUCUAGGUAAAUCGGGGGUGGGGUGAUAGGUUUAAUUGUUUAUAAAUUAUUAAUAACUGUAAAAAUAAAGGAUUAAAAUUUAUUUUCUAUUUUUCUUAUAUAAACAAAAUAAAAGAGUAAGGGCAAUAUAGUCAUUUUAUGUUAAGCAAAGGAUGAAUUGUGCAGAUUUAAACUAAGGAGGGAUGAAACAUGCAAGUUUAAACCAAACGAGGGACGGUCCGAGUUAAUUUUUGAAAAUAGGGACUAAACACGCUUUCUGACAUAUGCACGAGGGACGAUUGGUGUAAUUUACCCUAUCUUAAGCUACGUAACCUCCUAACUUUUCACUUUUACCAUUUUAACCUAUAAAUUUAUCUUUUAUUGCAAAAUUGGUACCUUCCUCUUCCACUUUUUAUUUUGACCUAGUUUUUUUUAUAAGUUUUAUUUCUAAUUUGUCCAAAUUUCUUUUAGAAACUUUUACAAAUAUUUUUUAUAACUUUCUUUUUGUAUAUUUCUUAAAACUUAGUUUUUUUAUUAAUUUUGUUAUAAGUAUGAAAUCAUAUUUAUAAAAUUAGUUAUUUUAUUAAAACAAUUAUUUAUGUUGUAUUGUAUGUUUUUUUAAAUUCUUUUAUUAUUAAAAAUUAAAAUUUUUAAUUUAUUUUCUGUACUUAUAAAGGCUAUUUUUUACAACUUUUUUUUUACUAUCUUUGUUUUUUUAUCAAAUAGUUUUAUAAAAUUAGUUUUCUUUUAAGAAUAAUUUUUACAAAGAUUUAGAUUUUUCUUUUCAUGCAUUUAUUUUAAGAUUUUCCCUAUAUUUAAAAGGGGUAUCUUAAAUGUACCCUAUGUGUGUGAGUGUAAUGUAUGUGUGUUGACCUUCACACACACACAUGUUUCAUCAUGUGGGGACUUUUUAGCAACACCUAUAACAUGUAAAAGUUAUGUUCUUUUUAACAUAUUCAUUUUAAAAAAAUAAAAAAAAAAAUACACCUUAAAGAGUGCACUUUUAUGCUAUAACUAAAUGUAACCCUAAACCCUAGAGAGUAAAUUAUGUCUUGUUUUUUGUACAUGUUAUAUUCUCCGCUACAUAUAUUCCGCUCCAUGUAUUUUCCUUUGUUUUACAAUUUUUGACUAAUUUCUUUUUCAAAAUUGGUCCAAAGUUUUUUUUACAAAUUUUCCCUAACUUUUUUCUUUCAAUUAAUAACAUUUUUACAAAAGAAUUUAGCAUUUGAGAAAAGUUUGGACAUGUUUGAUAUUAAUGCUAGUUACACUUAUUAUUAUACAAGCAACAUAUUAAAUCAUUUGUUUAUUCUUUUUUUUUUGGUAUAGCUGAAUUUUAUUAAACUAACAAGAAGUUAUAACAAACAAUUACAUGAUAGUAUAAGAAGAAUUAUGAAGCCAAGUAGACCAAGUGAACUUAGCUUUGUUACAUUUAUUUGAAAUCUAAAAGAACGUCUUAUCAACAACAUCAUCAAAAAGCAAUGCCUUUUAGGGAUAACCGUUCCAAAAAUGGUAGCAUUUCUAAAAUUCCAAAUGCCUCAAAUGUUGUCAUAACAACUGCAUCAAAAAGCUUAUGUUGACAUGCCCUCAAUGUGAUUGCAUCAAAACAAGAGAUAAGAGAGUGUACAAAAAUCUGAUAAGGAAGAUGUAAACCCCACCAAAUAGCAAUGUGUCUCCAUAUAUCCUGUUAAUACAUGAAAAGUGCCCCUUAGUCAAUCCAACAUUUUGAGCAUUUCCGAAGUAGUCUAGACUUUAAGAUGAAUGUAUUUCUAACGUGUUUAAAUUUCCGAGAAGUUGUUACUUCGAAAUCUGAUCAAUGUUGUAAUGCUCUAAAUUUUCAAAUAAAAUUUUCAUUUUUAAAACCACGCAAAACACAGUUUCACAUUUCUCUAACCCAAGUUUAUAAGUUGUUCGAAACACAAGACAAUAUAAAUGUUUGACAAUAUCCCAGAAUCCUCAAAACAUAAUCUCUAGCUGGUGUGUACAAUCAUUUCGACGCCUUCCUGCGAUCCUGAGAUGUACCUGAAACACAUUUCACACAACACUGUAAGCACAAAGCUUAGUGAGUUCCCCAAAAUACCACGCACUAAUAAUUAGCCUCUCAUGGCUAUAUCUCAAUAAAGGACCCUCCGGUCAUGUGUCUCAGUGAAGACCUCCGGUCUCACAGCUCAGGUCGGACCCUCCAGUUCGGUAUCUCAGUGAAGACCCUUUGGUCUCACAAAUCGGUUUGGACCCUCCGGUCCUAACUCAAUAAGACACAGAAAUAAUAUACAACAUAAAUCACAAAGACAAAAAUGCAUGAUAUCACAUAACUCGGUAUAAGCACAUAAGACCCUCCGGCUAAUAACUCAAAUAAGACCCUUCGGUCACAUAAUAUUACCACUCAGGUAAGUAUAGUGAGAAGACUCACCUCGUAAGUAAGCAAAUAUGUCUCGUACUUAAUGGUAGGUCUAGACUCCGCUUACAUAUUGUGACAUCCCCAAAAUCACGGCCAGAAAAGACCGGUUUGUUUAUGCUUUGUUUAAAAAUCAGAGUUACAUUUUAAAUGAAAGUGUUGCGGAAUUUGUCCCAAAACAAAAAUAUGAUAAAGAUUUAUCAAAAGCAUUUCCAUAGAAAUGUAUUUCAUUAAAAGACUCGGGAUGUCAUGUUCGUACAGAUCAAAAGCAUAAACAGUACAAUAUAAGCCUUACUACAUUAUUUCAUAUCUACAGGCCUAUAUCCGUAAUCCCUCGUCCAAAACAUCACACCUAUGCUCAUGCGCCACUACCUGUAAUACAUAAAACUGAGUGGGUCAGGCUUGGGAGCCUGGUGAGCACAUAGGGUUUUCAACCCACAAUAAAUAAGUUUAUUAAUUUCAUCGAUCAACAAUAACCCGAUUACCCGUUCCCGUUAUCCUCACUUUACGUCCCUAAACACCUAUCAUAAGGGACCUAGCCUAAGGAUCAUCAUCGGGACGGACACUACUGCUAAGGGGAUUCCUCAGCAAUAAAUGUCCUAAAGGCAACCAUGUGGGGGAUGGAGUACACCGGUGAACAUAUCGUUCACAAACACCUACAGGUUGCGAGCCUGCUAGUGUUCCACUGGACUGUCUAGAAGAGUCCGUGGUCGUCAUCCAUACUCCGCUAGAUGACAGAAUCAACAACAUCAACAUCGAGGCCUCUCAUCAUUUUAUCACACAUCACCUAUUGCAUCUACCCAUGUUUUACCCCAACAUUUUCGUAGAUAUAAAAUACAUAUACAGUUUAAAUCAUUGAAAACAUGUAUAACAACGUUCAUCUAGCAUAGAUAGCAAGUAUUCAGAUAAUAUGCACACAUAGCACGUAAUUUAUAUAAAAUACUUCAUAUCUAUGUGUAAGUUGAAAGUAACUAUGCACUCACUUGUUAAGGUGAUGAUUCCAAAAUCGGGCAGCGCUUGCUUCUAACGAUUCUAUUUUCCUUCGACGAAACCUAGCAUUAUUAUCGCUAAAUUUUAGUCUAAUAUUUACCGUGACCAACUAUUAGUCUUAGUAUUAUUAUUAUUAUAUAAGCGUUAAACAAUAUUUUCCAACCACUAUGUACAGACAGGGGCCAGACAUAAAACACCGGAGGGCAGGACCAUUUUGGCAUAUAGCACUUCUGAAAUCCAACAACCCUAUGCGGCCCUUUAAACCAGAUUCCCCGUACCGCGAGUAGUUAAAAAAAAUAUUAUAACGACACUUAUAUAAGUUAUAAUAAUAGCUCAAAUAUUUAUUAUAAGUUCAUAAUAACAAUACUAAUUUUAAAUAUAAGCUAUAUUAAAAUAAGGUAAGCAUAACUUACUUACAAGGGGGUUUUAGCUAGGAGUCGGGCUCUGCAGGGGCAGAACUUCGUCGCUGAAUCUUUCUAAGAAAGAUUCGUGCAGCGCUUCAGCGCUCACCUUACUAUACUAAGCUACAGAAAGAGAAGUCGAAUCACGAGGGACCGAAAUGCUCGGGGGAUAAGGAGAGAAAGACUCUUGAAUCAAGAGAAUGGUGCAAGAAAUAUGAGAGCCCAAGGCUCUUAUUUAUACUAAUUGAAUUUUCAAAAACUACCCUCCAUAAUUACUUAAUGACCUUUUAGUUAUAUAAACAACUAAACACCCCUCUAUAAUACUAUUAUAAAUGGAUUUAAUGAUAUUUGUACUAAACUAAUGUCGAAAGAACUCAACAUUAGUCUUAUAAUGACCGCAUCGUCGAUACCUUUCUAAUGAUAUAUACAUAUGUAUAUAUAUGUGUACGUAUACAUGAUUUAUACUUUAUUUUAAUACGUAAAUAUGCUAUUAUAAUUUGUAACUCGUUCAUACGAACUCCGUUUUUGACGUUCUUUAUAUCCACGCGUAGGUGAAGACGUACUCUACAACUUUCGUUUAGACUCCGUCGGCUAAUUUUGACUUUAUUUUUAAAGUUAUAUUUUUAACAAGCCGGGACAGGAUUGGUCUGUUUAAAAUCUCAUAACUUCUUCAUACGAAGUCAGAUUUGGGCGUUCUUUUUAUCGAUGUUCUUAGUUUAACAUAUUCUACGACUUUCGUUUAGAUCACUAAGGCUAAAUCUCGCUCUAUCGUAAAUUCACUAUUCACGCUUCCCGGUAUCGUGCCGGUUCUGUCGUGAAACUUCGACGGGUCAUAACUUCUUCGUUAUAACUCGGAUUUCGGCGUUCCUUAUAUGCACGGAAACCUUGAGACAUAUUCUACAACUUUAUGUAGAGAUAUCGGGAUUAUCUCACACUUUAAUUUUGACGCUCAUUUUUAUUCUUUAUUAAUUAUACAUUUAUAAUUAAAUAAUAAACACAUAUAAUUCACAUAAUACUCAAAUAUUUCAUCUUUAUUACUUCAAAAAGAGUUACAAGAGUUGACCUAGACUAUUACAUUGAAAAAAAUGUUUAGCCCUGAAACCCGAGCGUUACACAUAUAGCAUAAUCAUUUCUAAUUAACAAUUUAUAAUAACAACUCCAAAGAUGUUCGACUGUUCCUUUACUAACUCUCGGAAAGGGUGAAAGAACAUUUUACUCCUCCAUGGUCUCCUAAGUCCAUAACUUGACCAAACCCUAAAAGUCAACAAAAGUCAACCCUCAAGUCAACAGUCCAUGUUGACUAUUAGGUGCAAUUUGUGCACCUUUUUGCACGCCUUUUAGUCCAAUUUCAUGCAUCUAUUUAAAUUGUUCUUUCCUUUUUCUUGCAUUUCAUCAUAUUCAUGUUAGUCUCUAGAAUAACCUUAUUUGCACACUUUCAUGUCUUUUUCAGGUAAACCGGAGCUUGGAAUGCACUUUGGGAGAUACCGGGAAGCAUUGGUAAAGAUUUCGGGAUGAUCGGGCGAAGAACGAAAAAGUUGGAAAAAAAUCAAGUUGGGAGUCGGAGUCAGAAGGGUACACGGGUCGUGUUGGAUUUACACUGCAAAAUCAACAAGGGCCGUGUUGACCAAAAAUGAAAGAUGUUGACCAAGCUGAACACGGGCCGUGCCCUUUUUGCCCUAUGCUGAACACGGGCCGUGUUCGACCCAAGAAAACUAACUUUUGGCAGUUUUUCUAUUUUUCAUAUUACGGAAAAUUGGGUAUUUUUUGGGAAACACAACAUAUCAGAGCACAUUUGGAGAGGGGAUUUCAAAGGCUUUUGCAAGGGUUUGAUUAGCAAUCAUUUGGAAACAUUAUUUCUAGUAUUUGUAAGUUGUAAUUGCAUACAUUUCCAUCUUUUAAACUUGUGAUAUUGUUCUAGCCAUGUAUGGCUAGAACCCUAGUUUCUCCAAUUUCAUGUUUUGACUUCUUGGUAGUGACUUCAAUCAUAUGACAUGAUGUUUGUUCUUAAUUUCUAUCUAAUGAAUUUGAUUUUGCUUCAAUCGAAUGUUUGAUUCUAAUUGUGAUUCUUAUUGGCCAUUUGAAUUAGGGUUAGGUCAUUCAAGUUAUCUCUUUUACAAAAUCCGUAAUUGUUUCGUGAAAUUGAACAAGUAACAAGCAUUAAAUUGAUCUCUAUUGAAUGAAUUUGUGUAAAUCUUAUUCAUACACUUUUACACUCCCGAGCUUAUGAGGAGUAUUGGGUGUUGUUGGGAACAUUCACAUAAAGCUUCAUGCAAUCUUAUAAUCUAAUUCUAAGAGCUUGUUUAUAUUAGGUUAAUAAGAUUAGGGUUAAUCAAAGAGCUUGUUUUGGUUAAUUAAUGUGGUGAAUGGGAAGUGUUAGAGUUUAUUAGCACUUUCAUGUACCAACUUAGAUAGAACUGAACGAAUAUUGUGUCAUCUUUGAGUCACACUGCUAAGUUGUCAUACAUCAAGUUGGAGUCCUUACAAAAUCUAAAUUUAAUUCACUCAUUUAGCUGAUUGCGUGUGUUUUUAAUUUGUUUGUUUAGUCAUUGCACUCUAACCCCCCCCCCCCCUUUUUUUUUUUNUCUAAACCCCCCCCCCUUUUUUUUACUGUUGGUGACCAUAGUACCUUGCACAAAGAGGUAUAGACUAAUUAUCCUGUGUCUCUGUGGAUCGACCCUACUUGCCUUGUACUACCUUUUAGUGCAAUAUAGUAGUGUUAUCUUGGAGUAUAUCGUACCCCUUUAUUUGUUGGGUCUGACAUGCCUAACAUUGACCCAACUCGUCGAGUGUAUCUAUGCGACUCGUCGAGUUCCUUCGUUCUCUGAAAAAUCAGGAAAAUCCAACUCAACUCGCCGAGUUGUCUCAUCAAUCUGUCGAGUUUGCACACCGUCCACGAUAAUAGGGGAAACCCUAACCAAAUCGUCGAGUUCCUUCAGGUCAAUGACUCAUUCAGACGCCUUUUAGCGAGACUAAAGCCCCAAACUCUAGAUCUAGCCUCCUAAGGUUGAAAUACCACGUAAAGCUGCAAGCUUUACGUCCAUGCAUGUCAUCUAGGGCUAAGUUUGCCAAAACAAAGCUCAACAAAGGGUUUAAGGCAUGGAAGUUGGCCAUAACUUGAUAAAGCUUGAAUCUUUAGGCCUAAGGGAACUAGUAUUGUCCAGAUCUGAAGUCUUAGCUUCAAGGUAAGCUCAAAGCCAAUAAGGACCCAAGGGAAAUGCUAAAAAUGGCCAUAACUCUCUAAUGGAGAGAUCUAACAAUCAAGUGAUCAAGUUAACGGCUUUUUACCUCCAAAUGGACGCUAACACUGAAAGAAUUUCGAAUCCAAGGACUCCUUCUCGUUCCAAGCCUUUUGCUCCUCACGCUCCUUCAAAGAAUGCACCAAAACACACACUCUUAGCCUCUCUCUCUCUCUCACACACAUAUGAUAAUAGCUCGAUUAGGGUUUCUCUCAGGGUGUUAAGGUGAUGAGGGAGGCGGGGUAAAGGACUUAAGGUCCUUUAAAUAGGGUGCAAACCCUGAAAAUUAGGGUUUUCACACUCAACUCCUACUCGUCGAGUUGGGUCCUCCAACUCGCCGAGUUGACUCUAAAAACCACACGACUAUCUCAAUCUCUACUCGACGAGUUGGGGCCUCCAACUCAUCGAGUUUCCCUGCCAAAAUGAAUAUAAAACAAUUUAAAUUUGUACCUGGGAGUCGGGAUGUUACAAAUGUAUUCUGACAUAAGUGAAAGUACCAGUUUGUUGUUUAAUGGUAGUAACGUAGUGUUGUACAUCCGACAAGAUCAACAGAAACGGUUGUGUCAGGUUGUUGAUCUUCAGUCCAUGUACGCUUUCCAAAUAUUUUUCUUUUGCAACUCCUUUGCCUAUAAAAAGAGUGUCAACCUUUGUAAUAGAAAUAACUUUAAGGAACAACUUCACUUCUAUCAAAUCAAAGAACUAUGCAGUCAAUCAUUUCUCUCAAACAUUCUUCUUGUUCUUAUUUACUUUACAUUGUUUAUACUUUAUAUUAAUUAUCUUGAGCACUUUGUUGAGUUAUGUAUUUCAAGGCUUGACUGGUUUAUCUAGAUUUGAGUGGAUCUUUUAUUAUAAGCAAUCAUUGACAUUAGAUUAAUUCAAGGUUUGAGUUUUCAAACCUUGUCCAUGAAAAUAUUUAAACCUACAAUUGGUAUCAAAGCGUAAGUGAUUGUCCUUUGAAUCCAUAAGAACAUAUUAUAGUUGGUUGAAGAUCACCUUUCUAUCACAAUCAUUGUGUGUUCAGGAUAAACGUUCUUUAUAUACCACUUCAACUCUAAUAUUUAAACAUCAAUGGCUUCUUCUAAUCAAUCUCAACAAAUAUAUUCAAUGCAAAUCGCAAAUAGCAUGGGUUGCCCAUCGCAUUUACCAUUGCUAGGUGUCAAAGAGUAUGAUCACUGGAAAGUCAGAAUGGAGAUAUUUUUGGUUGGCAAAGAAAAAGUUGAAGAGAUAUAGAGGUCGGUGAAAGAAGGUCCUCAUGUUCCUGUUAGGAAAAUGGUCAUAGAUGUUGUUGCUACUCUUAUGGGCCAAGAAGAGCUCUGGCCAACACCUCUAACCGCAAAAGAUGUCGAGAAACUCCUUGCAUACCAAAUUGCUUUUUCCAAAAUGGUGUUUGGUGUUCCACCAACUCUCCUUAAGCACCUUAACUUGAGUAAAUCCACCAAAUAUAUUUGGGAUACAAUUCAAGACUUGUUUGAAGGAUCAGAAAAAUAUGAAAGACAAGCGUCUGACGCCUGUAAUAAACGAAUUCGACACCUUCACUACCAUACAUGGUGAAUCCGUUGCCUCUACAUCAAAUAGGUACAUAAUCAUUGUGAAUAACAUGACUGCACAUGGUGUUGUUUGCACUCUGCUUGAGUACAAUCUGAAGUUUAUCAAUAGUCUCGGAAAAGGAUGGGGAAAUGUUAAAUCUUGUCUUUAGAGUAAUGGAUCUCUGAAGAAACUAAAGCUCUACCAACUGUUUGAUGAAUUGCAAGGCCACAAAUCUAAUGUUGUUCAAACAAUGAGAGAACUCUCUGGAGGUCCUCCCGCUCUAGUCGAUUUGGUUAAUCCACUUAUUCAGAACCUAUUCGUCUCGGAUCCCUUCAGAGCUAUUGUGACAUCCUUAAUUUCAAGACUAUAAAAUACUGAUUUAUUUAUGCUUAUAUAAAAUCAGAGUAUCCUUUUUGAAAAAUAAUAUUGUGGAAUUUGUUCCCAAAAACAUGAUAAUGAUAUUAUCAAAACAUUUCCAAAGAAAUGUAUUUAUAUUAAAAAUGUUGGGAUGUCAUCAUGAAUACAAUACAUAAGCAUAAAUGGAAACAAUACAGGUCUUACAAACAUUUGUAAGGUCUAUAAUCUAUAAAUCUAUCAUCAAUCAUAACACUUGUGCUCUCGUGCCACUACCUGUGAUACAAGAAACUGACUGGGUAUGGCUUGAUAGACUGGUGAACACAUAGGAUUUUUAAUCCACAAAAUUAUAUUAUUUUAAUUAUAUAUUUUCAUCAAAACAUUCAGCUUGAUUACCUAUUCCUGUUAUCCUCACUUUUUGUCCCUAAAACUGAUGGGUUUUGGUCAUAAGACAUCCUAUGUGCUUAUACAAACCCUAAUGCUUGGAUCUAGGUUUCUCUAUUGUACAUGAUUUGAAUCCAAGACUAUAAACCCUAAUUCUAGCAUAUGGAAAUCAAUAUUAACAUAUAAUUAGGUUUAAGAUAGUACCUUGAUUGUUAUGUAGCAAUAACAAUCCCAAUUCCUCCUUGAAUUGACUUUGGAAGGCUUAGAGUCACAAGUGUCACUCCUCUAAUGGCUCACAAACACCAUAAGCAAGAGGAUGAAGAGGAGAGAGGUUAGAGGCUGCCCAAAACGUGUUCUAACCCUAGAAAAGAAGUUCCCCAUGUUUUUGAGCCUUAAGGGUUCUAUUUAUAGUGAGGCUAUUAGGGUUAUCUAACAAGGAAACCCUAAUUUUGGUUGCUUAAGCCCUAAGCAACCCAUAGACUCCUUUAAUCAAGCCCUUGGACGAUUUCCUUAUGGGCUUCCCAUAAGAAUUCGUCCACCUCUUGAUUUAAGACAAUCCAUGGCCAAAAUUGCAAUUAUCUUAUAAUUACAAUUCCAGUCCCUUAAGUUUAAUUAAUCUCUUUUAGUCACAAAACUAAUUACCAAUUAAUUAUUGACUAAUAUUAAUUAAACAAUAUGAUUUCUCCUUUAAUAUAUUAUUCCCAUAAUAUAUUAAUAAAUCAUAUUUAAUCCUUUCUCUCCAUAAUUCAUCCUAUCAAGUUGCUUUGGUGAAGGCAACCCAAAAGGACCAUGCACCAUCGGGUCAAGUACAUACCAAAAUAGUUAUGGACUUAGACACUAAUCCAACAGUCUCCCACUUGGAUAAGUCUAAUAACUAUUCUGCGUAUGACUUCAGAUCCUGAUCUGCAAUCGUAGCUUUCCAAAGCCGCUGUCAACUCUGAUCCUAUCAGAUACGCGUGUCCUUAGAUAAGGGAUCAUAUAUUCCUCCAUUCUAGAUAUCAUAUGAGAUAUGAUUUCAAAUCAUUCUCUUUGUACUAUAUCUCGAUUUCCGAUUUAUGACGACUGACUAAUUGAACAAAUCAAAUUAGCCCUAGCCCGGCCGAGCAUUUACGUUUGUCAUCACUAAACCAUCGAGGGGCCCAAAGAUAUCGCUUUUAUCCUACUUUGGAUAAAAGGAACGGAUAAACUUUGAUACAAUGCUUGCUUGCACUCACUCACCGAAUCACACACAACAAUAUGUUUUAUAACACCAAGUUACUAGUGCGUUUACAUAUUAUCAAUGUGCAACCGAUUUGCAAGAUACAACUCACACAUCUCGGUUUCAAGAAUAUAAGAUGUUAUCGUCUCACCAAUCACUCGUGAUACAAUUCAUGGAGUGAUCCAAGUGAGCGUGGGUUUAAUCCAAUGCUCAAAUCAUAUUCAUAAGCACUCAUGAACGUUGCAGCAAACAUUUGCUUAUGUCUAAUACUCUUUUAGACAAUCCACACACCAAUUCACGACAGUCUUCAUUCAUAUCUACUUCCAACAUAUGAACGACUGUGGCCCGUUUGAAUAAUUCGAUUAUUCUUAAUAAACUCAAUUAUUCUGGAAGUCAAAACAUGCAAAUGUGAAACACAAGAAUAAUACUAAUCCCAUAUGGCCUCAAACCUUUGAGUAUAAAUAAAACACCUUUUAUUUAUCACCAUAUUGAUUACUCAUUAUUUGUCGUUUCGGGUAAUCAACUUCUUACUUGAAUUCCAACACUUGUCCCAUGCUCCUAGCAUGCACACAAUGUUUACCUAUGGUUCUUACUUUGUGAAAUAGAUCACAUUGAACACAUUUCCAAUCCUUCUCAUUUCACAACUCCAAAUCCGUUUUUCAUAAGUCAAAGAAUAUCAAAUUCUUGCUACUUAUAGAAUAUGCUAGAUUCUAACAUUCUAUGCAACUAUCCUUUCGUAAUGUCACUGCACCAAAGUCACAAAGACUAUUGCCAAUGAUAUUACAAAGUCCUCUAUCGGAGAUUGUUACAAGACAAUUCCAUAGACGUGAUGUCUCUCACUCAAAGUACAUUCUUUGAACAUCCUUUUGCAUAGAAGUUUCUAAUCUAGUCAUAGAUUUCUCAAUAUUCAAUUCCCAAUAUGGACACACUUCCAUAUGUUCCAUAUGACAACUCAUUCUUAAUAGAAUCUUAUCUAUUCGUAAUGAUGUCGAUAUGGUCCAUCCAAUAUGGAAACAUUUCCAUAUUUUCCAAUACCAUACUUCCAACUACUCACAAGCGACCAAUCCUCGUCGAACUUUGGAUUGUCCUUUGAUAGUUGUUUAAUUAUUUUAGUCAAAACCAAUUCUAGUCCCUUUUCCCUCUAAAUGCGCUCGACAUUUGGAAAAUUUUAGAAUGGUCAAACAUUAAAGCAUUUGCAAUCGAUCCUAUACCCGAAGCGUAUGGGACACGACGCAUAAUGUUUUAUUUGCUAUGUUCUCAAAAUUCGAAUUGUGAAGAGGAAUGCCGUAAUCAUAAUCGAAAUUUUAAGAACACACUAUGUACCUUUGACUAAAUUUAUUAACAUUUCUCAACCUAAUCCUUUAGAUUUGAAAUGAAGCAUAAUAUUCUCUCCCUUAAUUAUAGCAAAACAACUUUACAACCCUUACGACUUUGCAAGGUAUAACUCUUGUUUUCUAUAAUUAAUAUUGCCAACUUGCAAUACGUGCCUUAAUAAUCAUACAAUCAUAACAUUUAUGCUCCCACUAUCAUGAUGAUUAUUAUAAAACAUAACACUUAUGCUCCCACUAGCUUCGACAUGUAUUCAUAAACAUCUUAACUUUCAGAAAAACAAUACUUAUUGAAUUUCUUAAGUUCAUGUUUCUAAUACUUAGUGCUUUGAUAAUCUUUUAUCAAGGCUUCUUGAACUUAUACACCUUUGCCUUCGAUAGUUCAUAUGUGUGUCUAAACAAUUAAGACUAAUUGCCAAACCUCACAAUUCAAAUUAUGGAAAGGGAUACCGUAACCAUAAUCGAAUUCGAGAAUGCAAUUUUACAAUCACUAUCUUCUUAAAAUCUUUCUUAGUGAAAGCAUUUCCUCACAAUCAUUUUCAUGAAGGAGGAAAUCUUAUGACACUUAGAUUUAAACGGUGUAUGUGUUCCUAUCCAUGUGAAUUUGUUAAAACCAAAGUUUACGACAAAUUCAAACUCAUAUGGACCGAACUUUCUUAAUCUUGAUUUCUUGCCUUAUGGUAGCACAGCUGCCCACCAUGUCUUCCAAGUAGUUAAGCAGCUCACCCUUUCCUAUCAAUGUACCUUUCAUUGAUUAAGGUGCUUUGCCUUUUAUGCGUUCAAAAUGAGAACUCAUAGAACUCACAUGCAUAAUUAACUCGAUUGGAUUGGCACAGAAACAAAAUAAUGUCAACACGAUAGGUUGUAAACCUCAACUCGUGUGCUAGUGAUGAUCGAUAAGGUUUAUUUGAUUUGUUCUUGAAACCUUUCAAGACCAUUAAGACUCCCACUGACUCCUUGACAUAUAAGAUUCUCUUGUCAAUAAACAUUUCUUGACAAACAAAUAUUCAAGAGUUAGUGUAGCUUUUAUCAAAACACUUCAUAAAUUGGUCCUAGUUGGUCUUUGUCUUAUCCAAGACAUCACAACUUUCCACAUUUGAUGAAUGUUAUAAACCUUCUUAAUACUUUUCACUCAAUGUCACAAUCUUAACUCUAAGACUUGUUUUGGAACGAAGUAUGAUUGACUUCUUGAUUUAACCAUUUCUUCAAUUCUUGAUUCCUCUUCUUAGACAUACAAUUGUACUAAGACUCACUUAGAGGAUCAAUUGAGAUAUGGUUCUUAAUCAUUAAGACCUAUCAUAAAGCAUAAAAGCUACUCUCCCUUCUUCUUAGAAUGGAGAAACUUUUAUCUUUCUGCCUACUUGAUUCUUCUUAUUCGUUCUGCUAUUGAUUUAAACUUUUUCAAUCAAUUCAGAAUUACACUUAAUCUUGUAAGUAUAAUCAUAUUUACUAAACCUUUAGUAAAUCAUGACGAAUAUCUUUGUUACUCUUAUGGUGGACUUGAUCAACACGCAACUUUGUGUACUCGAUCUCCUAGUCCUUCACUUGACACUUUGUCAAUGAAUUAGUCUAAUUUCCAAAUAUGAAAUUUCUCAUUCAUCGUGCAACCAAGUUGCAUGAUUCCAAGUUUCUGUCCAAUUGAAACUUGGGCGAUGAGAAACUCUCCCUAUUUGGUAAAUUCUCGACUUUCCAUAAAUAACAUAAUAAGAACCAAAUCCAUUAUUGCUAAUAAUAGAAACAUUCAAACAUCAAUUUUUCAUAUACGCCAUUGCAAGGAUAAAUAAAUAAUAUAAAAUCAAAAUUUAUUUUAUUGCGGAAAAAAUUUGUCCUUACAAUGCAAUUCAUUGAAAAACUAUGCUAAUACAUCUUUCUUAGCAAUCUAAUUCUAACUCUAAGUAGUAGCUCAAGAAUCUAAUCUUCGAGAAAUGCGAUCGAAAUCCAUUCCUUCACGGUUAGAUUCUGCUCACUUCUUCCCUUAAGCUUCCUUUCUUUUCUUCGAUCCUACAAAACAUCAAUUGUAAUCUUAUCACAUUAUGUAUUAAGAAUCUAGAAUAGAAGCUUAAAAGAGUUAGUUAAUGGAUUUUACCUAUAUUAGAGCCAUACGUUUCGACUCUCCCAUCUCUUAGAUCUCUUAGGUAAAUGGGGCAGCUUCGUCUCCAAUGCCCUUUCUCUUGGCAAUAAAAGCAAAUUGACUCUUUUGGAACAUGACAUGGAACUACUUCAGACAUUGCCUUUCUCUUAUGAUCAAACUUUUCGAUCAUAGCAUGUCUUUCGUUGCCAUUGUCUAUAUCCAUAGAGGUCUUGAAGGCAGAUUCACCAAUCAACUUUGCUUUUCUAUUGCGCCAAACCAUUGCUGAUUCAGCAGCAAUAAGCAUAUAGGUGAGAUCUAUAAGGGUCACGUCGCGGUUCAUCAUAUAGUACUCUCUUACGAACUCACUAUAUGAGUUAGGAAGUGACUGAAGAACCCAAUCAACAGCCAUUUCCUCACAGACAACGGAUCCCAACAUUCUUAACCUAUCAAUGUGUGACUUCAUCCCUAGGACGUGUGCACACACCGACUUUCCUUCUUUAUGUUUACUUGCCAAAAGGGCUUGAGUGAUCUUGAACUUUUCAAGCCUUUGAACUUGUGGGUUAGGGAGAAUAAUUGGAGGAGGAGGAGGAAGUGAAGCAUGAUUUCUUGUUCCUCGAUCGAAUCGUGGAAUAUCAUCUUCAUGUGGAAUGCUUGUUCCACGGGAUUUGGGAAGACCAUAGUUGUCGAACUUUGACAUCUACAAAACGGGAGAAAACGAAUUCAAGUUAGUUGAUUGAUUGAGUCCUUAGUAAAUCACCCAAAUGAGAUACUAAGGCUAGGACCCAACACAAUAUUCUACAACUCGGGAGAGGGAUGCCGUAACCCUAAUUGCAGAAUAUUUGAAGGUAAGUGAAUGACGAUUCACUAAUUUCCACCAUGAAAAACGAAAAAGAAAUUUAAGUUUUAAAUCUAUGAAAACUCCUAGAUCCUUUGAGAUUCAUUGAACUUUCAAUGGCAUGUUUAAAUCUCGAUAUGCCCCUCUUGUUUGUGACUGGGAUGCCGAGGAUCACAAAGCGGGUGUGAAUAACCAUGCAAACUUACAUGGUGCCCUCACAUGUUACAGUCACCUAUUCGAUGUGCCGGUAAACCACACACGCUCCACCGAACUAUGACAAACAUUGAGUCACCCUUUGCUACCUUUGCUUAGAACCAUUUAGUGUGCCGGUAAACCACACACGCUCCACUAACGUCUUCGCAAGGGCACAAAGUGUAAUUUCAUGGAAUUGCAUCAAUUCACUUUUGCCUAAGUAACUAAGAUUGGGAAUUUUAUGAAAACAUUUAGUUACUUUAAUAAUUCAUUAUACUUAUAAUGGAAGGUUUCGUCCUAUCCUACCCGUUCGGCUAACGACCCUCCACUAGUCAAGAGUGCGGUGGGUAAGAGUGGAUACCCAUUCAAUCGCCAUUUUAUAGGCAAUUUCCUUAAACACCCCUUAUAGACCAGCUUCGUGAAUGAGGCCUACUAACGGUAAGACUGACUUUUACUCAUACAUAUAUAUAAUGUUAGACUUUUAAUGUUAUAUAUAGUAUAGGGUGUAUUUUAUACUUUUAAAAUACUAGGUGGUCAAAUUUAACAAUUAUACCUUUAAUUCAAUUAAAUUGUAAACCAAAACUUUUAUGGAUUUAUUAAACCUCUUUUAAUUAUACACCUUAAUUAAUUAAUAAAACCAUAAGGGUGUGAUUUGAACUUUUUCAAAACUAUACUAGAGUUUUAGAAUUUAACAUUCCUAAUUAAACUUUUAAUCAACUUUUAAAUUCCAAAACUUGAGGGCAAGUUUUGAAACAUUUCAACACAUUAGGGUUUAGAAUUUAAAUAUACAUCAAAAUUUAAACAUUUAAUCAAAAUUUAAAUUCCAAAACUUGAGGGCAAGUUUUGAAACCUUUUUCAAAACAUUAGGGUUUUAACUAUUUAAAUUUCAAAACAACAAAACUUUUGGGUUCAAAUUUAAACUAUAAAACCUAAAGGGCAAAAUAUGAAACUUUUCAUAACAACAAGGAUCAAAUAACAAAUAAUUUAAAUUAACAUUUAAUCACAUAAUUAUCCAUAUUUGAUUUGUUUAAUGAUUUCUUGCAAAACAAUUUAUCAAUUUAGUCAAAAUAAUUAAUCAAUUAUCACAUAAGGAAACAAUUAUCUUAUUAAUUGAUAAAUAUCUUCAAUUAGAUCAAAAAUAUAGUCAUAUAUAUCAAAAAAUCGGAUUUAUAUUGAUCUAAUAUGAUAAGGCAAGUAUCCUCAAGCAAAAACAGCAAGAAAUCCCGGUUUUCCCUCUUACUGACCAGCCGACUCGUCGAGUCAGGCAUGGACUCGUCGAGUUAGCAUGAACUCGGCGAGUUCAUCUAAAAAACUCGGCGAGUUCAGCCCCCAGAAACACAAAAAUCGAAUUUUUUCAACAUACAAAGCAUCAAUACAAUAGAAACCAAUCUAGGCUCUGAUACCACUGAUGGGUUUUGGUCAUAAGACAUCCUAUGUGCUCAUACAAACCCUAAUGCUUGGAUCUAGGUUUCUCUAUUGUACAUGCUUUGAAUCCAAGACUAUAAACCCUAAUUCUAGCAUAUGGAAAUCAAUAUUAACAUAUAAUUAGGUUUAUGAUAUUACCUUGAUUGUUAUGUAGCAAUAACAAUCCCAAUUCCUCCUUGAAUUGACUUUGGAAGGCUUAGAGUCACAAGUGUCACUCCUCUAAUGGUUCACAAACACCAUAAGCAAGAGGAUGAAGAGGAGAGAGGAUGGAGGCUGCCCAAAACGUGUUCUAACCCUAGAAAAGAAGUUCCCCACGUUUUUGAGCCUUAAGGGUUCUAUAUAUAGUGAGGCUAUUAGGGUUAUCUAACAAGGAAACCUAAAUUUGGUUGCUUAAGCCCUAAGCAACCCAUAGACUCCUUUAAUCAAGCCCUUGGACGAUUUCCUUAUGGGCUUCCCAUAAGAAUUCGUCCACCUCUUGAUUUAAGACAAUCCAUGGCCCAAAUUGCAAUUAUCUUAUAAUUACAAUUCCAGUCCCUUAAGUUUAAUUAAUCUCUUUUAGUCACAAAACUAAUUACCAAUUAAUUAUUGACUAAUAUUAAUUAAACAAUAUGAUUUCUCCUUUAAUAUAUCAUUCCCAUAAUAUAUUAAUAAAUCAUAUUUAAUCCUUUCUCUCCAUAAUUCAUCCUAUCAAGUUGCUUUGGUGAAGGCAACCCAAAAGGACCAUGCACCAUCGGGUCAAGUACAUACCAAAAUAGUUAUGGACUUAGACACUAAUCCAACAAAAACAUCUAAUUUUGGGUACCUAUUCUAAGGAUUAUCUUCGGGAUAGACAAUAAUGUUGUGGGGGAUUCCUUAGCACUAUAUGUCAAUAAGGCGACCAUGGGGGGUGGAGUACACCUGGUGAACACUAAGUUCAAAAACACAUACAGGUUGCAAGCCUACUAGCGUUCCACUGGACUGUCUAGAAUAGACGGUGGUCAUCAUCUAUACUCCAUUAAACGCCUAGAUCAUCUUUAAAGUCAAGGCCUCUCAUCAUCUAUUUCAUCUUUCAUCUCUCAUCAUCUAUAUCUUCUUUUAUCUACCCAUCUCUAACCAAUAUAUUUAUAGGUAUAAAAUACAUAUACAAUUUAAAUCAUGUAAAACAUGUAUAAAUUGUUCAUCUGGCAUGGAUAUAGAUAAUAGGCACAUAUAGCAUGCAAUUAUCUUAAAUACUUUAUAUCUAUGUGUAAGAUGAAAGUAACUAUGCAUUCACUUGUUUAAAGUGGAUGACUAGAAAGUUGAACAUCGCUUCACUUCAGCACUUGGCUUUUCCUUUGAUAUGACUUUGGGGUCUAAUUAUCUCUAAGUCUUAGUUUAUUAUCUCUCAUGACUAAUUAAAAGUCUAUAUUUCUCAAUAAUCCUAAUGUCUACUAAUCUAUACCUAAUAAGAGACAACCAGGUAGGAUCAUAUUGGAGGUAGGGUUUAUUUGGUAUACAAAGUAUACUGUUUGGAAGUCCCACUUUAAACACCUCAUUAAAUCCAACCUUGACAUUAUCCUCGUAAGUAGAUCGAUCAGUAAUAUGAAGUUGAAACACUAAGGAUGAGCUAUAGAACCGGAAAACCGAACCGGAACUAGAUUCAGACUAAAACCGAAACCAGUAUAACCGGAAAUUUCUUAGACGACCCGGUUCUCGGUUCUAAAAAUUGGCCUUGUCCGGGUUCCGAGUAUUCUGGGUAUGGGUCCAAUGGGUUUGAGAACCGCAUUCAAUAAAAAACAAAACCGGAUUAAAUGCACCAGACCCGGUUUAUUAGGCCCUGAACCGGAAUUUGAACGGGUAAUAAAAAAAAAAGACGUUGUCGUAUUGGGGAUUUUGAUCAUUAAUCUAGGUUGGGUUUGACAUUGAACAAAUGAAGGGUUACUGUGAUCAACAUCGACUAUUAGGUCUAAUCAAUAUCGUUUUUCUUGUGUGAUUAGUCAGUAUCGUUUUUCAUGUGUGAUCGACGACAAGAGCAAGACUUCUAGAGGGACGUCAAGUAAAGCAUUAGCAUCUUAUUCUUCUCUCUGUGAUAGAAAUUAAAUAAGCAUGCAAAGAAUUGUAAGCAAAACCUAGACAAUUUGAAAAACCAACAAACAUUACAAUUUAAAAAAGAACCAACCAGGGAGGGUAGUGUUAGCACUUGGAAACAUGACGACAAACGAAUUAAAAAGGUUAUGUUUAAUUUGUUUGUAGUUGGUAGUCUACCUUUUAAGUUUGUAGAAAAUGAGGCCUCUAUUGAAUACACAAACACACUAAAUGGGAAGGUGGUUAUACCUAGUCGAACAACAAUUUCAAAAAGUGUAUCACUUUAUUAUCUAGAAGAAAGGAAUAAGUUGGUAACAUUAUUAUGUAAUCUCCUUAACACGGUUCAUUUGACCACCGAUUUUUGGACAAGUACAAGUAAAAGGGUGCAUUAUAUUGUCAUUACCACACACUUUAUUGAUGAUAAUUGGGAGAUGCACAAACGGAUAAUCAACUCUAAAGAAUUAGAUAGUCAACAGGGGGAAGAUAUCGGACAAGAAGUCUUGAAAUGUAUUCAAGGGUGGGGUAUUAAGAAUUUCAUGACUUGCACGGUUGAUAAUGCAAGUUCUAAUGACAAAAUAAUAGAGUUUCUAAAAAACAAAUUACCAAACUUGUACAAUGAAGGAAAACACUUUCACAUGAGGUGUAUGGCACACAUUAUCAAUCUAAUUGUGAGAGAUGGGAUAAAUAAAAAUGAUGAGAGUGUUAAAUGUUUGCAGGAUGCUGUAAGAUAUAUUAGAAAGUCCACACAACGGAUUGCUCUAUUUAAAAAGUGCAUGAAAGGCGUCGGGUGGAAUCAACCAAAUUUUUGUGCAACGAUUGUCCCACUCGUUGGAACUCAACCUACGACUUAUUGAAGAUCACAAUGGAUUUAGAAAAAGCUUUCUACGAGUAUGAAAUGGAAUGUAAUUUUUUUUAUUUUCUGCAUUGUCGCUGAUUUUUUAGCCCUAUUUAAACUGUCAUAUCUGCUUCAUUAGGAGUCCGUUUGGGCUGAUUUUUUUUAAAUUGUAGUUCACUGGUUGGCAAUAGUAAUAGACUCUUGAAACACCUCAUUUGCAUAUGUAUUGAGUCACUUACAACCCUCCAAAAAUGAUAUAUCAAAUCUAUUUUGAAUCUGUCACAACAUUAUUGUUGAAUUUUUAGUUAUCUUGAAACUGUCUUAUCUACUUCGUCAUGAGUCCGUUCGGGCUGAUAUUAUUUUUUUUUAAAUUAUAGUUCAUUGGUUGGUAAUAGUUAUAGACUUACAGCUGUCCAAAAAUGAUAUAUCAAAUCCGUUUUGAAUAUGUCACAACAUUAUUGCUGAAUUUUUAAUUACCCUUAAACUCUCAAAUCUACUAAGUUAUGAGUCUGUUCGGGCUGAUUUUUUUAAAUUGUAGUUCACUGUUUGGCAAUAGCUAUAGACUCCGAAAACACCUUAUUUGCAUAUGUUCGGAGUCAUUUAUAGCCCACCAAAAAUGAUACAUUAAAGCUUUUUUUAUAACAUUUUUUGAUAGAUCGUUCCUUUGCACGAGAUGUGGCUACCAGCGAGUGAAGAUUUUGUAACUUGUCGAGCAAUGGUCUCAUUUCUUGAGAAGUUCAAGGUCAAAACAGAAUUGGUGUCAACGACUUCAAACCAUUGGCAAAUCGGUUUUUUAGAGAAGUAUGUGUCAUUUGCAGGCAUAUACGGGUUUGGUCGUAAAACAAACGAUUUUCUUCAAUUGGGAAUGAUAUGAUAGAUAAAUAUGAGAAGUAUUGGGGAGAUUUUGAAAUUUUGAAUGACUACAUGUACUUUGCGACUAUCUUGGAUCCGCGAAUGAAGACAAAAUUUCUUAGACAUGCUUUUCAAACAUUGAUCAAGUACAAGAUGCCGGAAAAUAAAUCCCUUUCCGAAUUAGAUAUUACUGCAAAGGCUAUGUCUUUAACAAGGAUAUUGAAACAAGAUUUGAGAACUUUUUUAAUGGUUACAAUACCAACUCUAAUGUAUCAUAUGAAACAGGUGGUAGUCAAGAUGCCAAGCAUAUUGAUGAUGAUGACGACUUUGUGGGUGACUAAUUUGUUCAAUCGGCGAAUUCAUUGGAUUCAAAGUAAACCGAAUUAACACGAUACUUGAACGAAGGAUGUCACACCCCAAAACCGGAACGGCGGAAACGUUCUGGGGUGGAUGACGUCAUGUCAAGUAUCACAACACAUGCAUUAUAGUAAUCAAAGUACAACAAAACAUUGCAUUAAUAGUAAUAAUUUUACAUGGUUACUUUACAAUACAUCAAAGUAAUACAAACAAAUAUAAUAAGUACAGCAAGGUACUAAGCCGUCUUCAUCAACAGCUCCGGGGGUAUACCUGUCUAAUGCUAACCUGAGAAUACAAGUUAUUUGAAAAGCGAGUAUCAGCAUUUUUAUAAAUGCUGGUGAGUUCAUAAGCAUUUAGUGUCAUUUAGUCAAAUAACUUUAUAAAGUAGUAGUUUAAGUGUUUACUGUGUAUUAGAGUUCUUUCCAGAAAAUCCUAUAUUUUCUUUAAUAAAGCAGCCUUCUACCAAGACUGGUCAGUGUUAUGUGGUAAAAAGUCAUUUUCCCUAAAUUGCUAUCAUUAUCAAAAUACUGAAUUUGAUUAUUGAGGAAAGCAAACGACAUCAGGGAAUAACAUAUGCCUCAGCAGUGAGGACUGCUGACUAAGGCAAGGAAUCAUAGACUCCAGGAGAGUAUCGAACUAACGACACGCCUGGUUCAGUCUAACAAGUAGAGACUCAGACCCCAGAAGGUACCAAAUGAAAGGUACAGCUGGUAAGGUCUAAAACAGUGAAAAACAGACCCCAGACAGUAUCAAAUGAAAGAUACGUCUUGUAAGGUCAAAACAGAGAAAACAGACCCCAGACAGUAUCAAAUGAAAGAUACGUCUUGUAAGGUCAAAACAGUGUGACUCUGAAAAUGAAUUACCAGCAUACAGUGUAAAUUGCCGGUGAAAUACCGUUACCUUAAGGCCAAAGAAUUAUAAGGUAACCCGGGAUACUCGUAACCAUACUGACUAGAGUACCAGACGCCCUACAAGCGUCUAAAAUAUGACAUUUGUCACCCGUUGGCUUGGUAGGCCGGGACUGUAGCUAGCAGUCUGGGUGCGGGGUUGUCAAUCCCGUAUAGAUCUAUACACACAAUGUCCGCUCUCCCUACAGGAGAUUCUGGUUACCAACUAGACGACGGAGAAGGCCGUGUCCUGAAGAUGCAUCCCAAAUAGUGGGUAAAGACUUCCAAAUAGUGGGUAGUGUGUAAGUGCUGAACUAGAGGUAGAGACUUCCCAAUAGUGGGUUUCUAAUGUAAGUGUAGACUAGAGGUAGAGACUCUUAACUGAACUGACUAGUGAAUUCCUGUAUGUCCAUACUCAUAUACAUAAUAUAUAACUAAUGAAUCAAACGACCUUCGGACGGCCAUCCGAUCCCACCAGACCACAUCUCAACGAAGAAAAGGAAAUAGGGCGGACGAGCCUUCCUAAGUCUUUCAAUCAUUACUUAUAUGUAUCUAUAUAAGCACAGACAUACAUCUAACUACGACUGAGUGUGUAUUAAGUAGAAGUGAUUCUUGUGAAGUAGGAGUGUCUAACAAGUGAAGUAGGAGCGGUCGCAAGUGAAGUAGAAGUGUCGAACAAGUGAAGUAGGAGCGGUCGCAAGUGAAGUAGGAGUGUCGAAUAAGUAUAAGCGUAUCACGAAGUAGAGACGACCAUAAGUGAAGUAAGAGCGUCUAUCAGGUAUAAGCGACUACAAGUAUAAGUGAAAUAGAGACAAUAACCGGUAUAAACGUAUCGCGAAAUGAAAGCGUUAUCAAGUAGGAGUUUAAAAUACAUGAAAGCAGAGCAGUAGUAACUAACAAGUAAAAAUAUACAUUGUGAAAGAGAACUUUGACGAAAACCUUGGAAAACCUUUAUAUUUAGAAAAAUCGCAUUUUGUAUUCUUUGGUAAAAUCAGUGUGAAAACCUUUAGAAAUCCUUUUUAUAAACCAGUUUUAAAUGAUUUUGAAUAAAAACAGUAUAAGUAAGAGUUUGAAACAGUUUGAAAACCAUUAUAGUGUCCUACUCAUAAAAACAGUGUAAAGUGUGGUAAAACCUUGUGCAUGCGGGUUAUCAAUCACAUGUGAUUGAUAUGAUAACUGGCAUGUUUAACUUGUAUUCCCCCUUAUAAAACAUGUAAAAACAUUUAAAAGGUUCAUUCAGGGGUAUGAACUCACCUGGUGCAAGUAGGUCCGACGAAGGUGCCGUUUGGGCGUUCGGUGUCACGCAAGGACUCGAACACACACAAUGACCUAUUUAACAUAUGAUAACAUAUUUUCACAUACAAUUAGUAUAUUUAAUACUAAUUAAACAAAUAUACACACUCAAAGGAGCGGAAAACACUUUGGAUAAGUGUUUGGGUGUCCCGAGUAGCGUCUAAAGGUGUGUGUGGCUUAGGAAUGGAGUUUACUCUCCAAGAGUAAACUCCCAAAGCUUAGUUUAUGGCCCAGGGACAUCUCACCAUGAGUUUACGGCCGUAAACUCAUGGUGAGGGGAUCUAGUGUGUUUAAGGAUUCUAGCUUGUUCAUGGGAUUUUUCUAAGUACAUUUCCAAAAAGGCAUGAGUGGGUUUAAGGCUCCUAAGGGCUUCUUUAGGGAGUUUAUGGCCUAGGGACAACUCCUAAGGGAGUUUACGACCGUAAACUCUCAUCCUUUGAGUUAAGUGAAGUUUGAAGCCCCUAAUACCUUCCUAGCAUUUUAUAGAAUUAGUCCAAGGCCAUUUGGGGGGCAAAAACCACAUUUUUGGCACAUUUAGGGGUGUUUACGGCCUUGGUACAUACCUGGGCCGUAAACUCCUUUUUCCCUUUCAUUUCAUUGUGUUUAAAUGGUUUAAACCCGAAAUGUUAAGCCCCUAAUUUAUGUAUUAAGCCCUAGGGUGGUUUGGGAGUGUUUUUGGGGCCUUUUAACAAGAUUUAGAGGUGUUUACGGCCUAAGCAUGUGCUUGGGCCGUAAACUCUCUUUUAUGCCCAAAUGUGAUUGUUUAAAAUGUGCAAACACUCCUAGGCUAAAUCCCUAAUUUAUUUCCAAGCCUUUAGGGACAUUUUGGGGUCUUUUUGGCCUCUUUUAAGGUGUUUACGGCCUAAGGAGGAGCUUAGGCCGCAAACUCCUUUACAACAGCUUCUAGGUUCGAUUUCUAAGCUAUAAACAUGAAUCAAUAUGUUUAGAAUAGGCUAGGGUAAGCGGACUUACAAUUUGGAAGCGUUUGGUUACGGAUUCGAGGCGAAAACGAGUUUAGAGAGAGAGUAUAGAGAGAGAGAGAGAGAGGGUGGAAAAGCUCCAAAUGGAGUUUACUCCCCUUUAUAUAUGGGUGGGAGUUGGAGCUCAAUGGAAUUCUACCCGAUACUGCCGUCAGACGGGGCUUUUGGUCGCACCCGAUUUAGUGGUCGUGAAAAUAAAACUAACUUUUUCCUUUAAUCACGACUUAACGGAAUAUUAAACAUAAACAUUUGAAAUGUUUAUUUAAUUGACGACCUCUAAUUAACGGAACUUUUAUAGCUGGAAUAUUCCGUUAACGGUAACGGGGAAAUGUAACGGGGCAACUUGGGUUGUCACAAAGGAAAAACCAUAGAUGUUAAAGACUUUGAUAUACUGGUUUGGUGAAAAAUAACGCAUCUUGUUACCCAAUUCUCUCAUAGGUGGCAAAAGGUAUAAUUUUAAUUACUUAUAUUUUUUUAUUAUAAUGUAGUAUAAUUUAACAUUAGAUGUUUAUGUUAUUAGAUCUUUUGGGCAUUCAAAUAUCUACCGUGGCAUUCGAAUCCGCUUUUAGUACAAGCGGUCGCAUAACUGAUAGUUACCGAGCAAACUUGUCCACACCUAUAAUAGAAGCUUUGGCUUACACCCAAGAUUGGGUAAGGAAAUCAAAAAAUCCGAUUGUUGAAAAUAUCGAAGACAUAUUUAAAGAUGAUGGCAUAGCUAAAGGCAACAAACAAAUUCAUUUUAUUAUCUAAUAACAAAACAUUGGUUAUAUGCUCACUUUCACAUUAAUUUUUUUUCUGGUAUGUAUUAGAGUUGGAAGACACCAUACGCACCCAAAACGGAAAUGGAAAAAGGCCGAUAGAUAUUAACGAGUAGUUAUAUUAUUUAUAUUUUUUUUUGUUGAUAAAUGAUUAUUGGUUUGUAAGUGUUUGGGUUGGUUGAUUAAUGUUUUUGAACUUGAAUCAAAACUUGGAACUUGAAUCAAAUGGUGGUGAAGUGAUGGCGUUAUUGUUUGGAAUAUUUGAUUUUAUGUGGAUAAGAAGAUGCAUUUGUUUGGUUAAUGAAGAUUUAUACUAAAUUGAUUGCUUUCAUUUUAUAUGUUAGUAUUCUCUAUCAACGAUGUAACAUCCCAAUUUUCAAGACCAAAAAUUUCAUUUUGAUAUAACGAUUUAGAAAAAACAUUUAUAAGGAACAUCAUCGAGUCACAUCAUUUCAUAAAAACCAUAGUCACAUGUCUCAAAACCAUAUCAUAAAAUAGUAAGAAUGUCAGAGUACAAUCCCAAGAAUCUCAUAAUGUGGAAAUCAUGUGUGUGAUGCGCUGCUACCGUGCCGACUCCUUCCCCUUCGAUGAAGAGGUACCUGAAAACAAAACGGAAAACUAUAAGCACAAAGUGUUGGAUUAGUGUCUAAGUCCAUAACUAUUCUGGUAUGUACUUGACCUGAUGGUGCAUGGUCCUUUUGGGUUGCCUUCACCAAAGCAACUUAAUAGGAUGAAUUAUGGAGAGAAAGGAUUAAAUAUGAUUUAUUAAUAUAUUAUGGGAAUAAUAUAUUAAAGGAGAAAUCAUAUUGUUUAAUUAAUAUUAGUCAAUAAUUAAUUGGUAAUUAGUUUUGUGACUAAAAGAGAUUAAUUAAACUUAAGGGACUGGAAUUGUAAUUAUAAGAUAAUUGCAAUUUGGGCCAUGGAUUGCCUUGUAUUAAGGAGUGGACGAAUUCUAUGGGGAACCCCAUAAGAAAUCGUCCAAGGCCUUAAGGAAAGGGAUCCAUGGGUUGCUUAGGGCUUAAGCAUCCAAAUUAGGGUUUCCUUGUUAGAUAACCCUAAUAGCCUCACUAUAUAUAGACCCCUUAAGGACCAAAAACGUGGAUAAGCUUUGUUCUAGGGUUUCACACGUUUUUGGGCAGCCUCCAUCCUCUCUCCUCUUCAUCCUCUUGCUUAUGGUGUUUGUGAACCAUUAGAGGAGUGACAUUUGUGACUCUAGGCUUUCUAAAGUCAAUACAAGGAGAUUUGGGAUUGUUAUUACUACAUAACAAUCAAGGUAACAUCUUAAACCUAUUCUUAUGUUAAUAUGAUUACUUGUAUGCUAGAAUUAGGGUUUAUAGUCUUGGAUAACUUGCAUGUACAAUAGAGAAACCUAGAUCCAAUCAUUAGGGUUUGUAUGAGCACAUAGGAUGUUCUUAGGACUAAAACCCAUCAGUGGUAUCAUAGCCUAGUCUGGUUUCUAUUGUAUUGAUGCAUUAUAUGUUUGAAAAAUUCGAUUUUUGGUAUUCUGGAGGCUGGACUUGCCGAGUCCAUAACUGAACUCGCCGAGUUCAUGCUAACUCGACGAGUCCAUGCUUGACUCGACGAGUCAACUCAUCAGAUGGAGCAAACUUCGCGAUUUCUUGCUGUUUUUGCUUAAGGAUAGUUGCCUUAUCAUAUUAGAUCAAUAUAAAUCCGAUUUUAUGAUAUAUUUGACUAUAUUCUUGAUCUAAUUGAAGAUAUUUAUCAAUUAAUAAAAUAUUUGUUUCCUUAUGUGAUAAUUGAUUAAUUAUUUUGAUUAAAUUGGUAAAUUGUUUUGCAAGAAAUCAUUAAAUAAAUCAAAUAUGGAUAAUUAUGUGAUUAAAUGUUAAUUUAGAUUAUUUGUUAUUUGAUCCUUGUUGUUAUGAAAAGUUUCAUAUUUUCCCCUUUAGGUUUUAUAGUUUAAAUUUGAACCCAAAAGUUUUGUUGUUUUGAAAUUUAAAUAGUUGAAACCCUAAUGUUUUGAAAAAGGUUUCAAAACUUGCCCUCAAGUUUUGGAAUUUAAAUUUUGAUUAAAUAGUUUAAUUUUGAUGUAUAUUUAAAUUCUAAACCCUAAUGUGUUGAAAUGUUUCAAAACUUGCCCUCAAGUUUUGGAAUUUAAAAGUUGAUUAAAAGUUUAAUUAGGAAUGUUAAAUUCUAAAACUCUAGUAUAGUUUUGAAAAAGUUCAAAUCACACCCUUAUGGUUUUAUUAAUUAAUUAAGGUGUAUAAUUAAAAGAGGUUUAAUAAAUCCAUAAAAGUUUAGGUUUACAAUUUAAUUGAAUUAAAAGUAUAAUUGUUAAAUUUGACCACCUAGUAUUUUAAAAGUGUAAAAUACACCCUAUACUAUAUAUAACAUUAAAAGUCUAACAUUAUAUAUAUGUAUGAGUAAAAGUCAGUCUUACCGUUAGUAGGCCUCAUUCACGAAGCUGGUCUAUAAGGGGUGUUUAAGGAAAUUGCCUAUAAAAUGGCGAUUGAAUGGGUAUCCACUCUUACCCACCGCACUCUUGACUAGUGGAGGGUCGUUAGCCGAACGGGUAGGAUAGGACGAAACCUUCCAUUAUAAGUAUAAUGAAGUAUAAAAGUAACUAAAUGUUUUCAUAAAAUUCCCAAUCUUAGUUACUUAGGCAAAAGUGAAUUGAUGCAAUUCCAUGAAAUUACACUUUGUGCCCUUGCGAAGACGUUAGUGGAGCGUGUGUGGUUUACCGGCACACUAAAUGGUUCUAAGCAAAGGUAGCAAAGGGUGACUCAAUGUUUGUCAUAGUUCGGUGGAGCGUGUGUGGUUUACCGGCACAUCGAAUAGGUGACUGUAACAUGUGAGGGCACCAUGUAAGUUUGCAUGGUUAUUCACACCCGCUUUGUGAUCCUCGGCAUCCCAGUCACAAACAAGAGGGGCAUAUCGAGAUUUAAACAUGCCAUUGAAAAGUUCAAUGAAUCUCAAAGGAUCUAGGAGUUUUCAUAGAUUUAAAACUUAAAUUUCUUUUUCGUUUUUCAUGGUGGAAAUUAGUGAAUCGUCAUUCACUUACCUUCAAAUAUUCUGCAAUUAGGGUUACGGCAUCCCUCUCCCGAGUUGUAGAAUAUUGUGUUGGGUCCUAGCCUUAGUAUCUCAUUUGGGUGAUUUACUAAGGACUCAAUCAAUCAACUAACUUGAAUUCGUUUUCUCCCGUUUUGUAGAUGUCAAAGUUCGACAACUAUGGUCUUCCCAAAUCCCGUGGAACAAGCAUUCCACAUGAAGAUGAUAUUCCACGAUUCGAUCGAGGAACAAGAAAUCAUGCUUCACUUCCUCCACCUCCUCCAAUUAUUCUCCCUAACCCACAAGUUCGAAGGCUUGAAAAGUUCAAGCUCACUCAAGCCCUUUUGGCAAGUAAACAUAAAGAAGGAAAGUCGGUGUGUGCACACGUCCUAGGGAUGAAGUCACACAUUGAUAGGUUAAGAAUGUUGGGAUCCGUUGUCUGUGAGGAAAUGGCUGUUGAUUGGGUUCUUCAGUCACUUCCUAACUCGUAUAGUGAGUUCGUAAGAGAGUACUAUAUGAUGAACCGCGACGUGACCCUUAUAGAUCUCACCUAUAUGCUUAUUGCUGCUGAAUCAGCAAUGGUUUGGCGCAAUAGAAAAGCAAAGUUGAUUGGUGAAUCUGCCUUCAAGACCUCUAUGGAUAUAGACAAUGGCAACGAAAGACAUGCUAUAAUCGAAAAGUUUGAUCAUAAGAGAAAGGCAAUGUCUGAAGUAGUUCCAUGUCCUGUUCCAAUAAAGUCAAUUUGCUUUUAUUGCCAAGAGAAGGGGCAUUGGAGACGAAGCUGCCCUAUUUACCUAAGAGAUCUAAGAGAUGGGAGAGUCAAAACGUAUGGCUCUGCUUUAGGUAAAAUCCAUUAACUAACUCUUUUAAGCUUCUAUUCUAGAUUCUUAAUACAUAAUGUGAUAAGAUUACAAUUGAUGUUUUGUAGGAUCGAAGAAAAGAAAGGAAGCUUAAGGGAAGAAGUGAGCAGAAUCUAACCGUGAAGGAAUGGAUUUCGAUCGCAUUUCUCGAAGAUUAGAUUCUUGAGCUACUACUUAGAGUUAGAAUUAGAUUGCUAAGAAAGAUGUAUUAGCAUAGUUUUUCAAUGAAUUGCAUUGUAAGGACAAAAUUUUUCCGCAAUAAAAUAAAUUUUGAUUUUAUAUUAUUUAUUUAUCCUUGCAAUGGCAUGCAUGAAAAUUGAUGUUUGAAGGUUUCUAAUAUUAGCAAUAAUGGAUUUGAUUCUUAAUUAUAUUGUUUAUGGAAAUGUCGAAAAUUUACCAAAUAAGGAGAGUUUCUCAUCGCCCAAGUUUCAAUUGGACAGAAACUUGGAAUCAUGCAACUUGGGUGCACGAUGAAUGAUAAAUUUCAUACUUGGAAAUUAACAAAUUCAUUGACAAAGUGUAAAGUGAAGGACUUGGAGAUUGAAUACACAAAGUUGCAUGUUGAUCAAGUCCACCAUAAGAGUAACCAAGAUAUUUGUCAUGAUUUACUAAAGGUUUAGUCAAUAUGAUUAUACUUACAAGAUUAAGUGUAAUUCUGAAUUGAUUGAAAAGGUUUAAAUCAAUAGCAGAACGAAUAAGAAGAAUCAAGUAGGCAGAAAGAUAAAAGUUUCUCCAUUCUAAGAAGAAGGGAGAGUACCUUUUAUGCUUUAUGAUAGGUCUUAAUGAUUAAGAACCAUAUCUCAAUUGAUCCUCUAAGUGAGUCUUAGUACAAUUGUAUGUCUAAGAAGAGGAAUCAAGAAUUGAAGAAAUGGUUAAAUCAAGAAGUCAAUCAUACUUCGUUCCAAAACAAGUCUUAAAGUUAAGAUUGUGACAUUGAGUGAAAAGUAUUAAGAAGGUUUAUAACAUUCAUCAAAUGUGGAAAGUUGUGAUGUCUUGGAUAAGACAAAGACCAACUAGGACCAAUUUAUGAAGUGUUUUGAUAAAAGCUACACUAACUCUUGAAUAUUUGUUUGUCAAGAAAUGGUUAUUGACAAGAGAAUCUUAUAUGUCAAGGAGUCAGUGGGAGUCUUAAUGGUCUUGAAAGGUUUCAAGAACAAAUCAAAUAAACCUUAUCGAUCAUCACUAGCACACGAGUUGAGGUUUACAACCUAUCGUGAUGACAUUAUUUUGUUUCUGUGCCAAUCCAAUCGAGUUAAUUAUGCAUGUGAGUUCUAUGAGUUCUCAUUUUGAACGCAUAAAAGGCAAAGCACCUUAAUCAAUGAAAGGUACAUUGAUAGGAAAGGGUGAGCUGCUUAACUACUUGGAAGACAUGGUGGGCAGCUGUGCUACCAUAAGGCAAGAAAUCAAGAUUAAGAAAGUUCGGUCCAUAUGAGUUUGAAUUUGUCGUAAACUUUGGUUUUAACAAAUUCACAUGGAUAGGAACACAUACACCAUUUAAAUCUAAGUGUCAUAAGAUUUCCUCCUUCAUGAAAAUGAUUGUGAGGAAAUGCUUUCACUAAGAAAGAUUUUAAGAAGAUAGUGAUUGUAAAAUUGCAUUCUCGAAUUCGAUUAUGGUUACGGUAUCCCUUUCCAUAAUUUGAAUUGUGAGGUUUGGCAAUUAGUCUUAAUUGUUUAGACACACAUAUGAACUAUCUAAGGCAAAGGUGUAUAAGUUCAAGAAGCCUUGAUAAAAGAUUAUCAAAGCAUUAAGUAUUAGAAACAUGAACUUAAGAAAUUCAAUAAGCAUUGUUUUUCUGAAAGUUAAGAUGUUUAUGAAUACAUGUCGAAGCUAGUGGGAGCAUAAGUGUUAUGUUUUAUAAUAAUCAUCAUGAUAGUGGGAGCAUAAAUGUUAUGAUUGUAUGAUUAUUAAGGCACGUAUUGCAAGUUGGCAAUAUUAAUUAUAGAAAACAAGAGUUAUACCUUGCAAAGUCGUAAGGGUUGUAAAGUUGUUUUGCUAUAAUUAAGGGAGAGAAUAUUAUGCUUCAUUUCAAAUUUAAAGGUUUAGGUUGUGAAAUGUUAAUAAAUUUAGUCAAGGAAACAUAGUGUGUUCUCAAAUUUCGAUUAUGAUUACGACAUUCCUCUUCAUAGUUCGAAUUUUGAGAACGUAGCACAUAAAAUAUUAUGGCAGAAGAUUGAUAAAGUAUCAAAUCUUUAUGUAAGACAUUAUGCAUCGUGUCCCAUACGCUUCGGGUAUAGGAUCGAUUGCAAAUGCUAUAAUAUUUGACCAUUCUAAAAUUUUCCAAAUGUCUAGCGCAUUUAGAGGGAAAAAGGACAAGAAUCGGUUUUGACUAAGAUAAUUAAACAACUAUCAAAGGACAAUCCAAAGUUCGCCGAGGAUUGGUCGCUUGUGAGUAGUUGGAAGUAUAGUAUUGGAAAAUAUGGAAAUGUUUCCAUAUUUGAUGGACCAUAUCGACAUUAUUAUGAAUAGACAAGAUUCUAUUAAGAAUGAGUUGCCGUAUGGAAAAUAUGGAAACGUGUCCAUAUUGGGAGUUGGAUAUUGAAAAUCUAUGUCUAGAUUAGAAACUUUUAUGCAAAAGGAUGUUCAAAGGAAUGUACUUUGAGUGAGAGACAUCAUAUCUAUGGAAUUUUCUUGUAACAAUCUCCGAUAGAGGACUUUGUAAUCUCAUUGGCAAUAGUCUUUGUGACUUUGGUGCAGUGAUAUUACGAAAGGAUCAUUGCAUAAAAUGUUAGAAUCUAGCAUAUUCUAUAAGUGGCAAGAAUUUGAUAUUCUUUCACUUAUGAAAAAGGAUUUGGAGUUGUGAAAUGAGUAUGAUUGGAAAUGUGUUCAUUUGAUCUAUUUCACAAAGUAAGAACCAUAGGUAAACAUUGUGUGCAUGCUAAGAGCAUGGGACAAGUGUAAUAAUUCAAGUAAGAAGUUGAUUACCCGAAACGACAAAUAAUGAGUAAUUGAUAUGGUGAUAAAUAAAAGGUGUUUUAUUUAUACUCAAAGGUUUGAGGCCAUAUGGGAUUAGUAUUAUUCUUGUGUUUCACUUUGCAUGUUUUGACUUCCUGAAUAAUUGAAUUGGUUUAGAACAGUCAAAUUAUUCGAACGGGCCACAGUCGUUCAUAUGUUGGAAGUAGGUAUGAAUGAAGACUGUCGUGAAUUGGUGUGUGGAUUGUCUAAAGAGUAUUAGACAUAAGCAAAUGUUUGCUGCAACGUUCAUGAGUGCUUAUGAAUAUGAUUUGAGCAUUGGAUUAAACCCACGCUCACUUGGAUCACUCCAUGAAUUGUAUCACGAGUGAUUGGUGAGACGAUAACAUCUUAUAUUCUUGAAACCGAGAUGUGUGAGUUGUAUCUUGCAAAUCGGUUGCACAUUGAUAAUAUGUAAACGCACUAGUAACUUGGUGUUAUAAAACAUAUUGUUGUGUGUGAUUCGGUGAGUGAGUGCAAGCAAGCAUUGUAUCAAAGUUUAUCCGUUCCUUUUAUCCAAAGUAGGAUAAAAGCGAUAUCUUUGGGCCCCUCGAUGAUUUAGUGAUGACAAACGUAAAUGCUCGGCCGGGCUAGGGCUAAUUUGAUUUGUUCAAUUAGUCAGUCGUCAUAAAUCGGAAAUCGAGAUAUAGUACAAAGAGAAUGAUUUGAAAUCAUAUCUCAUAUGAUAUCUAGAAUGGAGGAAUAUAUGAUCCCUUAUCUAAGGACACGCGUAUCUGAUAGGAUCAGAGUUGACAGCGGCUUUGGAAAGCUACGAUUGCAGAUCAGGAUCUGAAGUCAUACGCAUAAUAGUUAUUAGACUUAUCCAAGUGGGAGACUGUUGGAUUAGUGUCUAAGUCCAUAACUAUUUUGGUAUGUACUUGACCCGAUGGUGCAUGGUCCUUUUGGGUUGCCUUCACCAAAGCAACUUGAUAGGAUGAAUUAUGGAGAGAAAGGAUUAAAUAUGAUUUAUUAAUAUAUUAUGAGAAUAAUAUAUUAAAGGAGAAAUCAUAUUGUUUAAUUAAUAUUAGUCAAGAAUUAAUUGGUAAUUAGUUUUGUGACUAAAAGAGAUUAAUUAAACUUAAGGGACUGGAAUUGUAAUUAUAAGAUAAUUGCAAUUUGGGCCAUGGAUUGCCUUAUAUUAUAAGGUGGACGAAUUCUAUGGGGGAAGCCCAUAUGAAAUCGUCCAAGGCCUUAAGGAAAGGGCUCCAUGGGUUGCUUAGGGCUUAAGCAUCCAAAUUAGGGUUUCCUUGUUAGAUAACCCUAAUAGCCUCACUAUAUAUAGAACCCUUAAGGCUCAAAAACGUGGGGAACUUCUUUUCUAGGGUUAGAACACGUUUUGGGCAGCCUCCAUCCUCUCUCCUCUUCAUCCUCUUGCUUAUGGUGUUUGUGAACCAUUAGAGGAGUGACAUUUGUGACUCUAGGCUUUCUAAAGUCAAUACAAGGAGAUUUGGGAUUGUUAUUACUACAUAACAAUCAAGGUAACAUCUUAAACCUAUUCUUAUGUUAAUAUGAUUACUUGUAUGCUAGAAUUAGGGUUUAUAGUCUUGGAUAACUUGCAUGUACAAUAGAGAAACCUAGAUCCAAGCAUUAGGGUUUGUAUGAACACAUAGGAUGUUCUUAGGACUAAAACCUAUCACAAAGCUUAGUGAGUUCCCCUAUCAUACCAUAUACCACAUAACUAACAUAUUGUCGGACGAUUCUAGGGUGCCCGACCUACCCUGUCUGGCAUUUCUGGGGUGCCGGCCUACCAUGUCUGGCAAAUUCUGGAGUGCCGACCUACCCUGUUUGGCAAUUCUGGGGCGCCGACCUACCCUCCGGUUUAUCUUAUCCAGCUACGGGGACUAUUUCACCACUACUACUACCACAUAAUAACAUAACAUAAACAUACUGUCAGACAUAUCUGGGGUGCCCGAACUACCCUUCGGUCCUUACGACCAUAACACGGUGACUAUUCCCCCUACUACUUAUUAUUACAUAAGAUCAUAUCAUGCUAGCACAUAAUCAUAACAUAUAGCAACAUACCAGAUAAUUAUCACGAAGACAAUUAUCUCUACUAUAACUCUUACUAGUGGGCUGGCCUUGGUGCCUUAGAUCCACUUCUACCGGAAGGUAACUCACCCCAAUGCCGAGUUGUAACUAAACUGUCCUCGGUGUUGGGGUUAACUCCUCUCAAACUCCUACACAUAACAACCAUCCUUAAUUACCAUUUCAUAUUCGUAACCCUUUCAAGGUUCAGCUCAAGUCAAAGUCAAAGUCAAAGUCAAGGUUAACCCCCUGGUCAAAGUCGACAUCUGGUUGACUCAACUCGUUGCGUUGGUCCACCAACUCAUUGAGUUCCCUCCUACAUAGUUGGGACUUUUACUCCUGACUCGUCGAGUUCUCCUUCAUACAGAGUCGGGACCUUUUUCUCAUGACUCGCCGAGUUCAUCCUUGAACUCGUUGAGUUAUUUGAUCUUCAAGUCCAUAUUCACGUCCAUCUUGUUGAGUCCUCUUCUAGACUCAACCAGAUUACUCAUAAACAUAAAAGUUUGGGGAAGCAUGACUCGACUCGCCGAGUCCCCCAAAGUCCAAGUCUAUAUAGUCGAUUUCUAUCAGGCUUAUUGCAUCCAAAUCAUAGAUCUGUCCUCCUAGGGUCGAUAUAACACGUAAAGUUACAAACUUUACGUGCAUGCAUGCGUGUUAUGAAGCUAAAACACCAAAACUAAGCCAUAAAGUAGUUCUAAUGCAUGGGAUAGGGCCAUAGCUUAAUAAAGGUGGCAACUUUAUGCUUCUUGAGCUCAAAAGUUCCCAAAUAUGAAGUCAUUAGUCUAUUAUGCACUCAAAUCCCGAGAGCGACUUAGAAAUGGCCCAAAAUGACAAUAUGCAAGCCCUAAAGAAGAUCUAAGUGAUGGAAAGCCAAGUUAUAAGCUUUAUACCUCAAAGAAGCUGGAAAUGCAACCCAAGCUCUGGAUCUACUGCCCUCCUCUUGAAUCUCCAAUUCUUUCCUUCCUUCUCCAAACUUCAAAUCACUAAAAUGGCACAAAAUAGCUCAAGAACACUCACAAGCUGAUUAGGGUUUCGAGAAUAAGGUAUGAGGGUUAUAGAGGCUAGAGUGGAGGCCAUAUAAGGUGUUUAAAUAGGGUGCAAACCCUAAAAUUUAGGGUUUCAUUCAGAUAGAUCUACUCGUCGAGUCGGGGCUUCGGACUCGUCGAGUAAACUCUUCCACCCGCGUCUAAGAUUCUCCCCUACUCGACGAGUUUGUGGCCUCAACUCAUUGAGUCCCAGUAUAAAAAAUGCAAAACUUAUAUUUAAAAUACGUACCGAGAACCGGACGUUACAAAUCUCCCCUACUUAUUUUAGACUUCGUCCUCGAAGUCUGCUGUUGCAUCUGGAAAAAGCUCGGGGUAGUGCUCCCCUAUCUCGUCCUUCAGCUCCCAAGUCCAUUCUGAGCCCUUGCGAUGUUGUCAUUUCACCUUCACUAGCUCGACCCCCUUAGAUCCUUCGACUUCCUGUCGAGGAUAGCUAUUGGUCACUUGAUGUAGUUCAGACUGUCAUCCACCUGAAUAUCCUCUAGAGUCACCACCGCAGAGUCGUCUACCAGGCACUUCCGCAACUGAGAGACGUGAAAAGGUACUAUGAAUCUGGCUAAACUCGGCUGGCUGAUCCAGCCUAUACGCCACCUUGUCCACCCAGGUUGCAACCCUGAAAGGUCCAAUAUACCUGGGGCCCAACUUUCCCUGCUUCCUGAACCAGAUGACACCUUUCCAAGAUGACACCUUCAGAAGAACCAUAUCCCCGACCUGGAACUCCAGGUCUGAACCGCGCUUGUUGGCAUAACUUUUCUGCCGACUCUGAGUAGUCUGAAGCCUGCUCCGAACUUGUUAGAUCCUUACCGUUGUCUUGAGUACCACUUCGGUACUCCCCAUGACCCUCUGCCCAACCUCACCCCAGCAUAUCGGGGUCCCGCACUUUAUCUCGUAUAACAUCUCGAAGGGAGGACGUUCAAUACUUUUGUGGUUGCUAUUAUUGUAGGAAAACUCUGCCAAGGGAAGGUAGGUAUCCCAGCUACCACCGAAGUCUAAAACACAUGUCCGCAGCAUACCCUCCAAAGUAUGGAUGGUCCGCUUGCUCUGACCAUCCGUGCGGGUGUAAAGCGGUGCUAAAGUGCAUAUGAGUACCCAACUCGUCCUGAAACUUCUUUCAAAAUCUGGAAGUGAACCGUACGUCUCUUUCAGAAAUCAUGGAGCCUGGCACUCUGUGUCGUGCUACUACCUCUCGAAUGUAGAUGUUGGCCAUCUUCUCGGCCGAAAUGAUCUCCUGGAUCAGAAUGAAAUGGGCACUCUUGGUCAAUCGAUCCUCGAUGACAUAAAUCAAAUCCACUCCCCGUGUUGUCCUGGGAGGCUUUGUGAUGAAAUCCAUAGUAAUAUCUUCCCAUUUCCACAUAGGGAUAUCCAAUGAAUGUGUCUUUCCAUGAGGCCUCUAGUGCUCAGCCUUGACCUUCCUGCAGGUCAGACAUCUUUCAACGUACCAGGCUACAUCCUGUUUCAUGUAGGGCCACCAAUAAUCAAGACAAAGAUCUCUGUACAUCUUCGUUGCCCCAGGAUGGAUAGAAAACCUAAAUUUAUGGGCCUCAUCCAUCAAAAUUUGUCGUAUUCCUCCCCAGCACGGAACCCAUACCCUCCCAUGCAGGGUCAGCAGCCCACGACUGUCAUAGUCGAACGAGGCCACCUGGCCUAUAAUCCGCUCACACUUCCGGCGCUCCUCCUUCAUACCCUCAACUUGCGCCUCUCGAAUCCACUCCAAAAGUGGAGUCACCACCAUUAUCCUCUAGCAAAUAUCUAUGAUUGGGGUUGCCUUGCGACUAAGCGCAUCAACCACAAAGUUGGCCUUCCCCGGGUGGUAGAGGAUCUCACAAUUGUAAUCCUUCACCACAUCUAGCCACCGACGUUGCCUCAUGUUCAAAUUCGGCUGAUCCAUAAGGUACCUCAAGCUCUUGUGGUCCGUGUAUAUGGUAUAUCGGACCCCAUAGAGGUAAUGUCGCAAAAUCUUGAGGAGGAAAACAACCGCCCCCAACUCCAGGUCGUACGUCGGGUAGUUCGCCCCGUGAGGCUUCAACUGCCUCGAGGCGUAGGCGAUAACAUGCCCCAUCUACAUCAAUACCGGGCCCAAACCUGAAAUGGAUGCAUCGCAGUACACUAUAAAAUCCUCCAUGCCCUCUGGCAGGGCUAGCAUCGGUGCCUCGCACAACCUCUGCAUCAAUGUCUCAAACACUGCCUGCUGCUUAGGCCCCCGGCGAAAGACCACGACCUUCUUUGUCAAACGGGUCAACGGUACGACUAUCUUGGAGAAGUCCUGAAUGAAUCUCCGGUAAUAGCCUGCCAAUCCAAGGAAACUCUGAAUCUCAGAUGGAGACUUUGGAACCUCCCACGUCAUUAUGGCCUCUUCUUUGGCCGUGUCAACCAAAAUACUGUUCUAGUUGACAAGGUGCCCAAGAAACUGCACCUCGCACAACUAGAACUCACACUUGGAGAACUUGGCGUACAAGAUCUCCCUCCUCAAGGUAUCCAUCACCUCUCGCAAGUGCUCAUCGUGCUGCUCCCGUGUCUUGGAAUAAACCAAGAUGUCAUCAAUGAAAACUAUCACAGACCGAUCCUGCAUCGGUCUGCAUACAUGGUUCAUGAGAUCCAUGAACACGGCAGCAGCAUUGGUGAGCCCGAAGGGCAUCACCACGAACACGUAGUGGCCAUAGCGAGUACGGAACACAGUCUUCUGUACAUCCUCGUCUCUGACCAUCAUCUGAUGGUAGCUUGAACGUAAAUAUAUCUUGGAAAACCAAGAUGCCCCCUGUAGCUGGUCGAAGAGAUCGUCAAUCCUCGGGAGUGGGUAAUGGUUCUUCACCGUUACCUUUUUCAUCUCCCGGUAACCUAUACACGUCCGAUGCGACCCCGUCCUUCUUCUUCACAAAAAGGAUCGGGGCUCCCUAGGGUGAACUGCUCAGCCUAAUGAAUCCCUUGUCUAACAGCUCCUACAGGUGUGUAGACAAGUCUUGCAUCUCAGGAGGAGCCAACUGAUAUGGUGCCUUGGCUAUCGGAUCCACACCAAGGACUAGGUCGAUCUAGAUCUCUAACUGUCUCUUCGGAGGUAUCCCAGGUAGCUCCUCUGGGAAUAUGUCUGAGUACUCUCGCACCACUAGUACAUCACUCACAGUUGCCUUACCCGUCUCCCGACAUAGGCGACAUGACCUGCGCAACCCUGUUGUGCGUAGUGCCUAGCCCUCGCUGCUGAACACAUAGCUGCUCCACGAUGUGGUCUCUCGCUCUGAAUCACCAGCUCUUCCCCACUUGGGGUCCUGACCCGUACCAACUACUGCGCACAGUCGAUCACCGCCCUGUUAGGGCUUAACCAGUCCAUUCCCAUGAUAACCUUGUUCCCACGCAACGGAAUGGGAACCAGGUCCACUAGGCAAUGCUCCUCAUAAAGCCUCAAAACAAAAUCUCUGAAAACCUCUGAUGCUCGUACCGAUCGAUCAUCAACAAUCUCGACCUCUAAAGGGCAACCCAACAAGCCUGAAGACUUAGGGAACCUCUUGCUAAGUGCAAGAUAGACAAAUGAUCGAGUAGUCCCCGAAUUGAAUAACACUUGUAUUGGGAUACCGUUAACAUGGAACGACCCUAAAUAACACAUAAAACAUACACAUAAAUAUCAUCACUGACAUGAAAUAAAAGUUAGGGAGAAGAAAUCAUACCAGUCACCACAUUCGGUGCGACACACACCACCUCAGUGGUCAGCUGGAAGGCUCGACUCCUCACUACUGGAGCAUCUGACUUGCCCUAUCGGCCAUCUAUGAUCCGCAAGGUAGAGGGAGCUAGCUCCACUGAUACUAGUCUCGGGCAAUCGACCUUUUUAUGGCCUUUUUGAUUGCAAUGGAAGAAAAUCAGGUAUGAUGUAUGGAAUGUGGGGGUAGGGGCAGUACAAUCCUUGCUAAAGUGCCCGAUCUUGUCGCACUUGUAGCAGCCCGAUGAUCCCAAUCUACAAACUCCCUCAUGCAGCCUACCGCAUUUCCUGCAGCGGCUCUGGCCCGCCUGGCCCUUCGAUCUAGUUUCGGAUCCCUUGGGUUUCUUCCCCGAAACCCCAGUAACAUGUCCAUAACAUGACUUCCUCUUCCUGAGGUGCUUUAUAUCAAUCUCCCUCUUCCUCGUCCUCACGAUCAUGUCAUCCAAUGUCAGGCAUGCCGAGUAGCUGACAUGUUUCUGAAUGUCAACCCUCAACAUGUCGUGGUACCGAGUUUUCCUCAUCUCCUCAUCCCUUGCAUACCACGGUACCAGUAAGGCCCUCUCCCUGAACUUGGCAGAAAUCUCCGCCACCGUCUUAGUAGUCUGUCUCAUGUUAAGAAACUCCCUGGCCAGCUGCUGAAACUGUUGGGCUUUGAGCAUUCUAACACUCCUAAGUGUACAUGCAACCCUAAAUACCUUGGAUCUAUGUUUUCUUUAUUAUACAUGCAAUUAUGAACAUCCAAGGUAUUAUCCUAAUCUAGCAUACAAAAUAAUGAAUAUAACAAGAUAGAAUACAUACCUCUUUGAUGUAGAAUGUCUUCAUGAAGCUUGAGUUCCUAGUGCCUCAAGUGUGACACCUCAAUUGGUUCACACAACACCAAAUACACUUGGAAUAACUUGAGAAAAACUUGAACACUCCUAAAAUCGGCUAGCCCUUUCUUAUUAUUCAUAGUGGCCGAUUUUUCCCAAAGAAUAUGAUCUUAUAUAGUUGUUACAAUUAGGGUAAACCCUAAUUGUCAUGGCCUUCCAUUUCCUUGGAUCCAUGGGUUCAAAUACACCAUGGAGCAUCCAUGGACCAUCCUAUGGGUUUUAGCCCAACUUGAUUAUCCAUGGAGCAUUAGCCCACUAUACAAGUAUGGAUGAUUUACACAAUCAACCCAUAUAUUUAAUUAGUCUUCUUUUGAUCACUUAAUUAAUCCUAGAUUAAUUCUUGAUCAAUACUAAUUAAAUAAUCUUAUUAUUCUUAUUAUUAAUAUACUAGAACUUAUAAUAUAUUAAUAACCAUAAGUGUCUUAUUUCUCUCAUUAUAGUCUAUCCAAGUGCAUGAUGGUAUGCAACCCAAAUGGACCAUGCCGGGUCGGGUCAAGUCUUACCAAUUAUAGUUAUGGACUUAGACAUUAAUCCAACAGUCUCCCACUUGGAUAAGUCUAAAACUAUUAUUGCGUAUGACUUCAGGAACCAACUGGCAAUCGUAGCUCUCAAAAGCUUCUGUCGAACUCUGACCUUGUAGAUGAACUCUGACCUUUGUCAAUGACUUGUCCAUUAGAUAAGGGAUCAUAUAUUCCUCCAUUCUAGAUAUCAUAUGGACUGAGACAUGGAUUAUAAUCAUUCUCUCUGUCCAUUUGUUGUUUCCCGAUUUCCGAUUUAUGACGACUGACUAAUUGAACAAAUCAAAUCAGUCCUGGCCCGGCCGAGCACUUCCAUUUGUCAUCAUCAAAUCAUCGAGGGGCCCACAGAUAUCGCUUUUAUCCCGAAGGUAAAAGGAAUGGAUAAACUUCGACUCAUAUGGCUUGUUCUACUACUUGUUGAAUCAUACACAAAGGCACGUUUUAUAGCACCGAGUUACCAAAUGCGUUUUCGUGCAAUCAAUGUACUAUCAACUCAUAGUAACAACUCAUAUCUCUAGGUUUGAAGAAUAUAAGAUAUUAUCGUCUCAUGAUCACUCGUGAUAAAAUCCAUGAAGUGAUUCCAAUGAGCGCGGGUUGAAUCCAAUACUCAGAACUUAUGAGCACUCAUGAGUGUUGUAGCCCUUUGUCCAACACCUUAGACCUCUACAAGCCAACUCAUGACAGUCUUAAUUCAUAUCUACUUCCAACAUAUGACCGACUGUGGAUGGUUUGAAUAACUUAGUCAUUCCGGAAGAAUAACCCAGUUUAUUCGGGAAGUCAAAACAUGCAAAGUGAAACACAAUAAUAAUUGAAUCCAAUAUGGUCUCAGAACUUAUGAAUAUAAAUAAAACACCUUUUAUUUAUCACCAUAUGAUUACACAUUAUUCAUUGUAUACUGUUUCAGCUAUCAACUUUAUUCUUGAAUUUAAAACAAUAGUUGUCCCAUGCUCCAAGCAUGUACACUAUGUUUUCUAAACACUAGUCAUGCCAUACACCAAGUAUGCAUACUAUGUUUUUCUAUGACCCUUACUUUGUGAAAUAAACCAAUUGACCAAACUUUCAAUGAUUCUAAUUUCACACUCCCGAAUUCUUAUGGCAAAUGCAAGAAUUCCAAAUUCAUGCCAUUUUACCUAAAUCUGUUAGAUUCUCAACUUAUAUGCAAUGAUUCUCUUGUAAUGAUUAUGCACAAAGUCACAAAGAUUUGACAACAAACAUUACAGAGCAUUCCAAAGAAGAUCAACUCCUUGGAAACAUCCUUCUUGCAUUAAUUUUCCUAAUCUUAUACAGACUUAUUGAACAACUUCCACCAAUGGGAUCAUUUCCACAUUCCCUUUUUGACUAUCACUUCUGAACAAGAGUUGCCUCUUUUCAGAAUAUGUCAAUAUGGUCCUUCCAACAGUUAACACUAUACUUCCAACUGUCCCUGAGCAACCAAUCUUUGGUAAACCUUAGAUUGUCCUCGACAAUUGCUUAAUUGUUUGUCAUAUCCAGUUCUAGACCUUUUCCCUUCUUAAUGCCCCAGACAUCUGGAAAAUUUUAGACAUGAUGAAUAUAGCACAUGUAAUUGAUCCUAUAUCCGAAGCAUAUGGGACACGAUUAAUGAUGUCUCACAUAAGACUAAACCAGUCUUUUGCUAUAAUAUUUUCAUUUCUAUUUGCCAAGUUCUCAUAAUUUAGAUUAUGAAAAGGGAUGUCGUAAUCAUAAUCGAGAUUUAGAAUGCAAAUAAUGAACCCAUAUAUAGAAUUUCCUUAUGUUGAGCCAUUCCAACAUGAAAUUCAUAUAUAUUCUUGACUAAAUUUGAUUAAAAUCUCAAUCUAAGCUUUUAGAAUUGAAAUGAAGUAUAAUUUUCUCUCCCUUAAUUAUAGCAAAACAACUUUUUCAACCACUGCAGCCUUACGAAUUGAAACUUUUGUUUUCUAUAAUUAACAUUGCUACCUUGCAACCUUUAUCAUAAUUAUCGUGCUCCCACUAACAUAGGGGUGAGCAUUUGGACCGAUGGAUCGGACCAUUUUUUUGGACCCCCGGGCCGAUUCUCGAUUCUCAGAUUGCUCUCCGGUCCGGUCCGGUUUUUUUCCCGAUUCGGUCCGGGUUUUACCGGGUUUAGAACCGGUUGGACAUGAUUAAGAUUUCUAUGACGUUUUUUAAACACUCAUAACUCAUUCGUUUUAAGUCGGAUUGAUCUGCGGUUUUUUCCAACAUUUAGUUUACAGUUUGUAGAUGAAUUUAGACUAUAAUUUUGUUUAUUUUGGUAUUAUAUUCACCGUGUUACAAUCCUUCAAAGUAGAGCUAUCAAAGCUGAAAAAAUUCAGCUUUUCAGCAAUAUUUUGUAAUCUGUGACGUUUUUUAAACACCCAUAACUCAUUUGUUUUAAUUCGGAUUGACCAGCAAUCUUUUCCAAAAUUUAGUUCACAGUUUGUAGAUGAGUUUAGACUAUAAUUUUGUUUAUUUUGGUAUCAUAUUCACUGAGUUAUAAUCCUUCAAAGUAGAGCUAUCAAAGCUGAAGAAAUUCAGCUUUUCAGCAAGAUUUUGUAAUCUGUGACGUUUUUUAAACACCCAUAACUCAUUUGUUUUAAUUCGGAUUGACCAGCAAUCUUUUCCAAAAUUUAGUUCACAGUUUGUAGAUGAGUUUAGACUAUAAUUUUGUUUAUUUUGGUAUUUUAUUCACUGAAUUACAAUCCUUCAAAGUAGAGCUAUCAAAGCUGAAAUAUUUCAGCUUUUUAGUAUUAUUUUAUACUAUAUAUCCGAGUCCGCGUUUAGCACAUGUGGUAGAGUUGUAAGUGAGUAUCAAACUAGUUUAUCAACAUUGAUAGUUGAAGCUUUGUUAUGCACCCAAGAUUGGGUGAUAAAGUCUACAAAUCCGAUAGUUAGCAACGUUGAUGACAUCUUGAACGAUGAUGAUAUAGCUUUGGGUAAAAAAGUUACAAUCUUUAUUCUUUUUUUAUACAAUUAUUACUUUUUAUUAAAUACUAACAACAUUUUCAUUUGUGUAUAUAUAGAGAUUGCACAAGCUUUAAAUAUGUUACAUAUGGAUGACAAUAAUAUGGGGAAGAGGCCAAUGGAAGAUUAGAUUAUGAGUUUAUGAAGUUUGUUAGUUUGAUUGAGUAUAUGUUACUUGCUUUUAUUUGGAAAAUUAAUUUUUGCAAAUAUCAAGUUAUAAUAUUAUGCAUCAAUGUAGAUUAGUUAAGCAUGAAACGGAAACAUAUUAAUUUUGCAAGUUAUAAUAUUAUACAUCAAUUUAGAUUACAUAUACUUUAUGCAAUUAAAGUUGUACCGGACCAAACGGGUCCAAAAACCGGAAAACCCGGACCUGGACCCGAACACGGACACGACUCAUCCGGUCCGGUCCAUGGUCCACAAAAUUCUCCAUAACCGGUCCGGUCCAAGAGCCGGUCCGGUCCGCGCCGGUCCAAAUGCUCACCCCUACACUAACAUGAUGAUUAUUAGAAUAACACUUAUACUCCCACUAGCUUUGACAUGUACUCAGAAAUCAGCAGGACUUCUAGAAACCAAUACUUUAUUGAUUUUCUUACCAAAGUUCAGAUUUCUGAUACUAGAUUACUUUGAUACAACUUUAUCAAAAUCAUACACCUUGCCUUAGAUAGCUCACAGGUGCGUCUAAACAAUUAUGAAAAGGGAUGCCGUAAUCAUAAUGUCUAGACCUUUUGUCAUUCCCACAAUUGCUAUCUACUCAAAAUCUACUUAGUGAAAGAGUUUCCUUACCAUCAUUUACAUGAAUCGAAGAUAAACCUUAUGACACUUAAAUUUUAUGGUGUAAGUGUUCCUAUCCAUGUUAAGUUGUCAAAACCAUAAUCAACAAGACUAGGUUAGUGACAAAUCCUAACUCAUAUGGAUUGAACUUGUGCAAUCUUUACUUCUUGCCACCUGGCAGCUCAAGGGCUUGCCAUUGCUUCCAAGUAGCUAUGCAAACAAUUGAGAACAUGUAGAACUCAAAUGUAUAGCCAACUUAACUGGAAUGGGCACAGAAAUGUCAACAUGAUAGGUUAUAAACCUCACGUCGUGUGUUAGUGUUAAACUACAGGUCUUUAUUUGAUUAGAUCUUGAACUUCUUUUCAGGAUCUUUAAUACUCCCACUGUCCUCUUGAUAUAUAAGACUAUCUUGCCAAAUAUUUAAGAGAUAGUGUGGAUUCUAAUCAAGACAGACACUUAACACAGUUAACCUUAGUUGGUCUUUGUUUUAUCCAAAACAUCACAACUUACUAAUUUCAAAUGUACAAGAGUAGAAAACUUUUACUCCUACAUCUGACAAGUGUUUUUUAAACCUUCUUUAAGACAUGUCACUCAAGUUACAAUCUUGGAAUAUGACUCUAAGAAUUGUUAUGGAACGAAGUAUGACUCAUCUUUUUUAUUUAACCAUUUCAACAAUUCAUGACUCCUCUUCUUAGUCAUAAAAAUGCACUAAGAGGACCUUAGAGUNAUGACUCCUCUUCUUAGUCAUAAAAAUGCACUAAGAUGACCUUAGAGUAUCAAUUGUGAUAUGGUAUCUUAAUCAUUAAAUGAUCAUGAACAUGAUACUAAAGUACUCUCCCAUCUUUUUAGAUUUGAGAAACUUUUAUCUUUCUAUCAAAUUUGAUUAUUCUUAUUUGUUCUGUCAUACAUUGAAACUUUUCCAAUGUCUUAGAAUUAUACUUAAGCUUGUAAGCAUAAUCAUAUUUACUAAACCUUAGUAAAUCAUGACGAAUAGUCUUAUCCAUCUUUUGUGGUGGACUUUGAUAAGUGCACAAGAAAGUGUACUUGAUCCCUUAGUCCUUCACUUGACUCACACAUCCAUGUGAACAAGUAGUUAGUUUUAAUUUUCAAAUGCUUGAAAGUUCUCAUUCAUCAUGCUAUACAACUUGCAUGAUUCCAAGAUUCUAUCCAACUGAAACUUGGGUGAUGAGUAUCUUUCCUUAUUUGGUAAAUUUAGACACUACCACAAAUGAAAGAAUCAAAUUCAUAUUUCCAAUAUUGCUAUCAAUGGAAUCAUAUAAACAACACUUUUUUUCCACAAAUGCCAUUGUAAGAAUAUUUUAAAAUAAAUAAAAUUAAAAAAUUUUCUUUUAUUUUAAAACUUUAUGGAAAAACUACCCUUACUAUGCAAAAGAGCAAGAAAACUAUGUUGUUAUCUGUUCCUAAGCAAUAUAUCAUAACUCUUAAGAAGUAGCUCAAGAAUCCGAUCUUCAAACUAUGUGAUAGAAACCCAUCUACGCGAUCAGAUCCAACAUAUUCUUUCUUUAAGUUUCUUCACUUUUCUUUGUUUCUUAAAACAUCAACAUGUGACCCAGUCACAUCAUGUAUCAAGAAUCUCAGAAUAGAAACUUAACAGAGUUAGAUAGUGGACUUUACCUGAAGUAGAGUCAAACUUAUUGACUUUACCAGCCUUAUGAUAUUUCAGGUAAAUUUGGCAGCUUCGCAACCAAUGCCCCUUCCUUUGGCAAUGGACCCUUGAUAAUGGGACUAUCUCAUACUUAGCCUCUCUCUUUACCAUUUGGUUAACCGAGUUGACUAUGGCCGAUCCCUUUCCAUUGGGAAGAGAGAGCUUUACUGGAUAUCCAAUGUCAUCAUUGUCAAUGUCGAUAAAGUUUUAGGAAGUUGAUCUUAGCAAAUAGAUAAGAUCAUUAAGGGUCUUGUCAUAGUCUGUUUCAUAGGUGUCCCAAAGGAACUCACUAUGUGACUUAGAAAGUGAUUGAACCACCAACUUUCUCAAGACUUUGACACCCAACUCUCCCGGCUUGUCAAUAUGUGACUACAUCUCCAAGAUGUGAUCACACCUAGACCUUGCCUUGCCAAUAGGGCUUGAGUGACCUUAAACUUUUCAAGAACUUGUGGGUUAGGGAGAAUAAUUGGAGGAGGUGAAAAAAGUAUGAUUUCCAAGGGACAUCAUCUUCAUUUAGGAAAGCUUGUUUCAAGAGAUUUGGGAAGAUCAUAAAUGUCUAAACCAGACAUCUUUUGGGAGAUAUUCAAGAUAGUUGAUNNNNNNNNNNNNNNNNNNNNNNNNNNNNNNNNNNNNNNNNNNNNNNNNNNNNNNNNNNNNNNNNNNNNNNNNNNNNNNNNNNNNNNNNNNNNNNNNNNNNNNNNNNNNNNNNNNNNNNNNNNNNNNNNNNNNNNNNNNNNNNNNNNNNNNNNNNNNNNNNNNNNNNNNNNNNNNNNNNNNNNNNNNNNNNNNNNNNNNNNNNNNNNNNNNNNNNNNNNNNNNNNNNNNNNNNNNNNNNNNNNNNNNNNNNNNNNNNNNNNNNNNNNNNNNNNNNNNNNNNNNNNNNNNNNNNNNNNNNNNNNNNNNNNNNNNNNNNNNNNNNNNNNNNNNNNNNNNNNNNNNNNNNNNNNNNNNNNNNNNNNNNNNNNNNNNNNNNNNNNNNNNNNNNNNNNNNNNNNNNNNNNNNNNNNNNNNNNNNNNNNNNNNNNNNNNNNNNNNNNNNNNNNNNNNNNNNNNNNNNNNNNNNNNNNNNNNNNNNNNNNNNNNNNNNNNNNNNNNNNNNNNNNNNNNNNNNNNNNNNNNNNNNNNNNNNNNNNNNNNNNNNNNNNNNNNNNNNNNNNNNNNNNNNNNNNNNNNNNNNNNNNNNNNNNNNNNNNNNNNNNNNNNNNNNNNNNNNNNNNNNNNNNNNNNNNNNNNNNNNNNNNNNNNNNNNNNNNNNNNNNNNNNNNNNNNNNNNNNNNNNNNNNNNNNNNNNNNNNNNNNNNNNNNNNNNNNNNNNNNNNNNNNNNNNNNNNNNNNNNNNNNNNNNNNNNNNNNNNNNNNNNNNNNNNNNNNNNNNNNNNNNNNNNNNNNNNNNNNNNNNNNNNNNNNNNNNNNNNNNNNNNNNNNNNNNNNNNNNNNNNNNNNNNNNNNNNNNNNNNNNNNNNNNNNNNNNNNNNNNNNNNNNNNNNNNNNNNNNNNNNNNNNNNNNNNNNNNNNNNNNNNNNNNNNNNNNNNNNNNNNNNNNNNNNNNNNNNNNNNNNNNNNNNNNNNNNNNNNNNNNNNNNNNNNNNNNNNNNNNNNNNNNNNNNNNNNNNNNNNNNNNNNNNNNNNNNNNNNNNNNNNNNNNNNNNNNNNNNNNNNNNNNNNNNNNNNNNNNNNNNNNNNNNNNNNNNNNNNNNNNNNNNNNNNNNNNNNNNNNNNNNNNNNNNNNNNNNNNNNNNNNNNNNNNNNNNNNNNNNNNNNNNNNNNNNNNNNNNNNNNNNNNNNNNNNNNNNNNNNNNNNNNNNNNNNNNNNNNNNNNNNNNNNNNNNNNNNNNNNNNNNNNNNNNNNNNNNNNNNNNNNNNNNNNNNNNNNNNNNNNNNNNNNNNNNNNNNNNNNNNNNNNNNNNNNNNNNNNNNNNNNNNNNNNNNNNNNNNNNNNNNNNNNNNNNNNNNNNNNNNNNNNNNNNNNNNNNNNNNNNNNNNNNNNNNNNNNNNNNNNNNNNNNNNNNNNNNNNNNNNNNNNNNNNNNNNNNNNNNNNNNNNNNNNNNNNNNNNNNNNNNNNNNNNNNNNNNNNNNNNNNNNNNNNNNNNNNNNNNNNNNNNNNNNNNNNNNNNNNNNNNNNNNNNNNNNNNNNNNNNNNNNNNNNNNNNNNNNNNNNNNNNNNNNNNNNNNNNNNNNNNNNNNNNNNNNNNNNNNNNNNNNNNNNNNNNNNNNNNNNNNNNNNNNNNNNNNNNNNNNNNNNNNNNNNNNNNNNNNNNNNNNNNNNNNNNNNNNNNNNNNNNNNNNNNNNNNNNNNNNNNNNNNNNNNNNNNNNNNNNNNNNNNNNNNNNNNNNNNNNNNNNNNNNNNNNNNNNNNNNNNNNNNNNNNNNNNNNNNNNNNNNNNNNNNNNNNNNNNNNNNNNNNNNNNNNNNNNNNNNNNNNNNNNNNNNNNNNNNNNNNNNNNNNNNNNNNNNNNNNNNNNNNNNNNNNNNNNNNNNNNNNNNNNNNNNNNNNNNNNNNNNNNNNNNNNNNNNNNNNNNNNNNNNNNNNNNNNNNNNNNNNNNNNNNNNNNNNNNNNNNNNNNNNNNNNNNNNNNNNNNNNNNNNNNNNNNNNNNNNNNNNNNNNNNNNNNNNNNNNNNNNNNNNNNNNNNNNNNNNNNNNNNNNNNNNNNNNNNNNNNNNNNNNNNNNNNNNNNNNNNNNNNNNNNNNNNNNNNNNNNNNNNNNNNNNNNNNNNNNNNNNNNNNNNNNNNNNNNNNNNNNNNNNNNNNNNNNNNNNNNNNNNNNNNNNNNNNNNNNNNNNNNNNNNNNNNNNNNNNNNNNNNNNNNNNNNNNNNNNNNNNNNNNNNNNNNNNNNNNNNNNNNNNNNNNNNNNNNNNNNNNNNNNNNNNNNNNNNNNNNNNNNNNNNNNNNNNNNNNNNNNNNNNNNNNNNNNNNNNNNNNNNNNNNNNNNNNNNNNNNNNNNNNNNNNNNNNNNNNNNNNNNNNNNNNNNNNNNNNNNNNNNNNNNNNNNNNNNNNNNNNNNNNNNNNNNNNNNNNNNNNNNNNNNNNNNNNNNNNNNNNNNNNNNNNNNNNNNNNNNNNNNNNNNNNNNNNNNNNNNNNNNNNNNNNNNNNNNNNNNNNNNNNNNNNNNNNNNNNNNNNNNNNNNNNNNNNNNNNNNNNNNNNNNNNNNNNNNNNNNNNNNNNNNNNNNNNNNNNNNNNNNNNNNNNNNNNNNNNNNNNNNNNNNNNNNUUUUUUUAUUGUAACUUAUGGAACUAAUUAAGGUUACACUUUUUUUUUAUUUAUUAUUUAAUGAAGAGACUCUUGAACCUCCAUAACUUGAGGACAAGUUAUGGAGUCAUAAAACCAUUUAAUUAGAACUAGACUCUUCAUUUUGUAACCUUUGCCAACUUUUAUGAGUUUUAUGAUUCUUAAAUGUGACUUUUCAUAUAACUUGAGGACAAGUUACAAAAACACACUUUGGAAUCAACUCUUAGAUUAAAAUGGAUUGAAAUCAACUAUUUCACACAACUUUUCUAUUAAUCUAAGAACAAGAUAAUUCAAAUCAUCAAUCUUCAAGAAAUUAGCAUGAACAUACAAACUAAUACAAAUCUUGAAAUUAUGACAAUUAUCUUAGAAAUUGGAUUAGCAUGAACAUUACCACAUCAAAAACAAGUUUAUAAGUCCAAAAACAUCUUAGGGUAAUGUUCCUAGUCCAAUUCCAGCCAAAACAAUCGAAUAUAUGUUGUCAUGGGGUCCAACUCGUCGAGUGCACGAACCAAGUCGGCGAGUUGGAUGCAUUUUGCCUUGGACUCGGAGAGUCCAUUUAUGCACUCGGUGAGUUUGCUGUGCAGACAGCAUCAAAACUCGAUUUUUUCAGCUACUUUUGCAAGUAUAACAAGAAAACAAGCCUAGGCUCUGAUACCACUGUUGGGUUUUGAGCAUUCUAACACUCCUAAGUGUACAUGCAACCCUAAAUACCUUGGAUCUAUGUUUUCUCUAUUAUACAUGCAAUUAUGAACAUCCAAGGUAUUAUCCUAAUCUAGCAUACAAAAUAAUGAAUAUAACAAGAUAGAAUACAUACCUCUUUGAUGUAGAAUGUCUUCAUGAAGCCUGAGUUCCUAGUGCCUCAAGUGUGACACCUCAAUUGGUUCACACAACACCAAAUACACUUGGAAUAACUUGAGAGAAACUUGAACACUCCUAAAAUCGGCUAGACCUUUCUUAUUAUUCAUAGUGGCCGAUUUUUCCCAAAGAAUAUGAUCUUAUAUAGUUGUUACAAUUAGGGUAAACCCUAAUUGUCAUGGCCUUCCAUUUCCUUGGAUCCAUGGGUUCAAAUACACCAUGGAGCAUCCAUGGACCAUCCUAUGGGUUUUAGCCCAACUUGAUUAUCCAUGGAGCAUUAGUCCACUAUACAAGUGUGGAUGAUUUACACAAUCAACCCAUAUAUUUAAUUAGUCUUCUUUUGAUCACUUAAUUAAUUCUAGAUUAGUUCUUGAUCAAUACUAAUUAAAUAAUCCUAUUAAUAUAUUAGAACUUAUAAUAUAUUAAUCAAUCCUUAAGUGUUAUUUCUCUCAUUAUAGUCUAUCCAAGUGCAUGAUGCCAUGCAACCCAAAUGGACCAUGCCGGGUCGGGUCAAGUCUUACCAAUUAUAGUUAUGGACUUAGACAUUAAUCCAACAGAAACUCCACAGCCGGCACAAGCUCAACCCUAAACCUUGCCACAAAAUCCGACCAAGUCAUAGCCUUAAUGGCUGAUGGUCCCAGUGAAUCACCAACUGACUCCACACCAAUCUCUAGCUAUGUCUCUCAGACAACCUGCAACAUAGCGGACCUUCGACCCCUCCGGGCAGAAGCUCGUCAACUGUGCAGAUUCGAUGUCUGCUAUUCAUCUCCUAGCAGAAAUGGGGUCCUUCACCCCAUCGAAUUCUGGCGCACCACAUCCCCUGAAGUCCUUGAAGGAGAGUGUGUGGGUCCCUGCCUAGCCAGAUACCAUGUCACUCUUGAACGCCCUGAGGUGAUCCUCCAUCAACUUGAUAAUCCCUUCCUUGAUCGACCCGAAAAUCAUCGGGGUCGACUCAAGGAUGCAUCUUGUGAUCUUAGCCGCGAUGAACUCGUGUAGUCCCUCAUCAACUGGCUUGGAACCUGAAUCCGAACCUGAUCCUGACCCUGAUCUCGAUCCUCCUGCUCUGUGACGUGUAAUCACCACCAUUCUGAAACAAAAUACAUAAGUGUCAGGAUCCUACAUAACCUCGAGCGGACUCACACUUUCUACCGGUUCCCUGAUUCUAUAUCAACCCUCCUUGACAUGAGUACGGAUCCUAUGCUUUUAGUAGUAGCCGUACUACCUUCCACAUCUAUCCGUAAUUUCCUCAAGGAUUUCUUUGACUUUACCAAGUCCCUUUCACUACUACUGCUCGCUGCACUAAUCUCAUCAUAGGCUUACCCUAGGGCAACUCUCUGACUUACUCUCCACUACCAGCUACAUAAGGAAUCCCUACUACCUUCACCUAACUAGUUUGCGUAUACCAUUACAUAUCGCUAAGACCAAAUAAUUCUUCGAAUAAGAGAUCUUACCCUACAAUGGUUGGACUCAAACAAGAGUUGCGCAAUAGGGAUAGACCUAACCUUCUGGAAUUAUUUAAUCCUUGCAAUAUGUAACUUAACAUAUUCGUUCACUAGUUAGUUAAAGAUUGCUAGAACUCCUAAAAGCACAAAGCAAGCAACAUUCGGGCUUUGAGUAACCAAACCAAACAUGUCCUAUCCAAGCUAUCAUAUGACUAAAUAAUCAGUUCUAGCAUAAGCACAUACAACAGGCACAUAAGGCAUCUUCCUAGAUCCUUAGUCCUAAUCUAGCAUGCAAUUCUCAUAAUCAUAUCAUAUCAUAACAUAAAAUGUAUGAACAUCUUGGGGAAAACUUACUUGAGCUCGGCCGGUUGCACGCAUCACACACCUUGUUCUUUCUCAAAACUCUUUACUUUAACUUUUGGUAAAACUAUUUUCUUGUGAAAAUCUUUCAAAUCCUCGAUUUGAGUCCAGACACUCCCUAAAGUGUGUCCAAAUCUCUCAAACCAAGGCUCUGAUACCAACUUGUAACAUCCCAAUUUUCAAGACCAAAAGUUUCAUUUUGACAUAACGAUUUAGAAAAAACAUUUAUAAGGAACAUCAUCGAGUCACAUCAUUGCAUAAAAUCAUAGUCACAUGUCUCAAAACCAUAUCAUAAAAUAGUAACAAUGUCAGAGUACAAUCCCAAGAAUCUUAUAAUGCGGAAAUCCUGUGUGUGUGAUGCGCUGCUACCGUGCCGACUUCUUCUCUUUCGAUGAAGAGGUACCUGAAAAAUGUAAGCACAAAGAUUAGUGAGUUCCCCCAUCAUACUACAUACCACAUAACUAACAUACUAUCAGACGAUUCUGGGGUGCCCGACCAGCCCUAACUGGCAUUUUUGGGGUUUCGACCUACCCUGUUUGGCAAAUACUAGGGUGCCGACCUACCCUGUUUGGCAAUUCUAGGGCGCCGACCUACCCUCCGGUUUAUCUUAUUCGGCUAUGGGGACUAUUUCAACCCCUACUACAAUCACACAAUAACAUAGCAUAAACAUAUUGUCAUGCAUAUCUGGGGUGCCCGACCUACCUUUCGGUCCUUACGACCGUAACAUGUGGACUAUUCCCCUAGUACUUACUAUUACAUAACAUCAUAUCGUGCUAGCACAUAAUCAUAACAGAUAGAAACAUACCAGAUAAUUAUCAGAAAGACAAUUAUCUCUACUAUAACUCUUACUAGUGGGUCGGCCUUGGUGCCUAAGACCCACUUCUACCAGAAGGUAACUCACCUCAAUGUUGUGUAGUAACUGAACUGUCCUCGAUGUUGGGGUGAACUCCUAUCAAACUCCUACACAUAACAAACUUCCUUAAUUACCAUUUCAUACUCGUAAUCCUUUCAAGGGUCAACUCAGGUCAAAGUCAAAGUCAAGGUCAACCCCUAGUCAAAGUCAAGUUUUGGUCAAAUUCGACAUCUGGUUGACUCAACUCGUCGAGUUCUCCUUCAUACAGAGUCGGGACCUUUUGCUCAUGACUCGCCGAGUUCAUCCUUGAACUCGUUGAGUUCUUUGAUCUUCAAGUCCAUAUUCACGUCCAUCUUGUUGAGUCCUCUUCUAGACUAAACCAGAUUGCUCAUAAACUAGAAAAGGUUGGGCCGACUCGCCGAGUCCCCCAAAUUCCAAGUCCAUACAGUCGAUUUUAGUCGGUCUUAGUGCAUCCAAACCAUAGAUCUGGCCUCCUAGCGUCGAUAUAACAUGUAAAGUUACAAUCUUUAUGUGCAGGCAUGGGUGUUAUGAAGCUAAAACACCAAAACUAAGCCAUAAAGGAGUUCUAAUGCAUGAGAUAAGGCCAUUUCUUAAUAAAGGUGGAAACUUUAAGCUUCCUGAGCUCAAAAGUUCCCAGAUCUAAAGUCAUUACUCUAUUAUGCACUCAAAUCCCGAGAGCGACUUAGAAAUGGCCCAAAAUGACAAUAUGCAAGCCCUAAAUAAGAUCUAAGUGAUGAACAUCCAAGUUAUAAGCUUUAUACCUCAACCAAGCUGGAAAUGCAACCCAAGCUCUAGAUCUACCGCCCUCCUCUUGAAUCUCCAAGCCUUUCUUUCCUUCUUCAAGCUUCAGAUCACUAAAAUGGCACAGAAUAGCUCAAGAACACUCACAAGCUGAUUAGGGUUUCAAGAAUAAAGUCUGAGGGUGAUGGACGCUGGAGUGGAGGCCAUAUAAGGUGUUUAAAUUCAGUGCAAACCCUAAAAUUUAGAGUUUCAUUCAGAUAGAUCUACUCGUCGAGUCGGGGCUUCGGACUCGUCGAGUAGACUCUUCCACCCGCGUCCAAGAUUCUCCCCUACUCGAUGAGUUUAGGGUCUCAAUUCGUUGAGUCCCAGUAUAAAAAAUGCAAAACUCAUAUUUAAAACAUGUACCGGGUACCGAGCGUUACAACCGAGCAUUCAUUCAAAUUAAAAUUCUUAAACUAAAAAAAUACAUGACUUUCUUCUAUGAGACUACCUAGUCUAACAUUCAAAACAAUUCAAAUCAAAAUUCUUAAACAAUUAAGAGUAAAACAGCACAUGUUCCUUGCUCUUGACCAUCUUAUCUAGUUAACACAUCUUUAAUCUCUGUACAUAUAACAAAAAUAAGCAUAUUUAGUAUUGAAAAAAAUGUUACCAAAUAAAUUAAAAACACAAAGCUUAUUACCUAGCUAUAUUAUUUGGAUUUUUGGCACAUGUACGACAAUUUUUAGUAACACUACUUGUACCGUGUCUCGAUGGAUCGGCCUAAAGUCUAGCGAAGCAAUACUUACACUUUGCUUGUCUUCGUUCAACCCCAUCAUCUUCUACUACCCACAACAUAUGUGUUUGCAUUUCUACUUAAAUACGAUUUUAUAUCAACCAAAUAGCAAUCAUUAUCAUGUAUUCUCCCCCAAAAUAUAAAACUUUAAAAAAGGGGGCCGUAAGCACUCACCUUAAUGCAUGAUUUGUGAACUAGAGUCGAGAGUGUGGUUAUCUUUAAGAAGCACUUUGAGAAAACAUGAUCUAGCAACGAUCUAAACCGGGGCUGUUUUGGAAUUGAUUUAAACCCACAAAACAAAACCAAAACGAUAUUAUUGAACUAUAAGCACACCAGAAAAUAUUGCAACCCAAGGGAUGACACAAAAGGUGGUGGAAUGGUGGGCUAAUGGUGGUGGUUUACCGGCGGUUGAAGGGGUUGCUCUGGUGGGGAGUUCCAGGCCAAGAAAGAAAGAAAUGGAGAAGGAGAGGUGAAGGCUGAUGAAUUGUGAGGAAAUGGGAAGCCAAGGGCUUCCUUUUAUAGCCUAAAUGAGCUCUCAAUAGUCCAUGUAUACUAUGCUUUGUUAGAAAGUCAAACACUCAAUGUGUCCAUAUUUUGUCAUUUAGAAGAAGAGUAAACACAAGAUGUUAAGGUGGAAGAAUAGAGGGGAGAAGGCUACUCACGUGGGUAAGGAGGGCGGGGGGGUGCCCAUGCCUGAUUUUUAUCACCUCUUGCAAGGAUGGUGGGCCAUGAUGAUGUCACACAUAGCAAAAAGCCCUAAAAUUGCUUCUAGAUUUGCAUGCCAAAAUCCCGACACCUAAUAUUGUUUUUUUGAAAGUGGAUUAUGAUAGAGUAGAGUUCAAGGAUUCCAAAAACCCGAACAAGUUAAAUUUUCGAGUUGUAGAACUCCGGGAAAUCGUAUUUAAAGUUUCGCGUCUAAAUGACCCAAAACGCUCGAUUUUUCGACUUUUGCAAAUAUUUUCACUAAAAAUAUUUCGAGUAUGAAAUUAAAUAUUAGACCAUAGCCUGAGUCCAAUAACACUCUCAGAAUUUCCAUCUGAUGUGUGCAAGUGCCUCAAGGAAUAGAAACGAUUAUAGUAGUUUAAAGAAAAUUAGUGUUAUACUGGUUUGGUUUCAUAUAACAGUCGUAUAUUCUACAUACGAACUCCAUUUUGGAUGUUCUUUAUAUUUUCAUAAACAGGUGAACAUGUACUAUGAGACUAGAUUUUUUGCUUCGUUCACAACUGCUUAAUACGAAAUUUUAGUUUUUCAAACCUAUUAACUAGAGUUGUUGUUUGAGUUGUUUGAUUCGUUUGUGAUUUUCCACAUUUGGAAGUAAGAUACCAUGGUAUCUUAUAAUAGUUGUAAUGACACUAUAUAAUAUUCAAAAUAUGCAUUAAAGCUCAAUAGGUCAGAUUACAAAGAGGUACACGUUGAACUAACUGUCUACAUUUUUAGACCUAAAUUUUGGGAUGUCAUACUAAGAUUGAUAAACUACAUAAUUUUAUUGAUAUGAUUGAAUCUAAAGAACAAAUGACCCACAAUUUUCGUCAUCCUUGGUCUAAAGCACCUGGUCUCGAAAGCGAGUCUCCAAAACCUAUUUCUAAUACCCUGAAGGAACUUUAAAAUUUGACAUUUAUGGGAGACAUUUUGAACCAUACUUAUUCGGAUAUUGUUGUCUUACCAUUGUCGUCCCUUCAAGAAACUUCAGACAAAUAUCAAUCACUAAUUUUUGAGUUCAAACCAAUCACUAUUACAUGUCAUGAUCCCAUGCAACUUCCACCUCUAAUAUCCAUGGGCCUGAAUUAGUCUUCAAAAAUUCUACAUGGCACUCGGGGUACUAUAGUUUAUCUUCCCAACUUUGGUCCCUCCAAAAAACUGUGUUGUUGAGGAAAUCAUUCAUGAGACAUGAGGACAUGACUCGGAUCAACCUAACUUAUUUUGGGUGUCCAUUGAUAGUGAUGUUGAUAAAUAAAUCAGACGUGAUGACUCUUCGUCCAUUUCGUCUAUUCCACACUCUAGAGUUGUCUCAAAGUCCACAUUAGAUCGGAUCAAACCAUGUUUCAACAAUCCAUUUGUAGGAAAAUAUUCUAAGUCAUCAUAUGACUCUAGGAAGAAGCCCUGGUUAAACAAGUGGAUAAUGUUCAUAUGGAGAUUGGGGCUCAGAAGGCUCUUGAAAAAAGAAACUAUGUUUAAACAAAGCUCUAGGUUCCUUGAGAAAUCAGAUAAGAAAGUGUCACAAAAAGUUGUUAGUUCCGCUACUAUGAAUCACAAUUCAUUCAUGCCAGUUAAAAUACUUAAGAGACCAUAUAUUCCUGUUAGCUCGAAUAUUCCUACUUCUACAAAGAUACAUUCUGCAAAUAUGUUAAUAUUGACUCAUCACCAAAGAAUAGUAAGGGGUUGUUUGUUUACCUCUUAAUGCAUUUUAAAAACAGAGAUAUUUGAAUUUUUUCCAUUAAGAGUGUUUGGCAGCAUCUUAUUGUUUGCCUCUUAAUUUUUCAAAAGACUCUUAAUAUUUCAGAUGUGAGUAUGCAUUUGAAAAGAAAAAAGAGGCACGCGUAUUUCAUUUUUCAUAGAGACGCCGCCUUUCUUCCCCUCGCACACCGACCGCCGCUGCCUACUCCUUCCCCUCAAUCACAGUGAAAUUUUUACUGUUUAUUCUACAAAAACGUGGAACCAGUUUUAACAAAUAACAAUUUCUGAUGAUUUCGUUUAUUUAUAUUGUUUCUUAAUUUUGAUGUAAAUUUGUAGGUAGAAAACAUGAGAUUGCAAGGUUCCCAAAUUAUCAUUUUGUUAUAGAUGAAUUCCGUUAUAAAAAGUGUUUUUUUAUAAAGGUGCUUAGUGUUCACAUAAUUGUUUGAAGGUAUUUGGUGUGUUGAUUGUGUGUGCAGGACUAUUGGAUUUUGUACAAUGAAUUAUGCACAUGAGGUGUUCGAUGGAAUACUCGAAAGAAGUUAUGUAUGUUAUGGUGAAGAAAUUAUAACUAUACAUAUGGAUAUGAUUUUUGUGUGUGCUUUGAUAUUAAUUUUAGUUUCAAUUGACAAAAAACUGCUUAUAUAUAUUAUUAGAUUUCAGAACAUGUCAAUUUUAUAUGUAUUUCAAGUUGUUUUUGUUAGGAAGGUAAAAUGGUUAUUUUUAUCAUUUGACACAGAAAUUCAGAUGUUCCAAACAAACAACAUUUUAAAAAUUCAGACCCUCUUAGAAAAUCAAACCUCUUAAAAAUUCAGAUCCUGCCAAAGAGCCCCUAACUCUCUUCGAAAAGUGUCCUCUCCAGUAUUUCCUGCCACCUCAAAUGGAAAAAAAAAAUUAAGCAAAAACAAUCUCCAAAUGUGCCUACAAGAGACUGAAUAAAGGAAAAGAUACUCGUAACUUUUAUGUUCAGAACCCCUCAAAAGGUCCAAAUCUGAAAUGUGAAUGGAAAGCUAAAGGGAAUGGUAAUUCAACCGAACAAUUUGCCAUUCUGCAUACUCAAAAUAAAAAACGACUUGGUACAAUUUCAAUCCAUUCUGUAAUCAAGAUCAUGAAUUCAGACCACUAAACCUUUCAAUUUGAUUUCUUACAGCUUUGUUUCUGUGCCGUGAUUAUUUUGCUUAAUAGUGUUUCUUUUCCCAUGAAUUCUGCAAACGAAUUUGGUUUCUAAUGAAAUUGCCACUCUUUUAAUGAUAAGAACAUUGUUAUGGACCUUUUGAAUAUGGAGCAGAAUUUUGUACAUGAUGAUGUUCCCCAUUAACUUUACUUAAAACGAGCACAUACAAUGUUAUCAAUCUUUUGAGUGAAAGGACAGAAGAUGUCUAUCAAUGGAGUUAACCAAAGCAUUUUAUUUUAUUUUUUUUCUUAUUGGAAAUCUUGUGUUUACUAAUCUUAAAAGUUCAUACUUUGUUAGAAUCUAAUAUUUUUAAUCCUUGUAGUUUCUCAAAGUUUGUUGCCAUUAAUUACACAUUGAUGUUUGACUUUGACUGCUACAAUAUAGAAUGUUGUUGCUUUUUCUGAAGUUGUCAAAGUUUGUUGUCAUUUAUGGAGGUUUGGUGUUUGGAUGCCUCCUGCUUCUAAUUCAUAUAGAUAUCUCAACAUUCAUUGGCUUUUGAAGCAUAGUAGACCUAUUCAAGACUCAAUCUUCAUACUGAAGUAAAAGAGCAAAGCACAAAAAUUUGUGGGCUGAAUUUUGACCUACAAUGUGAAAACCUCAAGUUUCUCUGAUAAAGAUUCAAUUUCAUAAACUAUCAUCUUAGCCAUCUCUUCAUAAACAAUCCUUGAAUCCUUUGUAUGUUGCAAUAAAUAGCAAACUACUUACAUAUUUGUUUACCAUCAAUAAUGAUUAACAUUCUCAACAAACAACUAUUUUUCUCUAGUCUUCUUGUUCCAAGUUCAUCGUAUGGAAUCUGCAAGAUCACUCCCACUACAUACACUAACAAAACUAACCCAUGAAUGUACAUAUAAACAUAACUUUCCAUGCAGAUCAAUCGUAAAAGCAAACAAGUUUUGUACCAUAAUUCAAGAUGUUAACAACUUUUGAGAAGCAGUGAAAUAUGCAAAAACUCAUGGAAGUGUUGUGUAGGCUAAAAAUCAAUGGAGAAAUAGGUACUUUUAAAUUUUAAACUUUUCCGAAAAGGGAAAUAUUGUAACUUUCAUGAAAAGUGUUGUAUUAAACAUCUUAUACUUUUUUUGUUUGUUGAUCAACUCAUCAAGUUCAGGGUGAGCAAGAAACAAGCAUGAAAGAAAACAAAGAGUCAAUUUUGAUGAGUUGAUAGGAUGCUCGAUAUGUUGUAUUUCUUCUGACUUUUUUGUCCUUAUCUUCAUCUACUCAAUCCCCUUCAUCUAAACCAAUCCAAAAAACUAAAACAAAAUAGCAGCAUACUUAUAUACUUUUACCUGUAAUAGCAACAUAUUUUUAUUUCCCUAACAUCUAGGUGACUACCAAACAUGUUAUGAAACCAUGAAAUAAGUAGCAAAAAUUCAGAGAAGUAUAUUUUACUACUAUAAUAAACAAUCUAAUAGAACAUAAACAAUCAACUUCAAAUAUUUUGAAUAUAAAAUGCUAUAAAUGUUAACCAAAAUGAAACAAGUUCAGAUUUUCAAAAUACAAAUCUAACUAGGUUACAUUUUUAAAAUGCAAUGUCUUGGUAGGAAAAUAAUUAAAUGCACAAUGUCUUAAUAGGAAAACAGUAGAAAGUACAAUUAACUUAAAGGAAAAAUAGUUGUCAAAAAUAUUGAACUAUAAUUGGCAACCGGAAUCAAACAAACUUAAUAUUUUGAAGGCAAAAGGUCUUGUGUUAGAAUAUUGAUUGCAUUUACCAUUAAAUAAAAAGUAUUUUUUUAUUAGUACGCUAUUAGACAUCUUAGAUGUAUAUUAAGUAAUCAGCGAAGUAGAAUUUGGUUCUUACCUUUGCAUCAUAUAUGGUAAUUUAGUUUUUUUUUAUUUUUUUUUAUUUUUUUUUAUUUCUAGAUUUCUAUAUGCUCUUCUUGACUGCUCCAUUUAUCCUAUCAAAUAACCACAUAUUAGUAAUUGAAAUACAUAAAUUAAGAUUUGUUUGGCAGCUUACAAUCUUCAGAAAUUCAUAUAACAUGGGGAAGAAUCUAUGUGUUGAUAAGUGUCGCAGAUUAGAUGACCCUAAUAACAACCAUACAAAUACAAAGCGAUUUCACUGCUUAAAUAGAUAAACUUUUUCGAAAAAAAUCAGUAGAAAUCAUGAAAGAUUAAAAACUCAAAUCAAAGAAACUCAUGUUAUUGGAGAUAGAUGUUUAAUAAAAUGAUACAACCUUUAACCCUGGUUUCUGAUGGAAGAGAUGCAAUUGAUAAGAAAUGAUUAACCAUCAUACCAUCAUCAAACCCACAUAAGGAAUCUCUGACAAAAAGCUCAUCAGCAAUUGAAAUGUCAAAGUGAUUGAUUAGCAACUAAUAUCACAAAUUUAAGCGUUUAGAAAAUAGGUGGAAACUUACAAUAAGGAAUGUCUCUAGCACACUAAAUAUGGCUUUGUGCAGAAGAGUCAUCAUCCGGACCUACAAGAUUAAGAUUGGGCAUUAACUUCAGUUUACUACAUUUGCAGCAUAAAGAAAGACGAUUUAUGUCAAUGUUUUAUAUUCAGUUUUAGUGAAGAAAGCCUAACUAAUAUAGUGGAACUUAGACAUGUAGAUAGUAGAUACUUGCACAAUAAGGUGCCAACCAAUGUGAGGAUGAUGAGGAAAUCUAGUGACUAGCUUCAAAGGAAAAUCUGUCACCAAAAGAGAAAUAUGUCAAGGUUUCAUAUUCAAGCAAUAUCUAAUGUUUGAUAAUGCACCAACCUGUAAAAGUAAACACUCCACUUUCAUGUCUUCAAUUUCUUUGGAAGAUCGACAUUGUAUGCGUGUUCUACCACUAACAUAGCAACAAAAUAAGUAACUAUGGUGUGAAAUGUAGAGCAAAAGAAGAGGGUGUAUUUACAUUAAGAAUGUGUAUAUGAAUAUGAAAUCCAGAGUUGAUAAAAAAAAACACUACCAUGGAACAAAUACUUGAUAUUCAAUAUAAAACUUUUAGGUGUCUCGCUCUCGCUAAUUAUAAAAUAUACCACAUUCUAAAGUAGUUGGUUAUGUACAAUAAAUCUAUAUCGCGUGCAAUUAUGAAAUUUAAAUAUUUAUAUUCAAUACUUUUUACAUCAUAACAAAAUUGAUAAUUAAGGAGUGAAAAAACCUCUCUGAUGAUCCAUCUGGGUUAUUGUGGACCAAAAAAAAAAGAUCCAGAAACAUGUUGAUACCUAGGAUCUGCAUGUCAAUUGAAGAAAAAACAAAAAGGCCUGCACAUUCAUUAUAAUCAAAGACUUACAUGUAACUAACUUAAAUCGGAGAAUGAGAAACAAUGCACUUUACAUGUAACUAACAGGAUGAUCAAAGGCUUCAUGGUCUGAAAAGGAUACACAUACACAUAUGUACACAUAUGCUGCAUACAAGUUCAACUUCUUUAUUGAAAAACUGGAACCAUGCAUGUUGAUACAAAAUCAGGUUGAUAAGCUGCAUGGGAAAGUAAAUAAAUACUGUUAAACUCUUACAACUGUGUGUAACUUUCAUGCAGUAUAAGUGUAUAAGUAGGUGAAAAACUUACAGAUGGUUAUAGUUUCUAUGCAUCAGUAAUAACAUUGUUCUAACUGCUCCUUUGUCACCUACUUGAAUGAAAAAAAAAAAACAUUUCUCAGAAAAAACUACUAAACAAGUCACUUAAUAGAAAAGCAUUGUAACACUUGAUGAAUGUUGUGAACAUCUAAACAAAUAAAUUUAUACCUCAACAUUUGGUUGUCAAACAUCUGAUGCAUACAACAUUCACAAUUUGAACUUGUAGAGUCUGUAGGGGCCAAGUCAUGUAUAAUUAAUUAGUUUCUUGUCUACAUACUAUGCAUCUGUUAGAUGGACCUCUUCUUUAUAAUCUAAUAUUCAAAAAAGAACGAUUUCAAUUAAAAAAUUAAACAAUAAAGACUGAGUUUUUUAUUAAAUGAAUUACAGCAGGAGUGGGGGAGAAAGUCCCCAUUUAGGUCAAGAAGCUCUAAACAUUCAUGUGGGUUUUGUUUUACUCAUUUGGGUUAAAAAGGUACAUGAAUGCCAUGAUCAAACUUUCAUAUAUAGGACGCCAAAAUAUUUUAAAUAUGACCAAAAAUCAAAAAAUCAAAAUCCAAACUUUACAAAACAUGGAAGAAUCUGAACAAAACCUUUGAAACAGGGCAAAGCAUAACAGAAAUGACCAAAGCCACUUGUCUAUUUUUCUGCAUAAAACACAGAUAAAUGAAAAGAUUGCUAUUACAACAAUACUGUAAUAAAAAGAAAUGAAACUAGGGUGAUAUAAGACACAAAUAAAUGAAAGUAAGUUCCAUGACAUCAGGAGACAAGGGUGAUGCACCUGAAAACCAUAAAAGCAAGUUAGUCUUUUUAUUUUGUUAAAUACUAAUCUGUCCCACAUAGCAUAGGAGAUGCACUCUUGCCUGAAAGAUAUAAUAUAUUCUUUAAAGUAUGGAAAGCUAAAAGACUCCCUUGUGCUGAUUUUUUUUUAUAUAAAUAGUUACCUUUAAGUAAUGCUUGCCUCCUCGCAUUAAAUGCAACAUUAAACAAUCUACCACCAUAUGACUAGUCAUCUGGAUUCAUAACACUUCAAUAACCACACACCUAAUUGAGCAUCAGUGAGCCUUAAUGAUUGACAAAUACAAUAAAUUUAUCAUACCCAUCAUAUCAUAUACUCUGUUACAUAAUCGUGGAACAUAAUAGAUCUCACUCAAUUCCCCCAUCAUCUCAUCCAACAAUUUCAAGUUGUUCUACAAGAAUGAAAAUACAUUGCCCAUUAAGUCAAAAAGAAACAAAAGUUUUGUCAUGAUGUGAUUGAGUACAAUAAGGGAAUCAUUAUCAUGAACUUGAUUCAGACAGAAGAUGAAAUUUGAUAAAGUCCAACUAAGCCACCAUAGUACACCAGUAUCAUCUGGUUGGACCUUUCAUAUAUGUGUGAAAACAAUUGGCAUUUGAUGGAUACAACUUUAAUUUCAAGGCUUCCACCAGCAACAUUUGCAGUCAGGUUUCUAUCCCCUAACCAUGUAGGAAAAGGAAUAAGUUCCACUUAAGGUAAGAAAAGAUUAAACUUUGGUAGACUUGAAAAGAGAAGGAAAAAAAUACACAUUUGGUAUCCACUUGUAUACCAUAUUGUAGCAACAUCAUCUUGUUUUGAUGGACGAAAAGAAAAGGGUAAUGGUUGUUACUUCCCUAAAAAGCACCAAUUCAUAUAGCAAAUAAAUCAGUAAUCAAAGAAUGGGUAGAAAUCAUGAAAGAUUAAAAACUCAAAUCAAAGAAACUCAUGUUAUUGGAGAUAGAUGCUUAAGUCUGUUAUUACGAUAACAAGAUAGAUUUCGCAAAAAGUUCUAAAAUGUGAUUCACCAAAAGGAUUUGAAGUUACCUGAAUAAUAAGCUUAGAAAAUGAUACAACCUUUAACCCCAGUUGUUGAUGAGUUCUUGAAGGUUGUAACUUCAUUUCAAUAAAGAAUCUUAUCAGUGCAACCAAUAAGAAAUGAACCAAAUGAUUAAUCAUCAUACCACUAUCAAAAUAUGCCAAGGUGUCAUAUUCAAUCAAUGUAACCUGUAAAAGUAAACAUUCCAUUUUCAUGUCUUCAAUCUCUUUGGAAGAUCGACAUUGUACCCUUGUUCUACCACUAAGAUAGCAACAAAAUCAGUAACUGUGGUGUGAAAUGUAGAGCAAAAGAAGAGGGUUUACAUUAAGCAUGUGUUAUUCACAAAAGAGAAUUGAUUAUAACCUCAUCAGAGAUAUGAAGGUAAACACCAACACCCUCUUAAUAUAUAUUGACCACUUGUUUUUAACAUUUCAGCCCACCAAAGACCACAUCAUGUGGCAUUUCCCUUCCCUGAUCUCCCAUUUUCGCUAAAUAAAAUCACACAUUUUAAAUAAAUAAAAGACUUGAAUAAAUAACGAAUAUCUUUUGUAAAGAAUUACCAGGCAUACAAAAUAAGUGCUGAAGGCAUUUUCCAUGCAAUAUUCAACAUCUCUUUUUUUUAUUGAUUCUACAUGAAGCAUGUUAAUCCCAUCAUUUCCUGAAUAUAGAUAAUACACAAGCAUGAGUUUUAGGAACAUAGGGGUAUUUCUGGAAAUACACAAACAGGGUCAUAGACUCAUAUCUUUUGUAAUCAGUGGAUGGAAGGCGGUAAUUUGAUAAAGCAAAGUUCAUAAUUUCGUAACAGAAAGGCAUAAUAACCCAACACCCUUAUUGGAACUCAAAGUGUACCUUUUUACAUUAACACAAAAGCUAAAUAAGAACAUAAAAAGCAUCAAGUGUUUUAUUCUUUUAAGGGUAAAAACAUACAUGUUAAGACUUUGAUUCUCAGGGGAUCUUCUUUACCUUUUCUCCACCAUAACAUAAGCUCUUUAUUUGGUUACUAAAACCUUUUUCUUGUUGCAGAGUAAUGAAUGGAAUAUGUCAAAGGAAUUGAUAUUUGUCAUGUGUAUGAUUGACAGGAAAUCAAAAGGAUUUCAAUUCCAUUCUUGUGUUGUUUUGUGUUUAUUUUGCAAAUCUAUCAAAAGAAUUGAAGUGAAACACCCUUUAGUGGUUCUUUUAUAAAAUAAUAGAAUUGCUAUUUACCGAAGAAGAUUUUAUACUAUAUACACAUCAAACAUACAUACUCUAAAUUCAUAAACAUUAAACAAAAAAAUAUGACACUAUUGGUGAAACAAUUGGCAUUUACUUACACAUCUCCACGAGAAACUACUACAGCCUCCUUACCAUGUAGGAAAAGGAAUAAAGGGUAAGAAAAGAUUCAACUUUGGUAGACUUGAAAAGAAAAAAAAAAAAACACAAGUGAAUAAGAAAUAGAAACAUUUGGUGUCCACUUAUCUAAACAUGUUGUAGCAAAAUCAUCUGGUUUUAAUGCACAAAAAAAAGGUGAUGGUUGUUCCUUCACUAAAGCACUAACUCAUAUGGGAAAAAAUCAGCAAUCAAAUGGCAGAAAUCAUGAAGGAUUAACUCAAAUUAAAGAAACUCAUGUUAUUGGAGAUAGAUGCAUAAGUCUGUUAUAAUGAAUAACAAGACAGAGAAUAUUUUUGAAAUUACAAUAUUCCAAACAAAAAGAAACAAAAGUAGGAUGUUAUAAUAAACAAAUCAACAAAACUAUGUUGCUAUUUCUCACAUUAACCCAAAAAAUAUAUGAUUGAAAUCAAAACACAAUCAACUUUCUUGAGAAAUCUGAUUGUCAUACAUCGAACCAUGAUCAUGGAAGUUUGUUUUCUUAAAAAGCAUGCUACUGAAACAUUAGAUGGAAAAUGGAUUAAAAAUAUUUUACAAAAUGACCAACAAAAAUGGAUGCAAAAGACAUAAAACAUGAGAAUAACUGGAAUGCACAGGUAGUGUAAUUGCACAUACCAUAACCUUUUUAUUUUUCAAAGAGACUAUUAAACAAUGAAAAGAGAGCACUUACAUUUGUUAAAUAAUUCUUUAGCUGGAUUUUGUGCUUAAUUCCAUCCAACAUAUAUGCAACAAAAUUAUUGCAUUGGCUUUGAUUGAUGACUAGAAGCCACAAUUUCCAUCAUACCACCUAUGUCAGAAUCAUUGAUAUUCGAUAAUGAAGUUUAUCCAUUAAUAGUAAAACAAAAUUAUCUAUAGAAGUAUUAAUAUAUGAUCCAGUAACAAAAAUUGCCACCACAAAGAAUGAGAUGAAAUCCAUACUUUCUUAGCAUAAUUGGUUUGGCAGAAAUAAAAGGUAAUAAUAAGAUGCUUGUUCAAGAAUAUCACAGCUGAAUGAAGAGGUUCCUUCAAUAAAAAUUGAAGUUUUUAGCAAUAUUCUCAUGUAUUAUGUAUAAUAUUUUUAUUCACAAAAGAGAAUCGAUUAUUAGCUCAUCAGAGAUAUGAAAGUAGUACACACAAUCACCCUCUUUAUAUUGAACACUUGUCACCAUGUGGCAUUCCCUUCCCUGAUGUCCCGAUUCGAUAAAUAUAAGCACACCUUUUUAAAUAGAUAAAAGAACUGACUAAAUAACAAAUAUCCUGUGUAAAAAAACUACCAGGAAAACUAAAAAAGUGUUGAAGGCGUUUUCCAUAAAUUUAUACUCUGUUACAUAAUCCUGGAACAUUGGCAUAAUACAAUAGGUCUCGGUUAUGCCAUGUCAUCCAGCAAAUUCAAUACAGUGUGAAGUUUUGUUCCCCAUUAAGUCAAAUAGAAACAGCAGUUUUGCCAUGAUGUGAUGAAGUACAAUAAAGUUAUCAUUAUCAUGAACUUAAUUUGGAAACAACAUAAAGUUUGAGUUUCUUACUCCAACUGAGCCACCAUAGUUUGCCAAUAUGAUGUGGUUGGACUUUUCAUAGAUUGUUGGUGUGCCAAAGGAAGAUAAGAUUUAUGUAACUGAAAUAAAGCAUGGGGAACAAAUUAAUGGUGACACAAUUGGCAUUUACUUACACAUCUGAUGGAUGGAACUUAAUUAAUGUGAAUGUGACUCAACAAAAGGUUUUGAAGUUACCUGAGCAAUAAGUUCAGAAAAUCAUACACUUAACCUUUAACCCCACCCAGUUGUUGACGGAAGAUAUGGCAUGAGCUCAUCUAGCCCUUCAACGACCUAUAAUAUUAUAUUAUAUUAUCAGUCAAUAUGAGUUCUUGAAGGUUGUAGCUUCAUUUCAACAAAGAAUCUUAAAGAAAUGAACCAAAUGAUUAACUAUCAAAACAACAGAAGUUAUCAAUUAAGUGAGUUCAUAGCAAAUCAAGAACAAAUGAAGAACAGGAUAGAUAUAGUGAUUCGAGAUGCUAUGGUCUCACAAAAGAAGAAGAAACUUCUAAAAUAUUCUGCCUGCCUUUCUAACAAACGCCCUCCCAUAAAAUAUAACCUAAAAUGACAGAGGAUCUGCCUUAAUUCCCAAAAUGCCCCUGCUGUCCCACUAACUUUGUCUGUGAUCCCCUCUCCCAUUGGAAUCUUUUUGUGCCUUUUGUAUUGCAAGGGUGGAUGCACAAUAGUUAUCAGUGACAAAAAGAUGAGCAACUAAAGUGAUUAGCAACUAAUAAAAAUUUUAACCUUUUGAAAAAUGGGUGAAACUUACAAUAUGCAAUGUCUGUGUGGCACACAAAAUAUGGCUUGUGAUACGCAUCUUCUGUAACUGCAAGAUUUGGCAAUAACUUUAGUUUAAUACAUUUGCAGCAUAAAGAAAGACAAUUUAUGUCAAGUUUUUAUAUUUAGUUUUAGUGAAUAAGUACCAAAAUUGAAAAAACAAAAAUAAAAACAGCUACACUUAUGGACCAAAAAUGUAAUAUUACUCUAAAAAGAUUGAUAAAUCAUUCAUAUAGUGUUACAGAAUCAAUUGUGUCUGAGGAGGGUAAAAAAGUAAUUUCAUGGUUUAUCCUAUACAAAAAGGCACAAACUUGUCAGAAGAAUAUAGAGAGUAGAGAGAAAUAUACAUUUUGUCCCUGAUUGUAUACCUAAUUUAUGAAAUUUGGGUCCUUAUUGUAACAUUUCUGGUCCCUGUUCCAAGUAAAUUGGCUAUUUUUUGUCACCUGGUAUAGCUGAUUUUUGCAAAUUUGAUCAAAAAAGUUAUACACCUCAAAAAAAGACCAAAAUUGAAAAAUGAAAGAGAUGAAGAAGACGGGGGCAAAAUGGUCAUGUUCAAAUAUUUAGCAUCUGUGAUGUUAAAGUUGACAAACCCAUGGAACAAAAACAUUAUGAAACCAUGAAAUGAGUACCAAAACUUCAAAAAAAAUAUUCUUUUCAGGGAUUAGGGUAUAGUUAUGCUCCUUAAACGUAUAUCACAGAUAACUUUUUAAGAGAAGUAAUUAACUUUGUUGAGAGUAAGUUAUGGUCCUUGAACAUGGAAAUGGAAGAGAUGAAGAAGACAUUGGCAAAAUGGUCAUUUUCAUAUAUUUAACAUAUGGGCUAUUAAAGUUGAGACCCAGAGAAUGUAACUUAAAGGACAAAGUUAACCUUUCUCAGACAACCACAUAUUUGAGCUUUGGCCUUUAUAAGGUAUCCGCAUUUAUUAUGACCAAAAAAAGUAAAAUGGUAGUUUAGAGGAAUACGACAAUCCCCUGAGAAUCCUGAAGAAAAACGGGUCAAAGGUUAAAGAUUAAAAACUCAAUCCAUGUUUUUAUUCAAAUGAGGGACUAAUCUAACUUAUGGCUAAUACUUCCAAAUUCUACAUUUGGUCCCUAAUGUUUCUAUUGCUUUAGAAUUUGACACCAUACAAGCUAGAUACUUAAAAUGUUACACUUACGGUCCCUUCCCAUCACAACGCAUGAUAUUUAGGUCCUCUAUAGUCAUUUGGAUCAACUCUCUGGGUCAAACCUAUAUUUUAUCAAAUUGUCAAGUUUGACCUUUUUUCCCAAAUUUUAACCUAAUUGUACUUCUUGGCUUUACCUUCACAUUAUAUGCAACAUUAAACAAUCUUUCUCUCAGACAACCUUGUAUUCAUAACACUGCAAUAACCACACACCUAAUUGAGCAUCAACAAGCCUGACUAAUUGAAAAAUACAUAGAUUUAUCAUACCCACCAUAUACUGUGUUAUAUAACUGCAGAAUACAGUUGGUUGAACUCAAUUCCGCCAUGUCAUCCAACAAUUUUAAGUUGUCCUACAUUAAUGAAAAAACAAUAAAUAAGUAAAAAAAAAAAAAACAGUUUUGUCAUGAACAUAAUUUGAAAAGACCAUAAACAUGACUUAGGACGCCAAAAAUAAAAACAUGUAUGUGUGGCAAAAGAAGAUAAGGUAUAAAAGCAUCAUGUUAUAAUUCAAAGUACAAUCUUAAUAACUGAAGGCACAUGGUGAAACAAUUGGCAUUUACUUACACAUCUGAUGGAUAGUACUUAAUUUCAAAACUUCCACCAGCAACAUUUGCAAUCAAGUUUCCACGGGAAAUCAUGAAACAUGUUAUUGGAGAUAGAUGCAUAAGUCUGUUAUUAUGAAUAACAAGAUAGAGUACAUUUUUGAAAUUACAAAAUUCCUAACAAGAAGAAACAAAAGUAGGAUGCUAUAAUAAAUAAAUCAACAAACGUAUGUUGCUAUUUUCUCACAUUAACCCAACAAAUAUAUGAUUGGCAUCAAAACACAAUCAACUUUCUUCAGCAAUCUGAUUGUCAUACUUAAGAGAAUUAUACCAUAACCUUCUUAUUUUUCAAAGAGACUGUUAAGCAAUGAAAAGAGAGCACUUACAUUGGUUAAAUAAUUCUUUAGAUGGAUUUUGUGCUUAAUUCCAUCCUACAAAUGCAACAAAAUUAUUGCAUUGGCUUUGAUUGAUGACUAGAAGCCACAAUUUUCAACAUAUGUCUUAUUACCACAUCAAACCUUCCAAGAAAAGCAUACCACCUGUUCCUAAAGAGGGUAAUAACGUAAUUUCAACCAAUUCAACGUAUUAUAUCAAACUUUAAUAACUUACUGUCCUAUAUGAGAAUGGACAUGAUCCCAAAUAUGACUCCAUGUUAUUCCUUUAAAAAUAGAAAGACCAUUUCUAUAUGCGUGGAUUGCAUGUUUUAUCUGAUAUAAAAAGGCACAACUUGUCAGGAGAAUAUAAUGCACACAAACUUAAAAAGAAGAGUAAAAUACACAUUUGGUCCCUGAUUGUAGCUAAUUGAUGAAUUUGAGGUUCUUGUAAAAAUCAUGGUCCCUCUUCCAAGUAAAGUGGCUAUUUUUUUGUCACCAAGUAUAGCUCAUUUUUGCAAAUUUGGUCCCAAAAUUAUUGUCGUUUUACUAGGAACAAAGACUAAAAACAUUACAAACCUCAAAAAAUGACCAAAAUUGAAAAAAUCAGCUACACUCAGGGACCAAAACUUAAAUAUUACGAAUUGCUUUCUUUUCUCCAGUCCAAUCCGAUUCUGAAAAGACUGAGCACAACCUGUUGGUUGCCUCCCCAUUGAAAAAAAAAAAGAUAAAUCAUUCAUAUAUUGUUACAAAAUCAUGGUUGUCUGUGGUCCCCUCUCCCAUUGGAAUCUUUUUGUGCCUUUUGUCUCUGAUAGGUGAAUUGCAAAUAGUUAUCAGUGACAAAAAGAUGAGCAACUAAUAUGUCAAAGUGAUUGAUUAGACACUAAUAAAAAAAAUUAACCAUUUGAAACUUACUAUAUGCAAUGUCUGUGUGGCACACAAAAUCUGGCUUGUACACAUCAUCCGGACCUGAUUGGCAUUAACUGCAGUUUCAUACAUUUGUAGCAUAAACAAAGACAAUUUAUAUCAAGUUUUUAUAUUCAGUUUUAGUAAGUACCAAAAUUGAAAAAAAAAAAAAAAAACAGCUACACUCAUGGACCAAAAAAAUAAUAUUACUCUAAAAAAAUUUGAUAAAUCAUUCAAAUAGUGUUACAGAAUCAGUGAUAUUCUGUAACACUUGUGUCUGAGGAGGGUAAAAAAGUAAUUUCAUCCAACUCGGCGUAUUAUAUCAAACUUUAAUAACUACUUCAUUUUGGAACUAACUUACUGUCCUAUAUGAAAAUGGACAUGAUCCCAAAUAUAACUCCAUGUUGUUCCCUUUCAAAACAGAAAGAAUGUUUCUGUAUCCAUAAAUGGCAUGUUUUAUCUUAUACAAAAAGGCACAACUUCUCAGAAGAAUAUAGAGCACAAAAACUUAGAGAGCAGAGUAAAAUAUACAUUCGGUCCCUGAUUGUAUACCUAAUUUAUGAAUCUGGGUCCUUAUUUGAGGUUCUUGUAACAUUUCUGGUCCCUGUUCCAAGUAAAUUGGCUAUUUUUUGCAGAUUUGGUCCCAAAAUUAUUGUCAUUUUACUAGAAACAAAGAUUAAAAAAGUUAUAAACCUCAAAAAAGAACCAAAAUUUAAAAAAUCAGCUACACUCAGGGACCAAAAUUUAAAAAAUACUUAAAAAAAGAUAGAUAAAUCAUUUAUAUACUGUAUUUAAUUAUUGUUACAAAAUCGUUGAUAUUCAAUAAUGAAAAUUAUCAAUUAAAAUAUUAAUAUAUGAUCAAGUAACAAAAAUUGCCACCAGAAAAAAGAGAUGAAAUCCAAACCUUUUUAAGAUGAUUGGUUUGGUUGAAAGAAAAUGUAACAAUAAGAUGCUUGUUCAAGCAUAUCACAGCUGAAUGAAGAGGCUCCUGCAAAAAAAUGAUUUUCUUUUUAACAAUAUUCUCAUAUAUAAUACUUUUAAUCACAAAAGAGAAUUGAUUAUCACCUCAUCAAUUAUACAAAGGUAAAAAGCGACAUCCUCUUUAUCAUGACCACUUGUUUUAAAUAUUUAACCCCACAAAAGACCACACCAUGUGGCAUUUCCCUUCCCUGAUGUCCUAAUUCGCUAAAUAAAAGCACAUUUUUAAAAUAACAAAAAAAUAAAAGAAUCAACCAAAUAUAACAAGAAUCUUUUGUAUCGAAUUACUAGUCGUACUCUGUUAGAUAAUCCUGAAACACUACAGAAUAUAUAGUAGGUCUCAAUUAUUCCAUGUCAUCCAACAAUUUCUAGUUAUCCUACACGAAUGAAAAUACAGUAAUCAAGUCAUAAAGAAGCAGCAGUUUUUCCAUGAUGUGAUUAAGUACAAUAAAAAAAAAAAACAUUAUCAUGAACAUAAAAAGCAUCAAGUGUUUUAUUGUUUUAAGGGUAAAAACAUACAUGCUAAGACU